rnacentral:lncRNA from 1 species
AGAGCUUCCAUUCAUCCUUGAAAUCCAUUCUAACACUCAAGAACUUCUUCGUCCUCUUCGGACCUCUUCUGUGCACCAUCAUAUGCCUCUGUGUGAAGCUAGAUGGCCCGGUGGCCAGCCGGAACAUGUUGGCGGUGCUGGUAUGGGUGUUUGCUUGGUGGCUCACGGAGGCAGUGCCCAUGCCAGUUACCUCAAUGUCCCCUCUCUUCCUCUUCCCGCUCUUCGGAAUUGCCUCUGCAGAUGAUGUUGCCCACUCUUACAUGAACGAUGUUAUUGCCCUUGUUCUUGGAAGCUCGAUUUUGGCUCUCGCCGUUGAGCAUUAUAACAUGCCCAAAAGAUUGGCCUUGAAUGUGAGUCCCCUUUUCGUUGCAAUUUUCUCAUAUUACCUCAUUCAUGUGAUUUAUGUUCACACAAUAUUAUCAUCGCCAACAAAACAAACAUAAAUAUAUUUUCAAUAAUAUUAAUAUGUGUCACAACUUGAGGUUUGGAUGCUUUAGUUUCCUAGGGUGAGAGCUGCAUUGUGCCCGAAUCCUAGCUCAUACUACGUGCUUAGGGUUUUCAAAAUAAUUUAAUUUUUGGAUUCAAGCGAUAUUAGUGAAGGACAAUCGAAAUUUGGACUUCAGGUACAUGAAUAAUUUAUGGUAAUGUUAAAUAGAUCAUCUAUUUAAAUUAAAUUUUGGAAACUAUAUGAUGUGGUUGUUGAUAAUUGAGAUAAAAUUUUUCAAUGUGCUGGAAAUACGGCUCGGUACACUAAAUGUCAUAAUAAAAUUUGUUAGAAUUUCUUUUUUCAAGUUUCCAACAAAUUGUAUUAUUAUACUUGAUUUGAUGGGUGGUGCUUGCAGUAUACUAAAAAAUCUCUCGAUGAUUGAAUUAUUACUUAAAUAUUGAUUAACGUAUUUAUUUUGUAGAAUAAUAUUAUACCCACCUCAAAUCUUAUUUCUCCAUCCACCUUAUAUUUACACCCAGCAUAAAAAAAACAAAACACGCAUAAACUCUUUUCCCACCCACCGUUACUCCCAAAAUAAUCCUAUAUAUUUCUUCUUCUAAUUUUCCUUGCUUUAAACAAAUAUACCCAACAACUCCAACUCCAAAUAUCAUAGUAGCCCCCUUCCCAGAACCGUCACUAUCAACACACCCAAAUCCCCAACCCCUCUCCCCAAAACACAUCCAGCGCCCCUCCUCACCCAAAAUCCUCGAUCGGCCUCAACGGUGAUAACGCUGAUAACAAACUAUGAAGAAGAACUUAUGAAGAACUCAAGAAAGCUUUCGACGAGAGAGAAUGUAGAGAGAGAAACUGUAUUAUCAUUAUAUCCAACUAUUACAUCAUACAUCCUUAUAAAUACAAUGACACAUAACUGACUUCUAGAGUUCCCAAUACAAUUGUGACACCUGGCAAUGUAAAACAAUACUAAUCUUUUAUCCUAACAUUCCCCCUCAAUUUUAUGCUGGCCAUUGGCUAGCAUAAGAUUGUUACAAUGAGAACUAAACAAAGGAAAACAGAGACCCUUUGUAAGAAUAUCAGCAAACUGUUCAGAUGAGUUAACAAAUUGCAACAUAAUGGUGCCUUGCUGCACUCUUUCCCGCACAAAAUGACAGUCUAUUUCUAUGUGUUUAGCUUUAGAAUGGAGAAUGGGAUUGGUUGCUAAAGCCAUGGCUGAUAUAUUGUCACAAUGGAGUAAAGGAGUUGUGGAAGGAGAUAAAGAUAGAUCCUGAAGUAACUGCUGAAUCCACACAACUUCAGCAGUGGUAGUUGCCAUUGCGCGAUAUUCUGCCUCAGUUGAAGAACGACUAACUGUAUGCUGUUUCUUGGAACUCCAGGAAAUUGGAUUAUCACCUAAAAAUACAACAAAACCAGUGGUUGACCGUCGAUCAUUGGGAUCCCCAGCCCAAUCAGCAUCUGUGUAAGCUCUUAUAUCCAAAUUACCAGGUUGAAAACACAAACCAAGAUGCAGAGAACCUUUGAGAUACCGCAGUAUGCGUUUGACAGCAACAAAGUGACUGUCAAGAGGAGAAUGCAUAAACUGACAUACCUGAUUGACAGAAUAUGCUAUAUCAGGGCGAGUGAAAGUCAAAUACUGUAAUGCCCCGACGAUACUUCUAUAAAGACCGGGAUCAUGGAAUGGAGGACUACCAUGAUUUAAGAGCUUUUGAUGUGGAUGACAGGGAGUGGUACAUGGCUUACUGUCAAACAUAUGUACCUUAUGCAGCAAGUCCCUGAUAUAUUUGGACUGAUGAACUAACAAUCCCUGAGGUUGAUACUCAAUUUGCAGCCCAAGAAAGUAGUGGAGGACCCCUAAGUCCUUCAUAUCGAACUCCCUGGUUAAUUGACUGAUCACAGACUGAACAUGUACAUCAUCAUCACCACUGAGUAUAAUAUCGUCAACAUAUAACAGCAACACAACAAGGGAAGGACCAUCACGUUUUACAUAUAAGGAAAGAUCGGCAUAAGAGGAUGUGAAGCCCAAACUGAGAAGGAAGCUCGAGAACCUUGCAUUCCAAGCACGAGGGGCUUGUUUGAGGCCAUACAAAGACCUUUCUAAUUUGCAAACAAAAUCUGGAUGAUCCUUGUCAAUAAACCCUUGUGGUUGAGACAUAUACACUUCUUCAUCUAGAAAACCAUGCAGAAACGCAUUUUUAACAUCUAAUUGCUUAAGUUUCCAGCCCUUUGUUGCAGCCAAUGAGAGCAUUAACCUAACAGUAGUAGGCUUAACCACGGGGCUGAACGUUUCAUAGUAAUCAAGGCCGGCUUCUUGAGAGAACCCCUUGGCCACUAAACGAGCCUUAUACCGAGCCACAGAUCCAUCAGGAUUUCUUUUGACUUUAUAUAUCCAUUUACAACCCACCAAGUUCUUAUGAGAUGGGAGAGGAACAAGAGUCCAUGUAUGCUGUUUAAUAAGAGCAUCCAUCUCUUCUGUCAUUGCUUGUCUCCACUGAGAUGAUCGAGCAGCAAUACUAAAAGACUGAGGUUCCUUGACAUCUUCGUGAACAACAGCAGAAAAAACCUUCUUUUUGAAAAUCCCUGACUUGGACCUUGUUUUCAUAGGAUGAGUAUUAGAACUGACUACAUAAACAUGUUGCAAAUCUGGAACUUGAGAACUUGUUACAUCAGGAUGAGACUCGGACAGCAACAAUGAAGAUGCAGAACGUGAAGCAGAAUUGUCUCCAGUAGGACCAAGAUCACCAAGUUGCUGAAAAUCGGACAGAGUAACUGAUGGGUGAGAAGAUAUGUGUGGAAAUGGUAUUGGAAUAAAUGGAGGAUGAGAAAAGGUAGUAGGAGGAGCUAGUGAAACUGGAAUUGAUGCAGAAGAGACAGUAGAACUGAAGGAUGAAGAAGACAGACCAUAUGUACUAGGGAAGACAGAUUCAUCAAACAAAACAUGCCUAGAGACAAUUAGUUUAUUAUCACUUAUAGCAUAACAAAUAUACCCCUUAUAUUGAGCAGCAUACCCCAAAAAUAUACACAUAGUGGUCUUAGGAUCAAGUUUAUUGGUUCGAUAAGGUUUUAAGGAAGGGUAACAAGCACAACCAAAAACCCUCAAGUGAUCAAGUGUAGGUGGGGAUUUAUACAACACUUCAAAUGGAGAGUGCAUCUUCAACACGGAAGUAGGUAGUCUAUUAACAAGAUAUGUACUUGUGGCACAUGCAUGAAACCAAAACUUAGAUGAAAGAGAGGCUUUUUGAAGUAAUGUAACAGCAGUUUCAACAAGAUGCCUAUUUUUCCUUUCGGCUAAACCAUUUUGCUCAGGAGUGUAUAGACAAGAUUUUUGAUGGACAAUGCCUUUGGUGGUGAGAAAGUUUUGAAAUCGAGUACUAACAUAUUCCCCUCCCCCAUCACUUUGCAAAACUUUGACAGUUGCAGAAAAAUAAUUUUGAAUAUAGGCAUGAAACUGAACAAAAAAUCUCAAAGACAGCAGCUUUAUUAUUCAUGGGAAAAAUCCAUGUAUAUCUGGUACAUUCGUCAAUAAACGACACAUAAUAGCUAUACCCUUCUAUAGACUUGGUAGGAGAUGGACCCCAUACAUCUGUGUGAAUGACCUCAAGUGGAACAAAAGAUUUGGAAGCCAUUACAGGAAAAAAAGGUAACUUGGUGAACUUGCCUUGGAGACAAGCAGUACAAGUUUGAGAUGGGGAAUUACAAGAGGAAGUAAUAGCUGACUUACUAAGAGCUACUUGUAGAACAGAAUUGGUGGGAUGACCCAAUCGACAAUGCCAAAGAGAAUCAUUUAUUUUCUGUCCAAGAAAAGCUGCAGGAUUAGUCUUUGGUGGUUUGAGAAGUGGAAGAGGAUAGACAGCUUGGUUACUCAGUCCUUGAUAGAGAACCUUGUUGGUGACCUUGUCCUGUAUACACACAGAAAACUCAUCAACAAUACACCUACAAUUGUUGUCUUUGCAUAAUUGAUACAUAGACAGUAAGUGCUGUGACAAUUGUGGAACAUGUAACACAGAAUUUAACUCGAGUGUAUGAGAAGGAGUGGAUAAGCAAGCUUGACCAAUAUAAGAAAUUUGUAAACCUUCACCAUUAGCACCAAUCACAGUUUCUGAUGAAGCAUAUGGAGUAACAGCUUGCAGAUUUGACAAAUCAGAUGUCAUAUGAUUAGUUGCUCCCGAAUCCAGCAACCAAUACUCAUGUGUGGGGGCGGAUGGUGAGAAAUUAGUGCGUGCAGUAAAAGCAGCCUGCGAAUUAUUGGGAGGAGACAUCAUUCCAUUAGGAUACUGUGAUGAAGACAUCAUAGUAGGAUGCUGCACGGGAGAUGAAAAUGAAGGUGAAGAGUGAGGAUGGGGCUGCAACUGUGAAGAAUUCUGAGAAUAUGAAUGCUGCGGAAACAUCAUAGGAGAUGAGGAGAAAGUAGACAUAGGCAGAGAUCCAGUAUUGUUCCUGUCAAAGCAAGUGGCAGCUGUGUGCCCUUUUCUGUGGCAGAUUUGGCAGCCAUUCUGAAAGCAGUUCAAAGCUACAUGGCCCUUUUUAUCACAUAUUUGACAAAUCAGCAGUGGUUGAAAAGAUUGUCCCGAAGCCAUUUGAGAUCCAGAAUUCUGAAACUGAGACUGUGACGGAAGAAAGGGUUGAGCAAAGUGUUGAUGUCCAGAAGGUUGUUGAAAACCAGUGUUAAACCUUUUCCCUUUACCCUUGUUUCGAUAGUUAGUCCCCCUGAAAUUGUUGUAAGUUCUAGAACCAGUCUGAGAAACAAAAGCAACAUGACCAUUGGGAAAUGGCAAUUGUUGAAACUGAGCCAUUGGUGAAAAUGAAGAACCACCAGUAUAUGGACCAGUAUGAGAACCCAGAUCAAAGUUUCCAGUAUAUGGACGAGAAUUGGAAGAUCCACCAGUUUCAUAAGUUGUGUUGGAAGCAUUAGCAAACAUAGCUGCCAUUAAAUGUGGUUGUUUAAGACCUUCUUCCAAAGUAGACUCAUCUGCCUUCAAUUGAGACCGAAGUUCCUUCAAGGAGACCAAACUUUCUCUGCCCCGAAUCACAGACUUAAUGGUAUUGUAGUCUGUAGGUAAUCCUCUUAAAGCCACAAUCACAAUAUCUUCAUCAGAAAUCACAACACCAGCAAUAGCUAACUGAUCCCUACAUUCUUUAAUCCUCUGCAAGUAAGCAUCAAUCGAUUCUGACCCCUUCUUAAUGUUCUGCAGAUCAAUCUUCAGUUGAACAAUACUAGUGCGAGACAUAUGAGCAAAUCUUUCUUUCAAAUGAUUCCACAUAUCACUGGAGCUUCGACAUCCAAUAACACAAGAUAAAGCAGCAGUAGAUAGUGUGGCAGUUAUCAAGGUCAUAAGAGCUUUAUCAUGAAUUUGCCAAACUUGAUAGGCAUCAGUCAGUGGAGAAUUAUGUACAAUCGACUCAUCAUCAGACUCCAACUCAGUAUAUUUCUGAGGACAAGGAAUUGUGCCAUCAAGAAAUCCCAUAAUUCCAUUCCCUUCUAGUAACAAAGAAAUCUGGAAAUUCCAAGUAACAUAAUUGGAAUCAUCCAAUUUCACAGUCACCGUGUUUCCAACACUAGGUAUAAGCGACGAAAUUGGAGAUUGAGUGAGGGCUAAUUGUGCAGCCGUAACCAUAAUGCAAGAACAAGAAUCAAUAGAUCAAGAAAGCAACAGAGAAACUGAAGGAUUUAUUUUGAAAAACAUGUUCAUUUGAAUAACAUCUAUAGCAUGCAAUUAACAAAUUAAAGGCGGAAUCAUGCUUGUAUGCAUUCAAAAACAAAACAUUACCCAUGAAAUUCAAAGCCUAGUAUUGGUGAACCAAUAAUCAACUCAAAACAAAGUGAGUUGAAAUUAAUACCUUUGUAGAUUCCUCUUUGCAUAAGCAAAGGCUAAUCACCCAAAGAGAUAGGGCCUUCAUUCCUUGCUUCUUAGAUCCAUGGAUUUGGAUGGAAGAAUAGGUUCUCCAAGUUCCCAAAAUUGAGAACCUCUAAGUCUCUUCACCAAGGUUUGAUUGUAGAAGAAAUGAGUGACCUUGGAGUAGUAGGAUUGCUAGAUGUACCCUCCAAGGUGUUGGCCUCUUUAGAGAGAAAAUGGAGAGACAAUUCUCACCCAUUUUCACCCAAAAUAAACCCUUAAUCACAUUAAUGAAUAUUUGGCUAUAAAGUUCUUUAUAUAGUCACUUCUUUAAGUGACCUAAACAACCAAAACCCUAAUUCAUCACCAUAUGGCCGGCCACCUAAGGAAUUUUGGGCUUUUGGGCUUUAAUGAAUCUUUAUUCAUUAAAUUGUCAUACAACUUAAGUUAAUGGGCUUGACGUUCGAAGCCCAUUGGGCCUUAAGGUCCAAAACUAUCCCGAGGUCUUUAACGAACUUAUUCGUUUGAUUAAUUAACAUAUUAAUUAAUCCUUGCCAUAAAUAAAUGAUUAAACCAUUUAAUCAUUCUUACUCAUUUCCGUUUAAUCUUCAAUCUCCACCUUUUAUGGUGUGCGAUCCAUUAGGUUCCUUUUAGCGAGGCAGUGGGCGAUUAAAACAAUUUUACAUCGAUUGUGAAUUGAAACAAUUUUCAAUUCUCCCUUUAGUGGUUAUACACGUAUAGGGCUUCCACAAACCAUGGUUGACGCCUAGCAGCAUGUCAUGGUUACCCAAGCUAAUCAGAAGAGGUUAGAGAACCUAUUCAGUUCGGGAUUACAAAUGCAAUACGGUCCUUCUCUAAUCUAAUACUCUUGACCACAUUGUUUGGUAUGAUAGUUUAUUUACUCAUGUCUACUAUCCAAUGUGAAUCGUUUGCUUAUAUGAUUUCCUUGAAUGUGAUUUGGAACGCAUUCCCCAAUCUCAUUCAUACUCUGGCCAGAGAUUCCAAAUCAUAUCAUAAAGUAUUCUCCCUCAACUGUUUGAAGGUUAGAGAUCCCUUGUUGCGCAUUUACUUGUCUCCAUAGCUAAGUGGCUUAACCCCAACGAUGCCGUGACACCCCUAGGGGGUGAAUUAGACAUAAUCAAAGAUUAAGGACUUAACCACAAGACAACUGUGAUGCCUCAGGUCAAAUGACUACUUUGCAUUAUCCCAACCAUGAGUUCUCAUGUGACAUGGAAUAUAAGAACUCUUCGUUGAUCACGUUCAGUGAACUCAUUCUCUUAUUGAGCACCUACGUACUUGUCUUGAUGUCACACACACCAAUGACUCGAGACUAGUCACUCUCCCUGAGAGAAGACACAGUACGUACUGAUCUUAACGGACUGUCAAUGCCCAAUUGGUAAUCCUAUGAUCAGGAACAUUUAGGAUGUGUCUACGAAAGAAUGGUCUCAUUAAUCUAACUUCAUUAGAUUGCAUUCUCCCAAUCACAUAUUCCUUGGACUUUAUCGUUUAAGCAUAUAACAUUUAUAUGAGACGGCUCAAACAAUAAUCUUUGCCCUUUAUAUGUUAAACUAGAUUAGUUUAACAUUUGAAAUGUCCGUAAAGUAUCAUCAUAUGAUUGGUUUUAGGGCACAUUUCCAACAGAAACACCUCAAGAAUCACUCAGCAAGAAGUACCACAAAACAAUAAUUGUGAUAGACAAAAUCUUGCAAAUAUCAAUACGGAGAAAUCGAAAGAAAACACCUCAAGAUGAUCACGACGGCAGCUGCAAAGAUCAACGAACAAAUCAACCGUUGACGACUACAGAACAAACAACCAACAAGAAGAAACUCCACCGACUUAGAGCACCAGACUACACGAAUCACGACACGGCAGUAGCUGCACAGAACGACGAACAGAUCAACAGUCUCCAAUGGCAGAACGAACAACCGACAAGAAGAAAUGCCACCGACUUAGGGUUUGAGAAAUCAACACUUCUCUGAAAUUGCGAACAACCAGUAAGGAUCCGAUGUCGGUCACCGGAACAACCACGACCACGACGACUACGACUACGACGACGACGACGACGAGCGGAAGCACAGGAAUCGUUAAUCACAGGUGUUAACCAUGGCAGGCGAAGAUACCAUGAUAACGCUGAUAACAAACUAUGAAGAAGAACUUAUGAAGAACUCAAGAAAGCUUUCGACGAGAGAGAAUGUAGAGAGAGAAACUGUAUUAUCAUUAUAUCCAACUAUUACAUCAUACAUCCUUAUAAAUACAAUGACACAUAACUGACUUCUAGAGUUCCCAAUACAAUUGUGACACCUGGCAAUGUAAAACAAUACUAAUCUUUUAUCCUAACAAACGGCGCGUUUGUGGAAUUGGGAGAUGGUUUUCGAGUCCCCAUUUGAUCGAGUCGGAGGAGGAUCGCAAAGGAGAUCAAUGGACGGGAUGGGCUUGCCAUUUGAGCACAGCCUCGACGUGUUUGGCAAAGGUCUCAGCCAUGGCGAGCGAGACGAUCGGUGAGAAAGCCAAUGCAUAACAGAAAGGGAGAGGAGAAAUAGAGGGGGGAGGAAGAAGGAUGAGUGUUUGGGGUUGAAGCAGUGAGGUGGGAAAUUAAAAUGGGGUGAAGUUGUGGAAGCUGAGGUCGGGGAGGGUGAUGGUUAUGAGGUUUUUCAGGUUUUAUGUUUUUUCAUGUUCAAAAAAGCUUUAAGUCCAGCUGUAUAAUAAUUGCAUAUGUGUUAACUUUUGGGUGGAAGUUAUGUCUAUGGUAAUACUGUAACUGUAUUACCGCCUUUCUUUAAUAAUUUAGGAAAAUGAAGGAUCCUUUCCUUGGAGAUCCCGAGAAUCCCGUGAUCGGGAUCAGUCAUCGUACAUUAUAUGGUCAGAAAUUAUUUUAAAAUUUUAAAAUUUAAAAUUAAAUAUAAAAUAGUACUUAAUGAAAAUUGACAGCACAAUGUACGAUAAACGGUCACGAUUACAGAAUUCCCAAGAAAAGGAUCCAGCGAGGAUCAUUUUCCAAUAAUUUAGAGUAAUGCUAGGGAGACUAAAUUUUAAAAACUAAAUAACAUGUAAGUUCAUGAUUAAUUUAUUACUUAAGGGUUGAUAAACGUGCUCAUUUCUAUUGAUGACACAUCAUUUAGUUUGCUAAUUUAAUCUCUUUAGCAUUACUCAAUAAUUUAUCCUAAUUGUGGAGGUGAAGGGGGUUGUGGCAAGAUAUGAUUGAUUGGUCUUUUAAGUAAAAUGAUUUUAUACAAAGACAAAUUUGUCAAUAAAAAUACUAUUUCAAAGUGGGUGAAGAGAUAAAACAUUGGAAUAAGCUUAGUAGUACUUAUUUUGAUUGGUGACACAUUUACAAAUUGGAUAAGUUGAUUUCCUUAGUAUUACUAGUUAACCCUUUUUAGUUUUUCCCGAACACAGAUAACCCUGGUGUUCUAUGGAGAUCCCUUGAAUCCGCCAUUGUUGCUGCUGGGAAUAUGUGGGACCGCAGUAUUCAUCAGCAUGUGGAUGCACAACUUGGCAACUGCGGUGAUGAUGAUGCCCGUAGCCACCAGCAUUCUCCGGCGGUUUCCGACGGGUCCCGACCAGUCCGUGGUUGUGAGCAACUUUUGCAAAGCCGUGAUUCUGGGGGUGUUGUACUCCAUAACCAUAGGAGGGAUGAGCACUCUAACGGGGACCGAUGUCAAUCUCAUAUUGGUUGGAAUGUGGAAGACCUAUUUCCCACAAGCAGCUCCGAUCACCUUCAGCACUUGGUUCUGUUUCGCCUUCCCUUUGGCAUUGUUGAUGUUCUUGGCUUUGCGGGGUUUGCUUUGCUGCUUGUAUUGCUCAAGGAGUUCAGGCCAGGCUCUCUCUGUUUAUUUAGACAAAGCCCAUUUGAAGGAGGAGCUCGAAUUGCUAGGUAGGAUCUCUCAAACCUAGAGCAACUUACAUGCAUUCAACAUCGAAUUGUGGUGUAUCCUAAAUCAAUCAUGCAUUAUCGUGUGUGAAAUUUUUAACGACUAAAACUGCUUCUAAAUAAAUUAGGCAAAAAAAGUUCAAACGUGUCUUUGAGGGAGUAGGACUUUUAAUAAAAAAUCAACUUGUUUAUAAUGAAAGUACUGAUAUUAAAGAGUUAAUGAGAAAAAGUGUUUCUUACAAAAGUAAUUUUGAAAAAACCAUUCUUUUUUAUAGCAAUUGUUGUGGAUACCCCAAAUGCCAUAAUAAAAUAGUUAACACAUGGUAUCACCGUAUUGGUCAUUUUUUUUUAGCUUCUGGCCCAAUGUUCAAUAUCCAAUCUUAGGGACUAGAGAACACCUUCUGUGUAAAUGUAUUUCCAAAUCAACUUACAAUUGUUGAUGCGGCAACCGGCAGGUCCAAUGGAUUUUGCUGAGAAGAUGGUACUGGCUUUGUUUUCGGUGCGUCCCCAAGUACUCAGUUUCGCAUAGUUUUUUAGUAUGGAUGUGUCCUCCAGUUAUUAUGACUAGCAUUUUCUGCAGAUGCUGAUUGUUUUGUGGAUGACAAGAAGCAUAACGGAGGAUAUUCCGGGCUGGGGAGUCCUCUUCAACGGGCAUGCCGGAGAUGGAACUGUCAGUGUGAGUAUUGACAUUUCUUCUUAUGUGUUCUAACUUUAAACACGAAAUAGCCUUAUAAACAGACCUUUCGUUGGAUCAAAUUUUCAAGUGUGACUUAAAAAUGUUUGUAGGUUAUGAUUGCAACUUUUUUGUUCACAAUUCCAAGCAAAAAGCAAAAAGGUGAGAAGUUGAUGGACUGGGAAAAAUGUGAGAAGCUACCCUGGAAUAUCAUAUUGUUACUAGGUGCUGGUUUAGCCAUAACUGACGGAGUUCGAUCCAGUGGCCUUGCUAAUAUAUUACCUGAAACCCUAGAUUUUUUGGAGGCAGUCCCAUAUGUUGCCCUUGCACCUGCUGUGUGUCUCAUAAGUAGUUCCAUCACUGAGUUGAUCAUAUCAAACAAUGCAACAACCACGCUUAUUAUUCCUCUCCUAAUUCAAAUUGCCAAACGAAUGCAUGUGCAUCCUCUCCUUCUGAUGAUUCCGGGUGGCAUUGGGGCACAAUUUGCUUUCUUGCUUCCUACGGCAACUCCUUCAAAUACUGUAGGAUUAGCCACUGGCCACAUUGAGAUCCAAGAUAUGAUCAAGAUUGGCUUGCCAUUGAAGAUUGUUGGGAUUGCUGUGUUGUCCCUUUUGAUGCCCACUCUUGGUAACAUUCCUUUUCUCUUCAUUAUUUAGCUCACUUCAAUUUUGAUCAAUUUUCAUCUUCACUAGUUAUACGUGAUGUUGUAGUUCAUAAGUAACUAUUGAGUUUUGGCUAUUGCAGGAGCUUUUGUAUUUAGGACAAGUGAACCAGUUCGGUGACUGAAAGUUCAAUAAUGUUACGAUGUCUCACAAAAUCGCAAGACAUAACAAAAAGUUGAACAUGUUUCGUUAGAGAUAGUCUUAUGAUCUCAUUCAUCUGUGAAUCUACCUGUGAUUGUGAGAUACCUAUAUGAAUUCGAAGCACGAUUUUUAAUUUACAUUUCAUAUAUGAUGUCCGUGAUGAUCAACCUUACAAAUAUGUGUGAUUAUGUACAUCAAAUCAAAUUAACUUUAAACCAAACAAAUAAAUAAAGUACAACUAAUGCAUAUAAAUUUUUGCUUAUUAUACAAGAUCACACCAUUACAUCAUCUCUAAUAAACUAACAUUACAUCCCAAGAAAAUUUAAGUUUUAACAGCACACCACAAUAUAUAUCGCACAUAAAGUUUAAGGCUAGAGUAACCAAGAUAAAUCAAUGAUCAGAGGCUUCCAUGGAGAUGGUGAUUUUCUGGGCUGUUAUUGAUCGCUACUCAUGAUCAAUUUUGCUUUCUCCGAACUCCUUGCUCUUCAACCUCGCGAGGAAGAUUUUUGAACUUUGAACAAUGGCUAAUCUCCAUGUAGCGGAGUGCAGGCAUAAUUUUCCUCACAAAUUCCACAUAGCAAGGGGGUUUAUGCUUCAUGGGAAUGUUUUCAUGCUUCAUGGUUGUUUCAAAUAUCUUACUUUACUUUAAACGUAUCUGAUUGGCAGAAAACAACAAAAGUCUUUGAAUUUGUAAAAGAUUCAUCUCUGAAAGCCGGAAUUGCAUCUCCAAUACGUUGUAUCACGUUCAACACAUAAAAAUUAAAUUGAAUAAAUAGCAUGUAGAUCAAUUCAAUAAAAUAAUAAAUUAAACAUAAAAGAAUGAUUAAAACGUAAUACUCUCCUGAUUAAAAAUCAAAAUCUCUUUAGCGCAGAGUCAAGAGCGUGUUGAUAACAUGUUGUAGGCACAAUUUGCUGAACAAUUAUGGAGGCCAGAGAGACGGGUGCGGCAUAGAGAGAGAAGAGAUAUAUAUGUAAUUGUGAGGUGCGUUAUAUUCUACUUCAUUGUGCCUUUAUUUAUAGCAGUAGGGAAUAUUAAUUCCUUAUCCCAAUAGGAUUACAACUCUAAUAGGAUAAUAUUUAGUCUAAGAGAUAUGGUAGAAUCCCAUAAGAUAUCCUAGAUAUGUUAGGAUUUACACAAUCACACUACUCACAAUAUAUCUUCUAUACAUCAAAUACAUUUCCUUGGCUCCAUUUUAUGAUGUCCAUUUCUUCAUUUCUUUGACUCCAAGAUAUCCAUCCUCAGUUACUCCUUCGUUUCCUCAUAGCUACCAAUGUACUCGCCGGCAAUCGUCCACAAAAUACCUAUGCAUUCCUUUACUUGCAUUGUGGCGGGACCAACCAGAGACCCUAGCAUGUGCCAAUCGACCUAACGUCCUCUAAUGAUGCUAACCAAUCGAUGGUUGGUCUGAUGGUAUCACUAAGAGGAUGUCAGGAAGGGACAUGCUAGGCUCUCUUGUUCGCCUUCGCACGGUGCAAGUAAGUUCAAGGAAUGCAAAGGUUCUGUGGCGACUACUUUGGUACCUAUGAGAAAAUGAGGGAGGAGCUGAUGAUGAUAACUUUCAGAUCGACGAAAAAUUCACAAAUUCGCGCAACGGGUCAAACUUUGUAAAGUUUUAGUUAUGAAUAGAAUAAUGGGCCUCCAAAUUUGUAGUGAAACGGGCCUGAUUAAAUUCGUAUGUUGGGCGUACAAAAGUAAAGCCCUAUUUUUUUAUAAGAAUUUUAACGAAAAACUUUCGGUACUGUUCACUUUAAUGAAAAACCAUAUUUUUACACUAAAAAGUCAAUCAUGAUACUAUUCACUUUACCUUUUAUUUUGUCCUUAUCGUUAAAACUCAAAGUUUUCAAACCAUUUUCAUUAGUUUCCAUUUUUUUUAACCUAAAUAAAAUCAGUCUUCCCAGCCAACGCGUGCAACUUGCUUCCAUAUUCUUACACCUCUACGCUUCUCCUCACUCCAGUCCAUCUUCUCCAUCCGACUUCGACGAAUUACAUAAAAUUUUGUGAUUGCGUACCAGCAUAAGAAUCUUCGGAUAUUUACGAUUUCUGAGUUGAGGCUGCCCAUCGGCAUCCAAUGCAACAGGUGUACACAGUGGCGGAGCCAGGAAUCUUACCACAAGGGGUCAUAGUGUAAAAGUCCAAAAAAAAAUUUAGGAUGGAAAAACAUGUUGAAAAUGAAAUCAUAGUACUUUCAUUCAUAAUUCAUAACGGAAACAAUAUUACAAGCUAUAAUUGUCCACGACGAGGUUUCAUAUUUUGAAAACGAAGCAUUAUAGCUUCAUUUUCAAUACAAGCAAAAAUAUCUCUCUCAAUAUAAACAAGCAAGCUAUCACUCAACCAUUGAUCUCCCAUUUUGUUCCUAAGUGGACCCUUAACAAUAUUCAUGACAGAAAAUGCUCUCUCCACUGAAGCAGUUGCAACUGGUAAAACUAAAGACAAUGUAAUGAGCAAAUAUACAUAAUUGAAUACUUGAUGCAUCCUUGUCUCCACCAUUUUUUUUGCAAGAUCACCAAUCCCUUUCAAUUGAGAGAAAUCACUACUGGAACGCACAUAAUGAAUAUAAAUCUCAAGUUGAUCUUCAAGUGCCAAACGAUCCUCAUCCGAAAAGUCUUGAGGAUAAAAUUGAGCAAGACGAAGUAACUUUGGUUUAUCAAAAGCUACAAAUGAAUCUUUCGGACUCAAACAUGCCAAACAAAUAAGCAACUCGGUAUUUACCUCAUUAAAGCGAUCCUCUAACUCCGUAAUUUGCUCAUCAAUGACAUAAAUAAAGAGCUCCACACGAUAAUAAUGACGAUUUGUCUUUAUUGGAGCAUUACGCCUUGACCUUCCUGGAAGUAUAAAUGCCUCUUCCAUGUUAGGAACAUCAAUAUAAUGUUUUUCACAAAAAGAAGAUACUUCAUCAACCAAUGCAUCGAACCCAUUAUUCCUCAUCCAAUGUAGCUUUUCCUUGCAUGAUUUCACUUGUUUAUACCAUAUUUAGGGUCUCGUAUUUAGACCUCGUAUAAAUACUCGAGAGACUUAAAUGUGAUUAUGUAAUAAAGGAAGGGGCAAAUAUGUAAUUAGGGGAGGAGCCCUUAUUCUAUAAAAGGGUAUCCUCACCCUCACAAACCCUAAGCCUCCUCACCCCUCUCAAAGCUCUCACUCACAGAGCUCUUUCUCUCCCUCACUUCUCAGAGAAAUAUAAUACAAUCAGUGUGGACGUAGCCCAAACCUUGGGGUGAACAACGAUAACUCUUGUGUCAUUUACAUUUUAUGCAGAUUCACGGUCGGAUUUACGUUGUACCAAGACCAUCCGGUUUUGUGCAUCAACAUUUGGCGCCGUCUGUGGGAAUCGAUACGAAAAGUUAUGUCGGUUCUUUCUCAAUUUUUUCACCUCCACCGUGAAUUUGCAAAUUCUGCAAAAACCCAGGAAACCAAGAACACCACUCUCUCUAAAAAUCCUAAGAUUCUCUCUCUAAGCCGCUACAUUUAUAGCUGCGUUAUUCACCCUCCCUUUUUUUUUUCUGGGUCUCUGUAAUUUCCACUGCAGAGUAAAACCCAGAUUUUUGGUUCUCAGAUCCAAGCUUUGGAACAGUGGUGGUCGAGUUUCAGUGUUCUCCCAGGGGAGGACCACUUGGUGUUCUCCUGUUGCUUCCUCCUCCAACUGAGACUCAUAGGCAGGAGCAAACGCUGAGCUUUUCUAACAACAAAUCAGAAGUCAGUUUUCUCAACAAAGAUGGAGACUUUGCCUACUACCAGAAGGAUACCACUCCCAUUUUCUCUCCUUACCCAAGGAAUGCAGGCCUACCAGGUUAUGGAAGCUUGAAUCUGAGCAUACAUGGGCCUUUGACUGGGCUAGAUGACCAUUCACUCAUUCUCAAUGGAUUGAGCUGGAGCACCAGGCCUCGAUAUACAAGUACAUGACUUCAAAUGUGCCUGUCCCUUCCAAUCUGCUCGUACCUCUCAAGAAACCCCCAAAUUCUGUGUAAUUUCAGCAACCCAUAAACAAAUUACUUUAAUGGCUUCCAAUGGGAAAUAUGGCUCUCACCUUUGCACUAUUUCUGAGCCAUCCCUGCCCGAGUCCCACGGCCAGCAGCAUACCCAAUACCCCCAUGGUUAUGGGCAGCCCUAACAACAACAUAAUCUGCCGUAUUUCUCUCCCCAGUACUCCCAUUGUCACGGGAAACCGUAACAUCAGCCAUAUGGGUCAUCUUUUUGCUUCGUCUACUUCAUAUGGGCAGUCGGGUUUUCCCGCAGGGACCGACCCGGCUGUGAUUAGAAGCUCUGAGAUGGUGGACAGGGACAUCGGCGGGUACAUCAACAAGCACGAUGACAUUUGGCUACAGUAGAGAUGAUGUGGGCAAGUUUCUACCUAUCUACCUUGCGGAAGGCCUUCUUCAAAGCGAUCCAUUUGAGGUCCUUGAUCAAAGAGGUGUUGGCCAGCUCAUCAAGAUGGCCACAGAAAAGGGUCGCGCAGCUAGGCCUAGCUUAAAGGUAACUGGAAAUGCAUAGAUUGGGAACAUACCAUAACAAAUUGGGAUGUCAAUUUAUAUUGAUGGCGUGUCAUAUACAGUCACAAGUGUACCAGAGGUUUAACCUCAGGACCAUUCGCCUGCCCAGUUUUUCUCUUCAAAAGUCCUACGGAUUCUCUUAGAGUUGGAACCGUCAAUUCUACCGUCGAUCCUCGCCGCGGAGGUCAGCUCGGGAAGGUUGAGCUGGCUCAAAAAACUACAUUGAUCAACCAUCCAGCACCCUCUCGUCCCGGGACAUGUCAUUUCGUAGUUCUGGAAGAUUUUACAGUGGAAGUUGCUGCCAGAGUAAGGGGUCAAUCGCCGGGGAUUCGAGCUUGGAAACAAGGCGCGUCGAAGAAGAGAUAUCCGAGAUGUUUCAGUGGCUUACAGGGGUAUGAUUGGUAAAUUCAAUAAAAGGACUGCAUCAGACAGGGAUGGGGAACAUGGGUGGGCAGAGAAGGAGUGGAGAGAUCAGAAAAAACAUGUGGGUGGUGUUGAAAAGACUGUCCAAACAGCUGUAGGAAUAUCGCCCUUAAUCAUGUAAUCAAGCGACAUAUCCAAAGCAGUUGUUCAUGGAAAAAAGCCGAGAUAGAGAAGCAAAAGCAAAUCAGAAAGAAAAAGAGAAAAGCAGUGGGAAACAGAAACAAAAGCAAAAGGAAAAACAGAAAAUGAAAAGAGAAAAGCAAAAGAUUUUUCUAUUAUUAUGAUUCUUUAUGUCUGCCAGAGACAGAGAGAGUGCAGAAGAAAAAUACUGCAAAAGUAAGGAAUAAACACCCCACCAGAAUGAUGUAAUUUAGUUUCCUUAUCUUUCGGAAACAUAUGUAUAAACCCCAUCAGAGGGUAAAGCCCAAAAUAAAUGGGCUGGAAUGUUGCGUGGAGGGCAAAGGCCCAUAAGCCCAAAAUAGCACCAACCCGGUGACUAAAAUUACAUCCAGUACUAAAAAAAUUAUUCGGCACCCUGCCGCUACUACCACCAACCAGGUGAUCAAAAGUACACCCAGUACUCCAAAAUUAUUCGGCAACUUACCGCUAUUACCACCAACUAGGUGAUGAAAUGUAUAACCCGUACUCUAAUAUCAUUUGACAACUAGCCAUUCAUGCCACCAAUUAAGUGAUGAAAUGUACAACCCGUACUCUAAUAUCAUUUGGCAACUAGCCAUUCAUGCCACCAACCAGGUGAUGAAAUGUACAACCCAUACUCUCCUUCAUGCCACCAACCAGGUGAUCAAAAGUACGCCUAGUACUCCAAAUUAUACAUGAGCAUUACUCAUGUCAUUCAUACAUAAACAUUCAUGAGCAUCACUCAUGACAAUCAUGCAUAAACAUUCAUGACCAUCAUUCAUGUCAACAUUUAUGAGCAUAACUCAUGUUAACAUUCAUGAGCAUCACUCAUGACAACAUCCAUGAGCAUCACUCAUAUCAAUCAACAUAAACAUUCAUGAGCAUCACUCAUGUCAAUCAGCUUCAAAAGCUUCAUUUACAAAAGCUCCAGCUUCGAAAGCUUCAUUUACAGAGCUCUAGCUUCAAAGCUUCACUUGCAAAGCUUUACCUACAAAGCUUCAGUGCAGGGUAUACAAAUACCGCCUCCGAACAACCGCCACUUCGGCCCAUACAUGGAUUCAAUUUGAAGUCUCCAGCCAACAGACUCUAUUGACCGAAGACUUGGGGGACUACAUUAUGUACCAUAUAUUGGGCCUCAACUGGGCCUCAUGAAAAAUACUUGGGGGACUCUAGCCCAUUAUUUAUGUAUUAAGGAGCGAGCCCUUAUUCUAUAAAAGGGACUCCCUCACUUUCAUUAAAAGAUCACCCAUGAUUUAUGUAUUGAGGAGCGAGCCCUUAUUCUAUAAAAGGGACUCCCUCACCAUCAUUAGAGAGCAACGCCACCAGCUGAGCAACCGCCUCGCCGCGAGCAUCACUCAUAACCCAUCAUUUAUGUAUUAAGGAGCGAGCCCUUAUUCUAUAAAAUGGAUUCCCUCACCUUUAAACGCCGCAAGCCGAGCCAACCAAGGCAACAUAAGCCACGAGCCGAGCAGCCUCACAGCGUGUGCUACUUCUAGUUGAGCGUCAUUUCAGAUUGAGCACUGCCUCAUAUCGAGCAUCAGUUCAAGACAACAUCUAGUUACUUCGGCCCACACAUGGACUGAAUUUCAAGUCUCCAGCCAAAAGACUCUCUUGACUGAAGACUUGGGGGACUACUGUUGAUACCAUAUUUAGGGCCUCGUAUUUAGACCUCGUAUAAAUACUCGAGAGACUUAAAUGUGAUUAUGUAAUAAAGGAAGGGGCAAAUAUGUAAUUAGGGGAGGAGCCCUUAUUCUAUAAAAGGGCAUCCUCACCCUCACAAACCCUAAGCCUCCUCACCCCUCUCAAAGCUCUCACUCAUAGAGCUCUUUCUCUCCCUCACUUCUCAGAGAAAUAUAAUACAAUCAGUGUGGACGUAGCCCAAACCUUGGGGUGAACCACGAUAACUCUUGUGUCAUUUACAUUUUAUGCAGAUUCACGGUCGGAUUUAUGUUGUACCAAGACCAUCCGGUUUUGUGCAUCAACAUCACUAAAGCCAUUGCAUUCACAAUUUCUUGAUCUUUCAUUUGCAAUGCUUGUGACAAAUCAUUUGUGAGUCCCAAUAUGACUUUCAUCAAGAAAAGGUGAAACACAAACUCAAAAGUACGUAUAUCUCUCAUUAACUUAUUUGCUUCACCCGCACUUUCAUUGGGAUUAUCAUCAAUAACCAUUUGAAGCACAUGAACCACGGAUGAAAACAUGGAAAUGAUGCUAAUCAAGGUACCAUAGUGUGAGUUCCAUCGUGUGUCACCGGCACGUUUGAGACUUGUUUCUUGAUUUAAGCCUCGCCCCGUUAUAAGACAAUCAUUUUCAAAAGCUAUCACAAGCUCUUCUUGAAGUUGCUCUCUAAGUAAAUCACGCCGCUUACAAGAUGCUCCAACAUGAUUAACCACACUAUUAGCCGUUGCAAAAAAAUAGGCAAUGUCUAUAUUCUUCUUUGCUACGGCAACAAGAGCUAGUUGAAGUUGAUGAGCAAAGCAAUGAACAUAAUAUGCACAAGGUUGUUCUUUCAAUAUCUUUGUUUUAAGGCCAUUCAACUCACCUCUCAUAUUGCUAGCACCAUCAUAACCUUGUCCUCGUAGCUUGGAAAUUCUCAAACCGUAGCGAGAAAAUAAUGUGUCAAUAACAUCCUUUAGUGAACUUGAAGUAGUGUUGGUAACAUGUUGGAUACCCACAAAUCUUUCAAUUACAUGCCCGUUGUCAUCCACAUAACGCAACACCAUAGCCAUUUGCUCUUUCACCGACACAUCACGUGCUUCAUCCACCAAUAUUGAAAAGAAUCUAUCUUUUAGACCAUCCAUGAUAGCAUCAAGUGUUUCAAGGGCACAUGAAUUCACAAUUUCUUUUUGAAUGCUAGGAGCUACUAAUCUGAGAUUCCCCGGAGCAUUUGCCAUCACAACUUCUCUAACUUUAUCAUUAUUAUCUGCAAGGAAUUGCAAUAGCUCCAAGUAAUUUCCCCUAUUGCUUGAAGUGGCACUUUCAUCAUGGCCACGAAAAGGAAGACCUUGUCGCAAUAAAAACUUAGUGCACUUGAUUGAUGCAUUCAAGCAUGUGCGAUAAGCCUUACGAGCUUGGUCAGAGUGUUUGCUCACUGCCGUUUCAAUAUGUGUAGAUUGAUUCAUCAAAUUUGUAGCAGCUUCUCUAGCCUUAUUAUGAACACUCCCAACCGGUCCAAUAUGCAUCUUAAAUCUUUCUCUCCCUUUCUUCCAAGUCUUAAAUCCAUCUCCAGUGAAAGCUUCACUACCCACUUGUGCAAAUUUGGUUUUAAAGAGAUAGCAAUAGAGACAAAAUGCCGCAUCUUUAGAUAUACUAUACUCCAACCAAUCAAACUCAUCAAACCAUUGGGGAAUGAAGCGUCGAUUAAUUCCCGACAUAUUAGUUAUUGGGAAAUUAUGACCUCUAGGUUGACAAGGUCCUUUUUGUAGAUAUGAUCUUCGGACCUCAUCUCUCAUAUUAGCAUCAUAAUCUAUUAUUCGAGUUCUCAAUCCAGGAUCCGCUUCAAGAUUACCCAAAACAUCAUCUAACUGACUUUGCCUUGAACUUGGAGUUCUUGAACUACCAACAGUAUUUGAACUAUCAACAUUAUUCGAACUACCCGAACCCGAUGAUGACUUUCUCUUAAAAAACCGUUCCAUAAUAAUUCUACAUAUACAAAAUAAUGAAAAUAAAUACUCACAAUAUAAACAAACCAUCAACAUAAUCAAAAUAAAUAUGAAUUGGAUUUCAAUUAAAUUAAAUAUCUCAUCUUGCAUUCUACAUAUACAAAAUAAUGAAAAUAAAAACUCACAAUAUAAACAAACCAUCAAUAUAAUCAAAAUAAAUAUGAAUUGAAUUUCAAUUAAAUUAAAUAUAUUCUACAUAUACAAAAUAUUCAAAAUAAAUACUCACAAUAUAAACAAACCAUCAACAUAAUCAAAAUAGGGAAAAUUAGGUUCACAUCCUUCUUUUUGUUACUUCAUUGAUUAAAAUCCUAUUCAUUUUCAAUUUUUGAUCAAGGUCCUUGGUAUUAAUAACAUCAUUAAUUAUUUGAAUAAUAAAAUAUUUUUAUUUUUAAAUAUAUUCCUGUAGUGUUAAAAAUGUUACAAUUAGUAUAUUUAUAUUUAUGGCUAAAAUUUUUAUCAUAUAUUUUUAUUUUUAGUUUGUACCAAUUUUUAAUUUGCAAAUAUUUUUUUAAUUUGUACCAAUUUUCUUUUCAUUUUUAAUUUGUACCCAUAUAUUAGUUUCUUUUUGUGCCCAUAUUUUUUAAAGUUUUAUUUGUGUUUGUACCCAUGUGUAUACCAUCACUUGACAUUGUAUAUUUAAUCAAUGAUAGAAAAAUUACAUAUGGUAUAUUUAUGUUUUAUGCCUAAACUUUGUACCAUAUAUUUAUAUUUUUAGUUUGUACCCACUUUUAAUUUGCAACAUUUUUUUUUUAAAAUUUGUAGUAUUUUCUUUUUAGUUUUAUUUUGUACCCAUUUAUUAAUUUCUUUUAGCACCUAUAUUUUUAAAAAUUCAUUUGUACUCAUAAUUUUUAAUCUUUUAUUUGUACCCUAAUUUAUUUAUGAUGUACCCAUUCUUCUUUAGUAAUGUACCACUUUGUUAUAUGUGAAAUGUACCAAUUUUUUUGUAAAAUGUACCAAUUUUUUUAACACUAUGGAUACAUUCUUUUGCCAUUUAUUAUUUCUUAUUUUUACAUAGUUUUUAUCCAUUUAUUCAAUUAAAAUGUUUGAAUUUUUUUUAUUAUAACCGUUUCUAAUAGUAUUAUAAUGAAGGAUUUUAAAUUUAUAGGAUUAUAAAUCUCAUAAAAUAUCAAACAAUUAAUUGCAAAACUAUAAGAAUAUAAAUAUUAAUAGUAAUAUAAUGAGGUGUACAAAGUCAAGGGACCUUGAUCAAACUUUGAAUACUAUUAAGGUUUUAAUCAAAGAAUGUUAAAGAUUAGGGACCGCAAUCAAAUUAUCCCAUCAAAAUAAGUAUGAAUUGGAUUUCAAUUAAAUUAAAUAUCUCAUCUUGCAUUCUACAUAUACAAAAUAAUGAAAAUAAAAACUUACUUGAAUUGUGAAAUUUCACAAUAACAAUGAGCAAAUACAAAGAGCAAAGCUGGUGGAGCAAGGGAGGAGAUGGAGUUGGAGGCACCUUAAUGGCGGCAGCAGGGGAGGAGAUGGAGUUGUGGGUUUGGGGGGGAUUGAGUUUGGAACUUAGGGUUGGAGGAGGAGAAAACAAAAGAAAUUUGGGGGGUUUUGGAAUGAAAGGCUUCGAAUCUGUGUGAAAUAGGGCUGAAAAGGACACGGUCGGUAUUUUUUUUUUGUUCAGACCUACCCAGGACACGCUGGGCAUUUUUUUUUUUGUUCAGAUCAUUUAAAAAAAAUUCCUGGGCCAAAACGACGUCGUUUUGCCCAGGUUUUAAAAAAAAACAGGCGCGCGCCUGCGCCUUCGUCUUCCUCUUGCCCAGCCGAGAGUUCUUUCGGACCUUUCGUCGAACACUUGGUGUGCAGCCAAGGGGUCGCACCAGCAGCUCCAAAGGGUCUCUAAGGUUGUUUCCAUGGCUUCCAAGAGGUCGUGCGACCCCAUUGACCCCACUGUGGAUCCGCCACUGGGUGUACAAAAUUCGUGGUCGAAGGCACCAACUUCAACUCCCGCAAAGAUUUCGUCCCUGGCGAGGUACUUGGAUUAUUUAUUCUUGGAAAAAUUAGUAUCCGGUCCCUAGUUUUUACUGUUCAUUGACUAAGACCUUAUUAGUUCUCAAAUUUUGAUUCAAGUCCCUAGCAUUAAUGUGAUAAUGAAUUUACAUGUUUAUUAUAUAAUUUUUUAAUAUAAAAAUUAGUAAUUAAUUUAGGGUUUAAUACUCACACCUCUAUUAAACUUCUAAUAAAUUUUCAAUUCAAACAUUUCCAAAAUAAUAAAAAAUUAAAUUAAAUUAAGUUUGUACCUAUUAGUUUUUUUAUAUAUAUAAAAAGAUUCUCAAUUUUUUAAUCUUAAAUGUACCCAUUCAUAUAAUUUUUCAAUUUUUUAAAUCUUAAAUGUACCCAUUCUCAAAUAUAUCAAUUUGUUAUAUGUAAAAUGUACCUUUUUUUUUAAUAUAAAAUCCAUUCAAAUUUUUUAAUUCAUGUUUAAACUCAUAUGGGUACAUUCUUUUUCGUUGAUUUGAGAAUGUAUCCAUGUUUUGGUACAAUAACUUUUUUUGUUAAUUUUGGUUAAUGUACCCAUACAUAUAUGUAUACACACACACACACAAUAUAAUAGAGAGUAUAAUAUUUAUUAUUUUUAAUCCCAUAAAUUAUGGGUUUUAUUUAAAAUCUCAUUAAUAUAAACAAUUACAAAUUUCAAUUUUGAAUUUUGAAUUAAAAAAAUAUAGUAACUUACAUUAUUACAUUAAUGUCAGGGAUCUCAAUAAAAAACCAAAAACUAACAAAGUUUCAAUCAAAGAAUGUUGAUAGCUAGGGACCACAUCCAAAGUGUCCCUUUAUUAUUCUUUAAUCUUGUUCGUCUUUUGGUUUUAGUUUUAACAUAAUACCUAAUAUGGAUAUCUCUCUCUAGGUUUUGUUUUACUUUUACAAGAAUAAAGGAGCUAGGGUUUUCUAUUUACGCAUUAUGUUUAGGGUUUAAGGUUACCGUUAAAAAAUAGAAAAUUUAGCACAAGUAUCAUCUGAACUAUUCCAGGAGUGUGCAUUUACUAUCAAACAAUUUUUUUUGACAAGCUACAACCAAUACUUCCUUUUGAGUGCUAUUUUACUUUCUUAUUUGCUAGCACAUGAUCUCUGGCAAUCCAAAGCCUAUAAAACCACUUUCACAUGAUCAUAAAUAUAUGUAGUUGACCUACCACCAAAAAGUAAAGACGAAUAAUUGAUCAGCAUAUAAAUGUUUCUCAAAUACUGUCUCUCUCAAAGUCUGAAAGAACAGACAACAAUAGUCUUUGUCCGACUGAUGAUAAUAUGAUCAUCUGAACAUACUAUGGACUGCAUACUAGAAAACAGAGAAGGAAGCUUCCCUAGUCACUCUCAUUUUCAAGCUUUUUUGUGUUACUCGACCUUUCCCUCGCGGUGAAUGAACAGAUGAAUCGAAAGAUAUACUCACGCGUGGAGAUCAUGGCUAGAGGAAAUGAAAGUGAGGCUGAAACUUGAAUGAAGAGAAAUGAAAGAAUAAGUUGUUAUCGUUGAAAAUGAAUUUUACAUUGAUGGGAGGAGGAACUUUGCAUAGACUUUUAUGGUAGAACCUCAACUUUUUCAUGAUACUAGAACAUGUUGUCCCACGUGUGAAGCCCAAUGGCCACACGAGUUUCACGUCAUCCCGUUUGUGUUUGUCCACGUGUUAGGUUUGAAAUUUGCCACACAUAAGGAGGCGUAUUGAGAAUGAAUAUCAUAUUGAUAGGAAAAUGGACCCUGCAUAUGAGCUUAUAAGUAAGUUUGUCUAUUCAUUAUAUUGCCAAUUAGUUUUAUGGUGUAACUCCAACUUUUUUCAGUUAUUCCAAAAUAAAAUCAAAUGUACAUGGCCUCACAGGAAGGAUUGAUGCCCUACUCAUACACAUGUUGACAUUUCCUGAUCCCGUGUGAGAUACUUGGAGAAGAAUCAUCAAGGCCUUGCCCAAUAUGUGUUUUAUGUCACUUUUACCAACAAAAUACGUAUCACUAAGAGAUAUGAGUUUUGAUGGUCUUAUUUUCAGUCCCACACGUUAUCUUUCGAAAUUGAGGGCAGCUGGAAUAAUUGAUCACUAGCCACCAACCAAUUUUAAGAAAACUAAAGGAAAAGAAGUAAAAAGGCCAAAAGAAGAGGACCAUACAUAUUAAUUAUACCCUACCUUAGUGAUUGUGUUUGAUUGAACAUUAUUGCUCUUAAAAUGGCAAUUUUAUCCUCUCGAUCGAUAGAAACCACAAAGUUGGAUAGCUACAAUGUGUGUUCCACGAGGCAAUUAUGAGUUUUAAAUUUUAUUUUUUGUGAUUAUCUCGACGUAAGGAUUUUAAAACUAGAAAACAUUAAACUUACUGCAAAUUAUAAUACCAUUUAAAUCCCUAGAUUUAGGAUUGCUCCAGCUAAAUCGACCUCUAAGUUAUGAUUAUUAUUUGAGCAGUAGAUUACACCGAACUUUAGAGACCAACUUCUAGAGGUUGAUAUGUAUUAUUUUUACGUGUCGUGAUCGGAUUAUACUAAUAGAAAAAUAAGCACGUUAAAUAGUAAUAAUUCAAUCAUCAUCAUGUCAUAUAAUUUAAAUUGAUAAUCUAUUUAGCAUUAUCUUAAAAAAUGCUCCAAUACUACCUGUAGGAAUAGGAUCCUCUCUGGAUCUUUUUUUGUGGGAAUCAGAAUGAUAAAUCAAUCGUGUCCAUUUAUCGUAUAUCGUUCGUUUAUAGUUAUUAAUAAAAACUGACCGCACAAUAUUAAUUGAUUCCUUAAUUCCCACAAAAAUGAUCGGAAAGGAUCCUUGUCCCUACCUGUAAGCUUAAUCUUCAGUGAAAAAAUGAAUUUGGGUCUGCCACGUGUACAGACAGAUCAUUUCGAGGUCAAGAAAACAAUAUAAAAAUCAAACUAAUUGUGAACAAGCUUCUCCAUCCUUCCACCGAACCAUUCCUGAGUGUUCAUUGUUUUUUGACAUUGACAUGUUUCAUACCACAUGGUUUAUAGUACAAUCAUUCAGAUGAUAGCCUGGCUGGACCUUGCAUUAUUAUCAAGUUCAAUGGUUGUGGCAAUUUGUAGUCCCUUUCUGCACACGUGGCCUCUUUGCCCACACUAAAUUUGAAUGAGAGGUCAUCUAUUAGAAAAUGUCACACUUUGCCAUGUUCUUGGAUAAAAAUUUUGCUAACUCUUAGCGAAUAAAUGACAAUAAGUAGCAAUGUCCAAUUUAAUUAGCAAUAUCAAAAUGAAAGCCAAACUUGUUUACUACUACUUUAGUGAUGAAUGAGUCAAAAACUUCUAACACACAAGUUAUAUUAUUCAAAGCUCAUACAAAUAUGAUCUACAAUACUUACGUGUGACAUUAUAUAUAAAAAGAAAGAUAAAUUGCUUCCAAAAAAAAAAAAUUAAAAGAUAAAUUUAUCUACCAUGUUAUAUGUUUUAAGAAACGAUAUUUUAAAACACUUUAAUUUAAAAAAUUUAUUUGUAUUAGAGUGUGUAUCAGUAACAUGAACCAUUUGUAAGUCUAAAUGGCAUUACUCUAUAAAAACAAAAAGACUCAAACUCAAAGACAAAAAGACGGACACACUAUAUCGGCCCACCAAUUAACCUUACUUCCUUGUAUGCAUAACUAGAUAGAAAAGCCUUACUUCUUUGUAUACAAAACCAAAUAUAAAAGCACCAUUUCCUCGCAUUAUAUAACCAAGUGAUUUCCGUCAUCCAAUCCAACAUCAAUAGCAUGGAUAAUCAUCCAAUAUCCGAAGACCCCAAAACUCCACUUCUCCCUCUCCACGAUCAAAUCCAACGGUCGCAGAGCUUCCAUUCAUCCUUGAAAUCAAUUCUAACACUCAAGAACUUCUUCGUCCUCCUCGGACCUCUUCUGUGCACCAUUAUAUGCCUCUGUGUGAAGCUAGAUGGCCCGGUGGCCAGCCGGAACAUGUUGGCGGUGCUGGUGUGGGUGUUUGCUUGGUGGCUCACGGAGGCCGUGCCCAUGCCAAUUACCUCCAUGUCCCCACUCUUUCUCUUCCCUCUCUUCGGAAUUGCCUCUGCAGAUGAUGUUGCCCACUCUUACAUGGAUGAUGUUAUUGCCCUUCUUCUUGGAAGCUUUAUAUUGGCUCUUGCUGUUGAGCAUUACAACAUCCACAGAAGAUUGGCCUUGAAUGUGAGUUUCUCUAGCUACUAUGUUUCUCUGCUAAGAUGGAUCACCUUAAUGGUUAUUUAUGCUAUGAUUGUUAUGCUUAAUGGUUAUUUUAGUACAAGCGCACAGAUACAUGAGAAAAAGAAAGAAAGGGACCAAAUGGCAAACAUUUUACUUCUCUCUUCAUUCACAAUUUCCCUCUGUUAUGUUUGCAUUCCUUGUUUGGUAGAAAGCUAUUGCAGCCAUAUUAUAUUACAUAUAAUAAUUUUAAAUUUGGUUUGUCCGGAAAUUCAUUGGAUUAGAUUUGAGAAAUCUGUCAUUUACUAGUUAGUUCACUAACUAAUCCCAUAGAUAUAAUAAUAAGGAGUUUUAACGAAAAGUCCGUAAUACUGUUCAUUUUAACGAAAAACUACAUUUUUACAUUAAAAUGUCAAUUAUGAUACUAUUUACUUUACCCAUUAUUUUGUUUUUAUUGUUCAAACUCAAAGUUUUAAAGUUAUUUUCAUUAAUUUUCUUUAUAUAAUAUCCUAUCGAAAUUCUAAAUAUUGCAAAAAAUAUAUCUGACUAUUUUUUCUUCCUAAAUUAAUGCACUUUUGUCCAAGAAUACGGAAAUGCAAGAGAGGAGCGUCAAUGACGCUUCCCUAAUCCAUGGUAAAUGUAACGUUAGAAAGGAAACGUGAAUUUGAAUUCUCAUACAUUUCAUUCCAAAAUCAACAAGAAUCAAAUGGAUAGUCCUCCCUCCAAUGACCCCAAAAUCCCACUUCUCCCACUUGAUGAUCCAAAUCCAAACCAUAACUCACAAAUCAACUACCCUUCUUCACUGGAAUCCAUUCUAACAUCCAAGAACUUGUCCAUCCUCCUGGGUCCUCUUUUGAGCACCGUUAUUUGCCUCUGUGUCAACUUAGAUGGCACCAUCGCUAGCCGGAAUAUGUUGGCAGUGCUUGCCUGGGUGUUUGCUUGGUGGCUCACAGAGGCCGUGCCGAUGCCAGUUACCUCAAUGGCCCCUCUCUUCCUCUUCCCGCUCUUCGGAAUUACCUCUGCAGAUGAUGUUGCCCACUCUUACAUGAACGAUGUUAUUGCCCUUGUUCUUGGAAGCUUUAUUUUGGCUCUCGCCGUUGAGCAGUAUAACAUACACAAAAGAUUGGCCUUGAAUGUGAGUCCUCUUUUCAUUGUUGUUUUCUCAUAUUAACCCAUUUAUGUGAUACAUCGUUCACAGAAUAUUAUUGACGUCAAUAAAGCAAACAUAAAUAUAUUUUCGACAACAUUAAUAUAUGUCACAACUUGAGAAUUGAGUGCCUUAGUGUCUGAACCCUACUAGGGUGAGAGCCACAUUGUGCUCGAACCCUGUCGCACACUAUCCGCUUAGGGUUUUCAAAAUAAUUUUGUUUUGGGAUUCAAGCGAUACUAAUGAAGAAGAAUCGAACUUUGGACUUCAAGUACAAAAAUAAUUUAUGGUAAUGCUAAAGAGACAAUUUAUUUAAGCUAAAUUUUGGAGGCUAUAUGGUGUGGUUGUUGAUGAUUGAGAGAAAAAUUUUAAUGUGCCGGAAAUACGACUCGGUACACCAAGUGUUAUAAUAAAAUUGGUUGGAUUUUCUUUUUUCAAGUUUCCAACAAAGUGUAUUAUUACACUUGGUUUGUUGGGCAGUGUUUGCAGCACACAGAAAAAUCUCUCGACGUUUGAUUAUUACUUAAAAAGUAAUGCUAUGGAAACUCAAUUUGUAAACUAAAUUAGCAAAUCAAAUGAUCUAUCACUAAUAAAAAUGAGUUAUCAAUAAUUAAGUAAUAAUUCAAUCAUCAACUUACAUGUCAUUUAAUUUACAAAAUUUAGUCUACAAAUUGUUCUUACUUAAAUAUUGAUUCACGUAUUGGUGGAACACUUACAAAUUGGACAAGUUGAUUUACCUAGUAUUACUAGUUAACCCUUUUUUUAUCCCGAACACAGAUAACCCUGGUGUUCUGCGGAGAUCCCUUGAAUCCGCCAUUGCUGCUGCUGGGAAUAUGUGGGACCGCAGCAUUCAUCAGCAUGUGGAUGCACAACGUGGCAACUGCGGUGAUGAUGAUGCCCGUAGCCACCGGCAUUCUCCGGCGGUUUCCAACGGGUCCCGACCAGUCCGUGGUUGCGAGCAACUUUUGCAAAGCCGUGAUUCUGGGGAUGUUGUACUCCAUAACCAUAGGAGGGAUGAGCACUCUGACGGGGACAGGUGUCAAUCUCAUAUUGGUUGGAAUGUGGAAGAGCUAUUUCCCACAAGCAGCUCCGAUCACCUUCAGCACCUGGUUCUGUUUCGCCUUCCCUUCGGCAUUGUUGAUGUUCUUGGCGCUGUGGGCUUUGCUUUGCUACUUGUAUUGCUCAAGGAGUUCAGGCCAGGCUCUCUCUGUUUAUUUAGACAAAGCCCAUUUGAAGAAGGAGCUCGAAUUGCUAGGUAGGAGCCCUCAAACUUAGAGCAACUUACAUACAAUCAGCAUCGAAUUGUGGUGUAUCAUAAAUCAAUCACACAUUGUCGUGUGUGAAUUUUUUGACAACUAAAAUUGCUUCUAACUAAAUUAGACAAAAAAAGUUCAAAUGUGUUUUUGAGGGAGUAGGACUUUUAAUAAAAAAUCAACGUGUUUCUCAUGAAAGUACUGAUAUUAAAACGUUGAUGAGAAAAAGUGUUUCUUACAAAAACAAUUUCGAAAAAAUUACUCUUUUUUAUGGCAAUUGUUGUGAAUACCCCAAAUGCCAUAAUAAAAUAGGUAACACAUGGUAUCACCGUAUUAGUCAUGUUCUUUUCGGCUUUUGGCCCAAUGUUCAGUAUCCAAUCUUAGGCACUAGAGAACACCUUCUGUGUAAUUGUAUUUCCAAAUCAACUUACAAGUGUUGAUGCGGCAACCGGCAGGUCCAAUGGCUUUUGCUGAGAAGAUGGUACUGGCUUUGUUUUCGGUGCGUCCCCAAGUACUCAGUUUCGCAUAGUUUUUUAGUAUGGAUGUGUCCUCCAAUUAUUAUGACUAGCAUUUUCUGCAGAUGCUGAUUGUUUUGUGGAUGACAAGAAGCAUAACGGAGGAUAUUCCGGGCUGGGGAGUCCUCUUCAACGGGCGUGCCGGAGAUGGAACUGUCAGUGUGAGUAUGGACCUUUCUUCUUAUGUGUUCUAACUUUAAACACGAAAUAGCCUUACAAACAGACCUUUCCGUUGGAUCAAAUUUUCAAGUGUGACUUGAAAUGUUUGUAGGUUAUGGUUGCAACAUUUUUGUUCAUAUUUCCAAGCAAAAAGGAAAAGGGUGAGAAGUUGAUGGACUGGGAAAAAUGCAAGAAGCUACCCUGGAAUAUCAUAUUGUUACUAGGUGCUGGUUUAGCCAUAGCUGACGGAGUUCGAUCCAGUGGCCUUGCUAAUAUAUUAUCUGAAACCCUAGAUUUUUUGGAGGCAGUCCCAUAUGUUGCCAUUGCACCUGCUGUGUGUCUCAUAAGUAGUUCCAUCACUGAGUUGAUCACAUCAAACAAUGCGACAACCACGCUUAUUAUUCCUCUCCUAAUUCAAAUUGCCAGAAAUAUGCAUGUGCAUCCUCUCCUUCUGAUGAUUCCGGGUGGCAUUGGAGCACAAUUUGCUUUCUUGCUUCCUACGGCAACUCCUUCAAAUACCGUAGGAUUUGCCACUGGCCGCAUUGAAAUCCAAGAUAUGAUCAAGAUUGGCUUGCCAUUGAAGAUUGUUGGGAUUGCUGUGUUGUCCCUUUUGAUGCCCACUCUCGGUAACUUUCCUUUUCUCUUCAUUAUUUAGCUCACUUCAAUUUUGAUCAAUUUUCAUCUUCAUUACAUGGUGUUGUGUUCACAAGUAACUAUUGUGUUUUGGCUAUUGCAGGAGCUUAUGUAUUUAAGACAAGUGAACCAGUUUAAUGACUUGAAAGUUCAGAAAUGUUUCGGUGUCUCGCAAAAUUCUAGGGCAUAAAAAAAAUUAGAACAUAUUUCAUUAGCGAUAGUCUUAUGAUCACUUUCAUAUGUGAAUUAGUGACUGUGAGAUACCUAUAUGAAUUCAAAACACAACUUUAAAUUACAUUUUAUAUAUGAACUCCACGAUGGUCAACCUUAUAAACAUGAGUGAAUAUGUAUGCAUAUACAUUUUUGCUUAUUAUACAAGAUCACAUCACCACAUCAUCUCUAAUAAAACAUUACAUCCCAAGCAAAUUUAAGUUUUAACAGCACACCAAUAUAUAACUCGCACACGAAGUUCAAGGCUAGAGUAACCAAGAUAAACCAAUGAUCGGAGGCUUCCAUGGAGAUGGUGAUUUUCUGGGCUCUUAUUGAUCACUCCAUACUGAUCAACUUUGCUUUUGUCCAAACUCCUCGCUGGUCAACCGAGCAGGGAAAAUUUUUGAACUUGAAACAACUGCUAAUCUCCAUGUAGCUAAGUGCAGGCAAAAUUUUCCUCAAGUUCUCCCAAUCUUCCUCAAAGCCCAGAAACUUCAAACACAAACCCUCAACAUUUUUCCAAGUGGACUGAUCACUGGUCAGUCUCACAAUGUCACAAUUCUCGACACAGAGAUACUGCAAUCUAGAAAGCUUGGCAGGAUGAAACCAGUUGGGCAUUGUUUUGGAAUGAUAAUUCCUUACAUACAGCUCCCUGAGAUUUGGAGGCAUCUGAAGAUUGUCUAACUCACUCAAAGUUUUAUUUUCUUUACAUUCUUCAGCAUCAAUGGUAAGAACCUUGAGAAACCUGAGGCUUGAUAGGAUGCCUAUUUCAUCUUGGGAGAUUUCAGCGUCAGCACUUAGGACAAUUCGAAGAACUCUUAGCUCCUUUAGUUCUUUGAGCUCACGAAGGGCGCAACCUUGUGUUUUGGCCGGAUUCACCACCUUGAAUCCGGUGAGUUCUUGUAGAAGACGGAGGCUCCCUAGACCCUUGGGUAGGCAAUCAAGGGGACAAUCUCCAAGGUCCAAGACAAUGAGCCUCUUCAAAUAUUUGAUUGAUGGGUGUAUUUUGACUAGCUUUUUGCAUCCUUUCAACACCAAAAGCUGGAGGUUAAGCAGUUUCUGAAUUGAAGAUGUGACUUCCCGUAUCUGAGUUCCACUCAAGUUUAGACAUGCUAAGCGUUUGAGAGAACUGAUAUAGCUGAAGAGAUCCUCAGCGCACGUCACUGUUAAAUAAAACAUGUGACACGUGAGACGGAAUAUUUUGUUUUGUUUCGUUUUUUGUUUUUGUUUGUGGAAAAUGAUUUCUACACGUCUCUUCUUAUUAUACACACUCGUGUUUAUUUUUUCCUUUGAUUUAUUAUAUCCAAAGGUCGUAAAUAAAGUAGGUGUGCAUAAAGGAAGAAAAGACGCGUGUGAUAAUCAUUUUUUAUGCACAAACAUCACAUACACAAGUGUACACACUCAAUAGAUCGAAAUUAGAAAGCAUGAUGAAGAAUUUAAAGUGCGUUCUACCUGGAGACGGGCUGCUGCUAUCUUCGACAACUUUAGAGUACGACAAGUCCAACACCCUGAGGGACUCCAGGAACCUAAAAUUCUUGCCAAAGUUAUUAGGAGGGCUUGACAUGAGAAAAAAUGUCCUCAACUUUGGAUUAUCUUCUAGUUCCUUCUCGUCAUCAUCCAUGUCUUCGCUGAUACGGAACCAUCGUGGCUUUUGCUCAUUUUGCUCAUGUUUCUGCAUUAGCUUUCCUUGCUCAUUGAAGAUGCAAAAUGCCUCCUCUCCCGCAAUCUUGAUAAUUACCUCCCGCACCAUAUCGUGUAUCUUGCACUUAUAAACUUUCCCAUCGUACCAUCGCCGAUCCACUACUUCCAGCAGGCUUCUGUUCACUAAUUCUGCGAGAUAUUCAAAUCCCAAUUCUAUAGCUGUUGUUGAGCCCUUUUCCCGGACGAUGCCCUCCCCAAUCCACCAGUGAAUUAACUGUUCCGCAUCUAUCUCAAAGUCUUCAGGAUAAAUGGAGAGACACAAUAGGCAUUGCUUGAGACUGGUAUGCGGAAGUUCAUCAUAGCUUAACUGCAGAGAGUCGAUGACAGAGUCAGUUUUUCCUUUUUUUGUGAGUUCAUGGAAUUUGUCCGAAAUGUCUGUCCAUUCUGAAGGAGAACCAACCUUCUCAGACAAUAAGCUUCCUAAAGUCUUUAUUGCCAGAGGAAGGCCACCACAUUUCUUCAAGAUAUGCACUGAGACAUCUUUAUAAUGCUCACUAGGGCAUUUUCCAUUGCUUUUUCGAAAUGCAUAUUCACUGAAUAAAUCCCAGCUGUCUUCGUUCUCUAGAGGUUUAUGGUGAUGAAUUUGUGUGUUUCUAAGAACCAUUUUUUGGGCAACGUCUUCAAUCCUGGUGGUAAUAAUGAUGCAGCUGGAUUUACCAACUGAUGUUGGUAGCUGGGAGCACAGGUCUUUCAACCAAUCUGAUUUGUUUUUGUAAGGCCACACAUCAUCCAGGACAAUGAGAUAGGAUUUACCGUUAAGGACAGUGAUGAGUCUGCGCAAAAUUUCAUCACUAUCCAAGGAAGACGUUUCUUCAUUAACUUUGUUGAGUAACUUCUUCAGGAUCCACUGCUCGCAGAAAUUUCCUGAAACACAGACCCACAUUGUCUUUUCAAAGUGAUCCAAGAUUUGAGAAUCGUUAAAGAGUUGUUGAGCAAGGGUGGUUUUGCCCAAGCCCCCCAUCCCCACAAUGCCAAUGUAGUUCAUUGCUGGUUCCUUCUCGUCGUCAUUAAGUAUCCACCCUUUCAACUUUUCUAUGUCCUCAUCCAAUCCAUAUGUCUUAUGUGGGUUUAGUGAACCAACAAUUCGCCAGCUGCUGCUGAUUUGUUGGCUGAUACUACUAUCUGGUGCAGCAGCUGAUGCACUAAAAUAGUUGAUCAACACGUCGUGCACGUUCUUCAUAUCAGAAUUAAUCUUCGUCAACCUCCUGCCCAUCGCAUGCGGGAAAACCGGAUCCAGAGGCAACAAGCAUGAGAAGAACCUCUUUUUCUUCUUUUCUUCCUCACUGAUCAGGCAAUCCGUCAAUGCGUUGUCGGCUUCAUAAAUGACUUCCCUUAGCUCACUCAAAUAUUUCUUGACCGUUUCCUGAUCAGACGACAGUUUCAGUUUCUUAUCUGCGUCGACAACUAAGCAUCUCAUUUUUCCAAGCCAUUUUUCCAUCUGCUCAAGCUCAUUUUUGAAUUUAAAAACGAACCGAGCUUCCUGCACCACAGCACGGACCACUUGUGCUGUUACGGCCUGAACCAGAGCUUCUACCAGCAUCGUCAUCGAUCUGUUACAUUUUUACACAUUUCGCUCUUAGUUAUAUUAUAUUUAUGAUACUAUUAUUUAAGAGAAUUAAAACUAGAUAAAAUCCAUAUUAGAAUAAGUCCCGUGAAGUGGAGCUUCACAUCUUAUAUCCCGUGAAGUUGAAUUUUGCCAUUGUUGACUCGAAGUAUGCAUGCUGGGCUAAGGUGGAAAAAAUAUAGCCCGAGAAAAACUUGAAAAACGGGUUGGGCUUCUGGCCCAAUAAGGAACCCAAGUUUGAAACGAAUUUGGGCAGCGAUGCACAAUGCCGAGACUUGACUGAAGGCGCAGAAGGAGCAGAGCUUAAAGACGGGCUAUUGGCUAGUUUACUCUUACUUUAUUUGAACGAGGAAAUAUUAAAAAAUUUCAAAAUAAUGAAAAUUGAAAUGAUGAAAUUUUAUUUUUUAGAAUUUUUUAGUUUUUUUGUUUAGUUAAUCUAAAACAACAAUAAAAUUCGAAUAUGGAAUUUGUUAUUUUUAAACUCUCAUCCGUAGAAAUCUGGAAAUGACACAUAUUUAUAUGGAAUUUAAACCUGAGAAUUUUAAAAAAAAAUUCUAUGCAGAAAUUCUAAAUUUCUAUGUCUAUGAAUCUAAGCAAGGAAAUUUGUUCAUGUUAAUUUAUAAACUUUGAUUUCUAUCAAAACUUGAAGUUUAUUUUUUCAUCUAAACAUAAUGUAAGGGUAUGUUUACGAAACCCAAGUGAAAUACGAAGCAACGGAAUUGCACUUUUUUUCGAAACAUUCAAGCGUUUAUUAAUAUUUCAGUAAUUGGAAAUAAGGUGAGGUCCACACAAAAUUAGGAAUUAAAUUCCACAGGGGGUAUUUGUAUUCUGGGAUAAGCCUCCUCCAGAAAUCCAACUUUUCUACCCACCACUCCUGUUCCUUCUACCUUUCAGCCGAGUCUAUCGACUCCCUUGAACAUUCACCAGCUCAAUCUCGUCAAUCGGCGAGAUGGGCCUCAAGCUGCACGGGUUCAGGAUGAUUUUGUCAAGAUGGGUUUCGAAGCUGCAGUUGGUGAAGAAUAGGUUGUCGUUGGCGAAGACCGGAUUUGGAACUCGUUUGGUGCACAAUCGGCAUUGAAUAGACACUCCGGAUCUACUGUUAUGGUGGCUGUGGGAUAUAUUACGGUGGCUAUGUUGUUGGAGAGAGAGAGAUGAGAAGUAGAUGGAGAAAAGAGAUGGGGAAGUUGAAAGAAUUGGGGGAUGGGAAGAAGAGUAUCAGGGAGCAAGGAUGACGGGGAACAAGAUGGAGAAAAGAAAAAGAAAAAUGAAUUUGGUAUUAACAUUAUUUGUGAUUUAAUAUUACGAUAUAGUAUUAUUCUUUUUUAUUUGUAAAUGAAAGGUUUUAGGUUCAAUUCUCGUUAAAUACGAAUUUGAACUAUAUUAUUAAUGGUUUAUUAUGAGAUUAAAUAUUUAUUAAUUUUCAUUAGUGUAAAUAAUAUCAUUUGUUUAAAAUUAAAAAAAUUAAAAAAAUAAAUAAAUAAAUAAAACUAUUUGUUUAACGACAUGGAGGAAUCAGACUCCGUAUGGGAAUCAUCGGUUGUAUGCCAAAUUUGUCCUCCCAGUUUUUCUUAUAAUACUAAUCUACCUUUACCAAUAAAACCGAACAGCAUAAAACGUAUCUUUCAUUGUUUUUUUUAGUUUUUCAACACCCAGUCGUUGAGAACCCUGUCCAAUUAACUUUACAUCCGUUUUAUUACUCUUUUCUACAGGGUGUGCACUAAGGUUUAUUAAUCUGUUUCUCCAAAACAUUAGGAUGACAACGGGGCGGGGUCGGGCGCCACCUCCGUCCCAGCCUUAGUUGGUGACUUUUUCCUCCAUAACCGCAUUCAUAACUUCUAUUUUUUUUGGACGAAACCGCAUUCAUAACUUUGCUAAAUUAUGGACUAAAUCUCAUAAUGAGUUAGCCACAACAAUUUGAUUUAUUAGAAUUGAUAAGAGCUAUGGAAAAAUCAUUAGAUCGAUCUAUAAGUGUGUGCCCCAAAUUAAGAUGAUACACACACACACACACACAAAAUGCUAUGAAACGGUGUACUGUGAGAUUUCCAUACAAAUUAAUACUUGAAAAAUUCUAUUUUGAAAGUAUGCAGAAGUUGUAUGUUAUGACAUUUCCAGAAUAUCAAUGGGAUUAUUAUGCAAGAAUAUGCAAUUCAAUUGUAGUUGUUUGUCAAUUAAUAAAUGAAUUAGACAAUUUGUUUGGCUGAAUGUCUUUUCAUUCUAUCAACUUAUUGGAUUGGGAUGUGGGAAUAAUCAAAACCCUCAAAAAUGAAAAAGAACGUGAAAGAAAGAAAGAACAUAAAAAAAUCUCAUUUGCAUAUGGUGUUUGGUUGGUCAAAUAGAAGCAUGAAAUUUUUUUUGAAAAUUACUUAAUGAGCAUCAUAUACAGAUAAGAUUUCCAAAUAGAUUAAUGUGAAUUUUUGUUAUAUUUGAAAGUUUUAAUAAAAACUGACAUUUAUGAAUUUAGGUCUCAAAAUUUGUUGGAAAACAUGCCUAAGCCCAACGGUAGUUGGUGGGUGACGCGGGAAGGACCAACCGGCUCGACAUCAACGUCGUUACUGACUCAGAUGCAGAAAACAGGUGGCUUGAGGGUACCAUCACUGCCCAAUCCUUGACUGCCGUUGAGGAGGGAGGGGACUAUGACGUUAGUCGCAUGGGGAGAAGGCGGCUGACGGCGCGGGAAAAACAUCGUGAGUGCUGGAUUUCCAUAAUCCGGCGAAAUUCAACCGGAAUCUCGCGUGUCCGUUCGUUAGGGACAAUGUCUCGACCUCACGGUAUAUUCGGCUCAGCACAAGCGCUGGGCUGAUAGUUUGGGCUUUGUCUAAUACCCAACUCGAGAUUUAGUUCUUGCAGAAUUUGAGUUUAGGGUUUGUUUAUUUGAUUUCCAGAUUUUUGGUCAGUAACUCCACAUAACUCACAAACACCAUAAUUCAAGAAAUUCACGAUAUGAUAUAUAAUUUUAUAAAUUAUUAAAUUGUGUUCAUGCUUCAUAGUGAUUGUUUAUAUAAUCAAGGCUUUGAAACAUGAAUUUGAGUUUAGAAUUACCCGGUUGACGUGGCCAAACUUUGAACUUGAAGUGACCUCUCCCCAAUCGAGUACAGAGCACUGCUGCCCUUGCUAAUGGUGAAUCUACAAAGAAAGCCAUAUAUAAUUAGAACAAACAUAAUUGUGAAUAAAUGAUAAUCAUCACUAUAAAAGUUUCAUAAAGAAAUAUAGGGAGAUGAUCCUUCACAGACUAUUUGAUUCAGCAAACUCCAUAUACUACAAUAAAAUACCCCCUUAGCGAGAAGAUAAUUCCUCUAUAAAAGCAGGAAAUGAGUCGCAUAAAGGAUUUUCAUCGAGGUAAUCCCUUCGGAGAUGGUCUAAGGCGAGGAACUAUUGAUCGCCAUUUUUCGAUGAAUUAUUUCUCACUAUAUAGUGCAGCUUCAAAAGCAUGUUUGUCUUACUGAUAAAUGUGUUGAGAAAUAAAUUAUAAAAUAAGAAGGAACAUGAAAGAGAUACGUGUGUUUUAACCUUAAACUUGUGCCUUUAUUCAUACUAAUUCAUAGUGCCCUUUACUUAACCCCAAGAAAUACAGUCAAACAGAGAAAUAAUCUUCUAGAUCCUAUAGAACUUGUGCCUUUAUUUAAUAUAAAAUACUAUCCAUAACAGACUCAAUUUGUUUUCUUAAUAUUUUGCUCUAUUCAUCACAUAUAUGAUCUGGUUUUGGUGUAUCUAGUUUCACAAAAAUCAAGUUUUUAAGAACAUUUAAAGUAUUUUUUGGCGUAAAACAUCAUCAUUUCUUGACGUUCAAAACAUAUAGAUCGAGGGCACAACCAAAUCAACUAAGAACUUGACAAUAAUUAAUCUAUCAUCAUUCAGGAGCACAUACUCAAAUUAACGUAUGCGCGCGGAUCGAUCGAGAUGGACUUGACUAUCGGAGGACUUCAAAUCCUGCUGAUCAGAUACAAAGAAUUAAUCCAUUUGUGAGAUAUAUAUACAUAUAUAUAUAUAUAUAUAUAUGUAUAGUAUAUGAAACCAGAAAUUAUUAAUUGAUGGCUUUUACUCUGUAAUCUAUAGUAUAAUUAGCUGGGAAAGAUGGAGAAGAAAGUGAAUACUACCUUGUUUUGUUUUCUGGUGAAAGCUAGCUAGCUGUGUCAUCUGCGUCUGACUAUGUAAUCAGUGAGAUUUAUGCACCAAGACUACAUAAAAAAAAAACCUUAUAACUUGUACUCUUGGGCUUGAUAUUUCAUUGAAAUAUAUAUAGAUAUAUAAGCACACAAGUAGGGGGCGGUGAUUAUCUUUUGGGACUUUCAGAUAGCCCGGUUUCAUAUUUAGAAAACUAAUGAAAAAGGUUGUAAAACUUUGAGUUUAACGAUAAGGAUAAAAUAAAAGGUAAAGUGAAUAGUACCAUGAUUGACUUUUUAGUGUAAAAAUGUGAUUUUUCGUUAAAGUGAACAGUACCGAGAGUUUUUCGUUCAAGUUCUCUUCAUAUUUUGAGGUUUUUUUUUUAACAAAUAAUAUUAUUUAUACUAAAAAUGAAGGAAUGGACUUAGCAAUAAUGUGAUUCGUAUUUACUUUUGACGAGAAUCGAAUUUAAGAUCUCUCACUUACAAGUAAAUAUAAAUAUUAUUAGACCGUAGUACUAAGUCAUAAUUUUGAGGUUUUGAAAGUUUAGAUUUUUUAUUUAGAAAAUACAAACAUUUUAAUCGUUAGAAAAUACAAAAAUUUAUAAUCUAAAGAUUAAAAUAUUUGAAAUAUCAGAGAACGCAAGAAUUUUUUUUUUUUCUUUUGACGGUCCACAAUACUCUAUUAUUGUUGUCGAACUUUAGUAAUCAUUGGUUCUUGCGGGUGACGGAUGAUAGCCAUGACGUGUAUAUAACAUGUAAUGGAUGACAACACGAAUUCAAUCUAUUUGAACUUUAAGUCAGCACAAACUCUAUUAUCGUUAUCGGCUUUUAAUAAUUAGACAAUUAGAUUUCUUAUUUAAACCCGUAGGGUAACCUUCGUUUUUGAGUGCAGACUUAAUAAAUUGUUAUCUUUCAGUCACAAUAUGCCGUUAACUUAAAAAGUGAAUAGAAACAUGAUUUUAUGCCCACACUUAAUAGAUUUUGUUAUAAAUAGGCAAAAUUUAUAGAGAGAUAAUCUUUACUCGGUGAAGGAACGAAGCAGUUGCAGAGUAAUAUACCGACACAAGCUGUUGCAGAGGAAGUAAUGUAUAUUAUUGCUAUUAGAUAUAUUUCUCUUUUCUUUCUUCUUCUCAUUCACUAAUCUUUGCACAAUUGAAGUGCUCUAUUUAUAGAGCUACUUCAAUGAAAAAUUACAAAACAUUACUAUUUAGCUUAUGAGUAUAUAGUAUACACAUGUGAUACUUUACUAUACAGAUUACUAUACACAUGUGGGCAAACAUACCCAUUAUUUACAACACUCCCCCUUGGAUGCCCACAUAUCAACAUCAGUUGCCUCAUUAAAACCUUGCUUGGAAAAAUCCUGUGGGAAAAAACCAUAGCGAAGGAAAAAGAGUACAACUUUACCCGGAUGGUGUUGAGCAUGCUUAGGUUGCCUCGUUAAAACCUAGGAAAAACCCAGUGGGAAAAAUCCUAAGCGAAGGAAAAAGAGUACAACAUGCAUGUAUCAUGGAUGCUCCCCCUGAAUUGUAUCUCCCCCUGAUUCCGCAUUCUUCAAAUCUGUAAGCCGACGUAAUCCGAUUCCCUGUACCCACUUCUGAAAUGUGCACUUUGGUAGAGAUUUGGUGAACAAGUCUGCUAAAUUUUCAUUGGAACGGAUUUGUCUGACUUCAAUAACUUUAGCCUUCUGAAGCUCAUGUGCGCUGAAAAAUCUUGGAGAUAUGUGUUUAGUCUUAUCACCUUUGAUAAAUCCUUCCUUCAUCUGGGCGACACAGGCUGCAUUAUCUUCAUGGAUGACAGUUGGAGUGUCUGUCUUUGAAGGUAGACCACAUGAAUUCCGGAUGUGAUGGAUCAUUGAUCUUAACCAAGAACAUUCACGACUUGCUUCAUGUAAAGCAAUUAUUUCCAAAUGAUUGGAAGAUGUUGCAACUAGCGUUUGCUUUGUUGAUCGCCAUGAAAUUGCAGUAUCUCCAUUAGUGAACACAUAUCCUUUUUGUGAGCGGGCUUUAUGCGGAUCGGAGAGAAAACCAGCAUCUGCGUAUCCAACAAGGAUUUUGUUCAUUUGUGGGCUUGUCUGAGUAGAAGAGACCCAUAUCUGUUGUCCCACGAAGGUAUCGUAGAACAUCUUUGACUCCCUUCCAAUGACGAAUUGUUGGAGCAGAGCUGUACCUGGCUAACAAGUUAACUGAAAAAGCUAUAUCUGGUCUAGUACAUUGUGCUAAAUACAAUAAAGCACCUAUUGCGCUCAAAUAUGGUACUUCUGGACCAAGGACCAGUUCAUCAUCUUCUUUUGGACGAAAUGGAUCUUUCUUAAUGUCCAAAGAACGAACGACCAUUGGGGUGCUAAGUGGAUAAGCCUUGUCCAUGCCAAAUCGCUUCAGUAUUUUUUCAAUGUAAGCUGAUUGAUGGACCAAAAUUCCACUAACACAAUGCUCGAUCUGCAGACCUAGACAAUAUUUGGUUUUCCCAAGGUCUUUCAUUUCAAAUUCGCUUUUCAGAUAUUCAGCAGUUUUGUUGAGCUCUUCAGGGGUUCCAACUAAGUUCAUAUCAUCGACAUAUACUGCCACUAUAGCAAAUCCAGUAUUUGAUUUCUUAAUGAACACACAAGGGCAGAUGACAUUGUUGGCAUAUCCUUCUUUAAUCAAAUACUCACUAAGACGAUUAUACCACAUUCGUCCAGAUUGUUUCAGCCCAUAUAGUGAUCGCCUUAAUUUGAUUGAGAACAUACCCCGUGGUUUGUUAGUUGCUGCAGGCAACUUAAGUCCUUCUGGGACUUUCAUAUAUAUGUCAGUAUCUAAUUCUCCAUAUAGAUACGCGGUGAUGACAUCCAUAAGUCGCAUGUCAAGUUUUUCUGAAAUCACCAAACUUAUUAAGUAACGAAACGUAAUUGCGUCCAUUACAGGAGAGUAUGUCUCUUCAUAAUCAACUCCAGGUCUUUGUGAAAAACCUUGUGCAACGAGUCGUGCUUUAUAUAUUGCAAUCUCGUUUUUCUCGUUACGUUUCCUUGUGAAUACCCAUUUAUAACCUACGGGGUUCACACCAGGCGGGGUUUGGACUACUGGUCCAAAAACACUUCGUUUUUCCAAGGAUUUUAAUUCUGCCUGGAUUGCAUCUUUCCACUUAGGCCAAUCUUGUCUCUGUUUGCAUUCAUCAACAGAGCGUGGCUCAAUAUCAUCACUUAAUAUGAUUUCAGUGGCUAUUGCAAAUGCAAACAUGUCAUCGAUGAUUAUUUCAUUUCGAUCCCACAAUUCAUUAGUACAUGCAUAAUUUAUGGAUAUUUCUUUGCUUUCAUGUACUUCUGUCUCUUCAGGGACAUGUGUCUCAUCAAGGACAUUUUCUUUUUCUGAAAAUACAGAGUCACGAAUUGUGGAUUUAUCAUUCAAUUCCUUUUCUUGAAUGAUAUCAUUUGGGUUCAAUUGGGCCCUCAUCUUUCUCUUUCGAGGGGCUGAAUCUUUUGAACCUGGGGGUCUACCACGCUUCAGGCGUGCACUGGAUGAAUCAUUCGCUGCCACUUUAUUUUGUCCAACAGGGACAUCAAUUCUUGCAGGUGCGUUUGCAGCCGGUAUAUAUGACUGUGUCACUUUCGAAGCAUCAUUAAAUGCAUCUGGCAUUUGAUUAGCAAUACCUUGAAGAUGAACGAUUCUUUUCACUUCGUUUUCACAUUGAGUGCUUCUUGGAUCAAAAUGAGAUAAGGUGGGAACAACCUAUGUUAGCUCUUGUCGUUCUUCUGGAACGGUCUUUUCUCCCCCUAACGACGGGAAAAUUGUCUCAUCAAAAUGACAAUCAGCAAAACGAGCUGUAAACACAUCACCAGUCAAAGGUUCCAAAUAUCUAAUGAUAGAUGGUGAAUCAAAACCCACAUAAAUUCCCAAUCUGCGCUGAGGUCCCAUUUUAGUUCGUUGUGGUGGUGCAAUAGGCACAUAAGCAGCACAACCAAAAACUCGUAAAUGUGAAAUAUUUUGGCUGAUGUCCAAACACGAGUUGUAUUGAUGAGUAUUGGUGGUUGGCUAUGGGUCUCAAUCUAACCAAUGAUGCAGCAUGUAAUAUGGCAUGUCCCCAUGUAGAAACUGGCAAUUUCGUUUUCAUGAGCAGAGUGCGGGCUAUUAAUUGAAGCCGCUUGAUAAAUGCCUCUGCUAAACCAUUUUGAGUAUGGACAUGAGGAACAGGGUGUUCAACAUUAAUGCUCAGUGCCAUACAGUAAUCAUCAAAGGUUUGAGACGUAAAUUCACCAGCGUUAUCAAGUCGAAUGGACUUAAUGGGAUGAUCUGGGAACUGUGCUCGCAACUUAAUUAUCUGAGCAAGAAGUCUCGCAAAAGCUACAUUUCGAGUAGACAAUAGGCAAACAUGUGACCAUCGGGUAGAUGCAUCAACCAAAACCAUAAAAUAUCGAAAUGGUCCACAAGGUGGUUGAAUAGGUCCACAAAUAUCCCCUUGAAUUCUUUGCAAAAAUGAUGGGGAUUCAUCAUCAACCUUUAGUUGUGAUGGUCUAAUUACCAACUUCCCUUGGGAACAAGCCUUGCAAGGAUUAUCAUUCGAGACAUUAAUGUGUGUGCUCAGUAAUGGAUGUCCAUUAGAGUUGGUAAUGAUUCUACGCAUCAUGGUAGAUCCUGGAUGACCUAGACAGUCAUGCCAAAGCAUGUAAACCUUUGAAUCAAUGAACUUCUGGUUCAUGACAGUAUAUGCCUCAACUGUCUUUAUGUAUGUACAAUACAAUCCACUCGAUAAACCAUGCAACUUCUCCAAUAUACGCUUCUGGGUAUCAUUGGAGGUAAUGCAUAAAUAUUCCACAUUUUCUACACUUUUCGUUUCAAGGUGGUAUCCAUUUAGACGUAUGUCUUUAAAACUCAACAAAUUUCGAAUGGACCGAGUAGCAUAUAAUGCAUUCUUUAUAGACAAUAUUGUUCCAUUUGGUAACAUAAUCUGGGCUUUUCCUGAGCCUUUCAAUUACAUCUGAUGGUCCUGAUAUUGUUGUUACCUUUACUUUUGCAAGUACCAAAUUCGAGAAAUACUUUCGAUCUCGAAGUAUUGAAUGCGUGGUUGCGCUAUCUGCAAGACAAAAGUCUCCGCCAUUGAUCUUGUUUUGAGAAUAACCAUAAUUUUUAUCCAUGAUCUCUGAGUAAAGAAAAAGCAAUUUAUUCAUACUGGAAUACUACUUUUAUUGAAUUGAAAAUGCGAGCAUUAAAUCACAGGUACAAAUAACAUGAGUACAUUAAACAUAAAUAAUUCAAUCGGACCCAUAAACUUCAUUCCCUCUUUCAUUAAUAAAGUCUGUAGCAUCCAGGUGGGUUGUGUUUAACUGUCCUGAUAAAUUGGUCACUGGAUCAGGGGUUUCCAUUGGUUUAGCCUGGUCAAAGAAAUUGAUCUCGACACCCUUCUCCUUGAAGGAGGCUUGAUAUAGUUCCACCAGAUGCUUUGGGGUGCGACAAGUACGCGCCCAAUGUCCGUUGCCACCACACCUAUGGCAACCUCCUUCAUGAUUUCUAGGAGUGUUCACAUGAGCUUUUCCUUUCUGGCGAUUGGUAUUUUUAAAGCUCGGGCCUGGAUUAUACCUUGGAACCUGGUUGUGAAACUGGACACCAUGGUUCUUGCUUUUCCCUUUCCACCGACCUUGCUUGUGGCCACGUCCUCGUUUGUAAUUAUUUCCACGGGAGGAUAUGGUAUUCCUUUCAAGGGAAGCAACAUUCACUUCUGGGAACGGUGCUGAUCCAGUAGGUCGGGAAUUAUGGUUUUUCAUGAGAAUCUCAUUGUUCUGUUCAGCUACCAGGAGCACAGAUAUCAGCUGGUUGUAUUCAGUGAAGCCUCGCGCUCUAUACUGUUGUUGCAGUACCAUGUUAGAGGCGUGAAAUGUGCUGAAAGUCUUUUCCAAUAACAUCUCCUCAGUGAUAGUAUCCCCAUAGAGUUUCAUCUGAGAGGUAAUUCUGAACAACGCCGAAUUGUACUCAGCCACUGAUUUGAAAUCCUGGAUCCUUAGGUGAGUCCAGUCAUAGCGAGCUUUUGGAAGAAUCACCGUUGUCUGGUGAUUGUAUCUGCUUCUCAAGGCAUUCCAAAGGGCUAAUGGAUCUUCAACUGUUAAGCACUCACUCUUUAGUGCCUCAUCAAGAUGACGACGAAUAAAAAUCAUGGCCUUUGCCCGAUCUUGAGAGGAUGAGCUGCUCUCUUCCUUGAUGGUAUCUCCAAGAUUUGCUGCUUCCAGAUGGAUCUUGGUAUCCAGUACCCAUGUAAGGUAAUUCUUUCCAGUAAUGUCCAGGGCAGCAAAAUCAAGCUUUGCCAAGUUUGCCAUUUUCUUUUCUGAAAGAAAAAUGAGGUGUGUAAGAACUUGCAGUAAUAUGUGUACUGGAGAAAUAUAUUGUUAGAACUUCUGGUUCUUACAAAUUUUUUUUGAUCUUCAGGCCAAAAUGAUAAGUACUCGAAACUUCAGGCUCGAGAUUUACACAAUUAAUGAGAAGGGCAAUUGUACCGCACCAUUCUUAUCGAAAUAAGUAUAGGAUGAACGAUUAUUCCGCACUACUUUAACAGCAGGAAAAUUUAAAUAUGUAGAGCAAGGUGGACGAUUAUACCGCACCACCUAAAAUUGCAAUAAAAUUAAAUAUGUAAAGCAGGGUGGGUGAUUAUUUCACACCACCUAAAAUUGCGAUAAAAUUAAAUAACGGGAAAAUUUAAAUAUGCAGGAUAGAGCGGGCGAUUAUACCGCUCCACUUAAAAUUUGCAGUAAAAUUAGAUCUGCAGUCCAAGAUAGGCGAUAGAACCGCACAAUCUUGGAUUGCAUAAAUAAUCAGUGGGUUAGUAGUCAAUAUCUACACCAAACAAGAAAUCAAAGAUAUAAGUGACUGUUAGUUGGAGAACUAGAAGUAAACAUGGUGCAAACAGUUCUUCGCGAGGGUAUACCCAGCAAUUGAGGGAGAGGAAGAAGAAGAACAGUAAAAACCUUAGAGGAAACAUUUUUUUUUCUUUCGGUGAAAGGAAAUGAGAAAAUGAUUAGAGAGUCGUGCUGAUAACGUGUUAUAAAUAGGCAAAAUUUAUAGAGAGAUAACCUUUACUCGGUGAAGGAACGAAGCAGUUGCAGAGUAAUAUACCGACACAAGCUGUUGCAGAGAAAGUAAUGUAUAUUAUUGCUAUUAGAUAUAUUUCUCUUUUCUUUCUUCUUCUCAUUCACUAAUCUUUGCACAAUUGAAGUGCUCUAUUUAUAGAGCUACUUCAAUGGAAAAUUACAAAACAUUACUAUUUAGCUUAUGAGUAUAUAGUAUACACAUGUGAUACUUUACUAUACACAUUACUAUACACAUGUGGGCAAACAUACCCAUUAUUUACAACAGAUUUAAUGGUUUUUAAUUGUUAUGAUUCGAUUUUUUUUUUAAUCUUGAUAGUACGAAAGAAAUUUAAUGAUAUGAAAAAGAAUGUUAUACUUGGUCAGGAGGGAUAAAAACCUUACUCCUCAUAAUGUAAGAAAAAUAAAAUACAAGAAAAGAGGGAUGACAUACAUCUUACCCCCCCCCCCCCCUUGAAAAAGAAAAUACAAGAAAAAAAAAGGGGAACAAGACCUUAACCCUCUUGAAAAAAAAUACAAGAAAAAGAGAGGGUGGGUGGAUAUAGGACCAAACCUCUCUAAAAUAAAACCUACAAGGUAAGAACCUGCAAGAUAAGCUGCAAACAAAAAAAAGGAAAAUCCAAAAAAAAUUAGGUAAAAAGAAAACCACACAUCAAGAAGGGGAGAUAAACUUGUAGGUCGACAUAUCAAAGAAAUCUGAUUGCAAAAAAGGAAGAGUCUCUAUAGGAGGAGUAGAAUGCCAAACAAGUGAAGACGAGAGAAGCCCUAAAUUGGCCAAUUUAUCAGCAACUACAUUCCCUUCUUGAAAUGUAUGAGAUCAACAGAAUACCAUGUGCUGCAAUCGGAAAAUACCGUUCUUUCAAUGAGUCUGGAGUGACCAAGGAAGAGAAAAAGAACCAAAAUCAAAACAAGAUAUUAUGCUAGAAGAGUCACUUUCAAGCCAUAAAUUCUGCCAACCCCGCGCGUGAGCCAAUUCCAUAGCAAGAAUGGCAGCAUUAAGCUAUGCAUAGAAAGAAGUAUGAUACCUCAAGCUCAGUGAGAAACCACCAAGAAAAUAACCCGCAGAAUCUCGGAAAACCUCACCACAAGCCAUAGGACCCAGGUUAGCAAGGUCAUUUGUAUUCACUUUGACCCAAGAAAAUGGAUGGAGAUGUCAAAGAACAUGAACUAUAGAAUAAGCAUUAUAGGAUUCAGCCUAGAUUCCAAGAGAGAUUAAAAGUUGCUUAAACAAAUUCCCCCCUUGUUAAUAUUUGAACAACAUUUUAUAUGGAAUUUUGGCACUUGCCACCUACAUGAAUCUUCUUCAACUUUCUUUUUUCUUUUUCCUCUUAUGUUUAAGGGUGUAUUAUCCACAUAAUCCUUUUUAUUUCUCACACAUCCCUUGUUAAUUUAUAUCAUUUGAUCUUAUUCAAUUCAUCUGAUCUAAUGAUCGAAAAUUAAAAGAGUGUGUGAGAAGUAAAAAAGGGUGUGUGGAUAUCACACUCCUAUGUUUAUUCUACAAUGCCGACAAAUAUAAGGUAAGCAAUUUUAAGAUUCAUGUUUGUAUAAGGUUUGAGUUUUCGAAGUUCCAUUGCCUAUAUUGGAGGUAUGAUGAGUUUGGGAUUUGUGUUUUUCAAUCUGUGUGAGUGUCAUACGUAUUUGGAUGUCAAUUUGUUUUUUAUUUCGUAGAUACAUUCUAUGUUUUUACAUAAAAAUUUGUUUCCGCUGCACAUUCUGUUGGUGUAGUUACCUAUCUAUUAGGCAGAUAAGAGUAUUGUUUUUUUUUAACCAUAUUCCCUUCUAACUUUCUACUAAAUAAAUUUGGUAAGUUAACCUCCUACUAAAUAAAUUUGAGUCUCGUGUUAACUUUAUACUAAAUAGAUUUGGUAAGGUAUUUUAUAUUGCUUAUUUUACUUUUGAUAGGUAACUAACUUGUUUAGAUGUGUUGCAGGUGCCCCAUGGCAAGAACAUUCAAAAUAGGAAACAAAAAAGAAAGAUGCAUAAAUUAGGGAUUUUAAUUAAUUAUCAUAAUUUAACAUAGUUGCGGAAUGGAAAUAAAAAUAGAGAGUUUUAAUAAAAUGAGUUUCACAAAACUAUAAACAAUUUUUUUUUAAUUACAUGUUACGGGCAAUCGUCCGAACGGGAACCACGAUUACUAUACUUGGCCCAAAAGCAAGUCUGCAUAGACUCGCUAGAUGAAAAUUUAAAAAUGGGGCCCACUUUGAAAAAAAAACCAGACAUUAGAUAUAUUUUUGUUUCCCACGUUAGAAGAACAUGGGUUAAAAUAUAUUAUGAUACAGACGUUUAGGUACACUAAUUAGAGGAAGUAAAAUAAAUAUAAUGAAUUAAAAUGUGUAUAAUAGUAAAUAAUUUUAAUUUUAAUGUAAUUACAUUAAAUAAGAUAUCUAUUAAAUAUUAAAAUCAAAAUAUAAUAUAAAUUUGAAUUAAGUACACAUUAGAGGACUAAAAUCAAUAUCCAAUCUAACACCAUGUUUUUAUUGAAUUUUAAUCUUCUUCAAGGAUUAAAGUUCAAAAACCCCAAAAAAAAUAUUUUUAAAGACACCCCACCCCAAUCACUUUUAACGUGUAUCACAAAACUAUUUAUCUUUUUCACCUCUUAAAACCACUAUCGCCCUCUUUUGUAGAACACAAUCCUAACCUAUAAAACUACAAAUACGUUAAUUAAGAAUGGAAUAUGAGAUCAACAUUUCAAGAGCUUCACGUGAGGUAAGACUUCAUGGCAUGCCUAUAAUUGCAUUAUGAAUGAUAUCUCUCAAAUAAAGUAGGAGGCUGCCGCUUCCGACAGAUAUCCAACUUUGUUUCAAAUUAUUAUUUAAAACAUUGAACAGAUAAUUAUUAUCCCUUAAAUAAAGUAUGUGAUGACGAGGAUCCGAGGAAGCAAAAGAAUGUGAUUAUCUAUAGCAUAGAAUGAUUCGCCAUAAAAUAUAUGUCCAGGCAUAAUUCCUUGAGUUUAAUUUUUUCCCUAUAAUCCUUUUGGCUUUCUUGAAUCAUGUAAACUCAAACAGAAACCUGUCCAAAUUGUCCAACCAGCUCUUUACUGAUUAUGCAGAGAAACACAUGCAAAUAAAGUGGACCGACUCUCUCUCCUAUUCCACCCGCAUCAAUACCUCGUUUAGGAUUUGUUGAACAAAAUCCCCCCUCCUUCACUUGUGGUUUGGGAGAAGUUAGAAAAAUUCCGGCAUCACACUGCCCUUUAACUUCACACUGAAGGUGCUUUGAUGGCCUUAUAUAUUUGCAUUUAAGAUGUAAAGAGUGUUGAGUGCUUUGGAAAUGUGAAGUGCACGUAAAAAAUGUGAAGUUUAUUUUGAAAAUGUGACGUGUGAGGGUAUUAUGAGAAACAUUGUAGAGUGUAUUAAGAAUUUUAGUUAAAAAAAUAAAUGUGGAGUAUAUUAAGUAUGUGAUGUGUAUUAUUGGGAUUGCGAAGGAGAAAACAAAAUGAAACUGGUUUGGUAUGUGGUGGUAGAAGAGAAGAAGAUAAGUGGAGGCGGAUGCGGCCACGGUGGAGAAGGGUGUAUGCCGUCGUGGUGGGUGUUUUUUUUAAGUUUUUUUUUUUCUUUUCAGUUUUUAAAUUGUUUAUUGAAGGGUGAUAUUGAUAUUUUGAGCUGAACAUGUUUAUGGGGUGAACUUAAAUGGGAUGAGGAGUGUAAAUAGAAAAACUAUAUUCCUUAUUCAUAAUUUUCUUUAAUUCUUCAGGAAACUUGUACACCCAUAACUGAUUAAUUUCCAACCAUCAUAGAUGAUUUCAAAGACCAACAGAUCAACUCAACCCAAACUCAUCUUUAUCCUCUGUUUUCUGGAUUAUUUGCUUGGAAAGUUGCUUUUUGACCGUUCGGGGCAUUUUCAUUUCGUCUUUAUGAUUAAAGCUUAACUUUUUAGACGGCAAGUGGAGCAUUUUUUGAAAAGCUUUACUGUUGAUGUCGAAAGAAAAAUAACAGAUUAUGCAUGAAACUAUGUGUCCGUUGAUCAAAACCGUUCAUCUUAAGAUUAUGUCAACAAAAAAUAAUCCAAAUCCAAAACUAUAUGUCUGUUGAAUUAAAUUUAAUGUUUCUUUGUAGAAUUGUAUUCUGUCAUUAUCUUCCCUAUAAAUGAAUGUCUUAAUGGUUUUGGAUUUGUCUAAUUUUUUUUUUUUUGCAAGGAUGAUCAAUGAAUCAUAUACUAAAAUGUAGAUGAUUUAGAUUUUUGAAAUACAUUACGAAGUAGACUCUACAAAAUAAAUGACUAAAUAUGUGUCAAAAAAAUGUGUCCCGAAUCUCAACCCUUAUACAAAAGAAAAAUAAUAAUAAUCAUUUAUGUGAUCACAAACCAUUAGCACAGAUGUAAAAGAAACCAUGAAACCAAAAAUAAUGAUGAAUAAAUUAAGGAGAAACUAGAAACACUUAUUCAAAUUGCAAAACAACAUUUAUGGUAAGACCUAAAUUAAGGAUAGUUUAAUUUCCCGCAACAUAUGAAAUUAAAGUUGUUUGGGUUAAUAUUUGAACAUUGGGAUGCGAAUGUGAGAAAGUCCAGAUAUGCCAACUAAAAGAAAACUUGCCCGAAGCUCAGCACUAGGCCCAGAGACAAAUUGGCGCCUCCCCAUUAAUGUAUAGACCAUGUGUCUUUGAUUUAAAUAUCAAGUGAUGGAGACUAACUCACAAUCAGCGAAAAAGUACUUUUCAGUGGCAUUCAGGGUAAAAAGUUGAUGACUCACUACCCUCCAAGUGCUUUCGGGCAAUAACAAAGCUACAGCAGUCGGGCUGAAUUGCCUAUAAAAGGAGGAAGUGGCCCUAGAGACAAGGACACUCAACCAAUCAAACAAACAUACAAACUAUGCUCUUAAGCCAAAUUUGCAUCCAAAAGUUGAAAUCAACCCAGAUUCAAUCCUUUUUAGUGACAAACUAUCUCUUGUCCAGUUUAAAGUCGUAAUCAGCCUAUAUCUCAUAUCUCUUAGCAAUAAUCUUCCUUAGAAAGCCUAUCUCUCUCUAGUUUAAAGCUCUGCUACCUCUCUUAGCGUUGUAGUAUCGAUUCCCUCAUGUAACCUUGUUUAUCAUUCAUCCCUUUUUAGAGUAUAAACCCUGUAAACCCAAAGAGAAGUGACUGCAAGAAGUUCAACCUUGCCAGACAAGGUGAAAUCUUGCACGAGUCCCUUUGUUUGUUCUCUAAAUUUGUAGAUCUAUUAGAUAAUGCAUUCUCCAAUAUGUAUUCAAGUUAUUUCCAUCAGUUUUCCUAUUUUAAGAGUCCCAUUUGCAUCUGGAUCUGGUUAGUUUAAUGAAUAUGAUGUCAUUAAAAUCAAUCAGGAACUAAGUAAAUGGCUUAAAGGGCUUUGGACUCCCUCCAUUCGAACAUGCAAGACUAAGAACUAAAAGUCCUUGUUCACAAGGCAUGAAAAAGAACUUAAUGUGGACUUAACUCAUCCACGACAAUCCUUUGAUAACAAGAAGUCCAAGUAACUUGGGGCGCAAGUAAUCGACCCAAACACACUUGUUCUACAUCUGCUAUACUGAGAUAGCAGUGGCGCGCCUAGCACUUAGUUAGUUUUGUUUGCGAGCCUUAAGGCCUACACCUAAGGCCCCACAAAGACACCUUUCAGAACUAACUAUAUACUCUUCUUGUAGCACAUCAAUAAGCAAGAGCCCGACUAUACAUCCACAGUGCCAAUUCCUGGGGGAGCUGUGCUGAGAACUGAUGACCCCUCUCUGGAGAAAUCUUCGACCGAACAAAAGCCUUAAUAUAUCAUGUGAUCAAUCAACAAAAUCAUUAGUAAACAUAUAAAAAAAAACAUGAAACAAAACAAAAUGAUGAAUAAUCAACAACAAAAACUCGUUUUCUAGACCUUAAUCUUAAAAAAUUUAAAAUUAUGUGAUAAAUCAACAAAAUCAUUAGGGUAUAAAAGAAACCAAGAAACAAAACAAAAUGAUGAAUAAAUUAAAGUAGAAACUGUAAACACUUGUCCAAAUUGCAAAACAACAGUAAUAGUAAGACAUAAAUAAAAGUAGUCUUUAAUUUUCUGCAACAAAUGAUAUUAAAACCUUGAUCUCUCUACAUAUCUCUCCACUUUCCCUCGGCAAACAAGAAACAAAAUAAUCAAAUCACAUAGUUGAUCAAUGGGGACCUUUAGAAGUGAAGGCUCUGUGCAAUUGCACAAGAUAAUCCUCCUUAAUGCUGGCACUAUGUACUCUAUUAUUGUUAGUCUUUUAGUAAUCAUGGUUUUCGUUCGUGCGAUUAAGCUUUGAAUAAAGUCUAUCUUGUGGAAUUUUAAAGCUUAACUUUUGGACAGUAGGCGGAGCAUUUUUUUGAAAAGCUUAACUCUUGAAUUUUGAUGCCAAAAGCAAAAUGACAGAUUAUGCAUGAAACACGGCUUUUGUGCAAUGAAUCAAAAAGUGGUAGAUAGGAAAAUAAUUGUUCAUAGAUAUGACAAUAACUGUUCAUGGAUAUAACCUAAUUAUUUCAAGCAAGAUUCCAAUCAAAUUUGCAUGUACGCACUCAAAAAAAUUCCAAUCGUUCAUAAUAGACAUAUGUGUAAAGGACGACAACUUUAAACGAAGCCGAUUGUUUGGAGCUUUACAGCUUAUAACUUUAAACGAAACCGAUUGUUUGGAGCUUUACAGCUUAUAACUUUAAACGAAGCCAAUUGUUUGGAGCUUUAAGCUUAACUUUUGGACAAUAAGUGGAGCUUUUUAAAUAAAGCUUAACUCUUGAUCAUUGAUGGCAAAAGCAAAAUGCCAGAUAAUGCAUGGAACAAGACUUCCACUCAAAUUUUCAUGUACGCCACUAAAAAAAAUUCCAAUCGUUCAUAGACGUGUGUAAAGGAUGACAACUUUAAACAAAGUCGAUUGUUUGGAGAUUUAAAGCUUAACUUUUAGACAGUAAGUGGGGUUUUUUUAAAAAAAAACGCUUAAGUCUUGAACAUUGAUGCCAGAUUUUGCAUGAGACACGAGUUUUGGUCCGAUCAAAUUCGGCGCUGAUGAUAAGAGGAAUAAAGUCUAGUUGGUCCAAGAGGGAUAAAGGCAAAAUGUUUAAAAUUGAAUAAGAUGUUGUUAGUUACAAAAAUGUAAUCCUAAACUUCUUGGUUUAGGGUCUCCUCUAUUCUUAAUUAAUCCACAAUUGACAGCUGUAAUAAACUUUCAGCUCAGCAUGGUCCACUACCAAUGCCACUAAUGUUGCCUCCACUUAACCACCUAUCAAAUAAUUUGAUAAAUAAGAGAUUGUGUUUUAAUUAAUUCACAAUUAACUCUCUUUUAUUUAUGAUUUUGAUUCACUCUCCUUUAUCAUUAACUGUGAUUUAAUUCUCUCUUCCCCUAACACUCAUGCUUCUAAUUUUCUCCUCUCUCUUUUUUUUUAAUUUUUUAAGAAAACUAGAUUUUAAUUCUUAAAUAAGAUGAAGUUUAGAAAAAUGUCUUAUACAAGAUUAAAAAUUGAUUUUUAUCCUAGACUCUAUUUAAUGCUAGUAUAUGUAUUUGAUGUCUCUUUUUUUAUUUAUAAUUUUAUGGUGUUCAUAAAUAAAAAUUUAAGAUUAUAUUAUAAAUUUUAAUUCUCAUUAUGGUAAGUAUCUUAUAUAAGAAAAUAUUUUCGUAAAGAUUUUUCGGUACACUUAUAUUUUUGCAUAUUUCUUAUGCGCCACUAAUUCAUUGUAAUAUAUUUAGGUACGAAUAUUUCGGUACACUAGUUUAGUAUAAUAUGUUAGGUACGAACAUUUCGGUACAAUAGUUUAGUAUAAUAUAUUUAGGUACGGACAUUUCGGUAUACUAGUUUAGUAUCAUAUAUUUAGGUACGAAAUUGUUGGUACACUUAUAUUUUUGCAUAUUUUCUUAUGUGCCACUAAUUCACUACAAUGUAUUUAGGUACAACAAUAUAUUUAGGUACGAACAUUGCGCUACACUAAUUUAGUAAAAUAUAUUAUGAUACGGAUGUUUAGAUACACUAAUUAGAAGAAGUUAAAUAAAAUCAAAGAAUUAAAAUGUGUAUAAUAAUAAAUUUAAAAUUUAAUGUGAUGACAUUAAAUAAGAUAUCUAUAUUAAAUAUUAAAACAAAAAUAUAAUAUGAAUUUGAAGUACACAUUAAAGAACUAAAAUCAAUAUCCAAUCUAACACAGGUUUUUAUUGAAUUUUAAUCUUCUUCAAGGAUUAAAGUUCAAAACCCCCCCUGCCGCCCCCUCUUUUUUUUCUUGUCAAUCCGCUCUAUUUUCUUUUGUUGAGUUUCUUGUACAUCUCGUUGCUUAUCCAAUAAACUAUCUUGGGGUAUUAUUUUUCUCGAAUACCUAAUGUUUUGUGUUUAGAUCUCUUCACAAAAUUUGGUGGCUAUUUUGGACUUCUAACAACCAUCUUAAUCUCUACAAACAACCCCACAAUCACUCUACAUUGUGAAUCUGUGAUAGUAGUGUACUAGAUUUUUUUAUUCUUUUGUUCUGUCAAACUAAUCAGGCAAUAAUUUCAUAUUCCAUAAUUUGGCUUCUAUGUUUUAUAUAUAACAAUCUACUGUAAAGUUAAUCUAUAUAUGUAUAUAUGUGUGUAUAUAUAUUCAUCAAAUCUAAAUCAAAACGAAUAUAUAUACCCUUUUUAAUUAGAAGUAGCCUCAGAUGGAAAUUCAUAAUCGGCCAUAUAUACGGGCCACCAAAAUAAUCCAAAUACUCAUUCUAGACAAGGAUUCAUUUGCAGCUUCCCAGAAGGUGUGAAACGAGCUGGAUUUAGCAGAGCACAUCGACAAGGGCACUGAUGAUGACGUGAGUUAUUUAGUGUAUGAGGGAGGGGAAAGAGAAAAACAUAACAAGCAAUGAAAAUAAAAUAUAGAAAAUUUGAGAGCAAGAACAUAAAGUACUUAACCAAUAUUUCUAACUAGCCUGAUAACUACUGUAAUGUGUAUGAAUAAAACUAGAGAAAAGUUUGAAGAGAAGAAAUGGAGACACUACUACAUAUUGCGUCAUCAAUAACAUAAAUUAGGGUGCCAUAUAAAAUAGGGAACUUUAACGAAAAAUCACGUUUUUACACUAAAAAGUCAAUCUUGGUACUAUUCACUUUACCCUUUAUUUUGUCCUUAUCAUUAAAACUCAAAGUUUUCAAGCCUUUUUCGUUAAUUUUCCUUAUAAAAUAUGCUUUUCAAUAACACCUUUUCCACGUCAUAAAUAAAAAACAAGCAUAGUUGAUUAAAAAUAAUGACGCUUAAACCGCGACGGCCUCAGAAGGCUUGGUGGGGCGUUGCUCUGAUUCUAGUUUUGGUGGGUUCAACAUAUAAAGCACGAACGUGGAUGCAGACUGGCAAGGGAGUCUGUGUAAAAUGGUGAUAAUCAAUCGAAUCCUAGCUAGGGCGUGGUUGAAGGAGAUGAUUUAGGCAAGCCCGACGAAUAUAGAUAGAUAUGAGAGAAUCGAUUGGAUGAGACGAUGGGAGGUAUUCAUGUUAUAAACAAUCUUUCUUAUUCGUGAAAAAGAAAACUUGGGGUUUCUGUUAUUUAAAAAAGGUACUCAUGUAAUAAGCAUUGAGGUUUUGGUUUUUGUUUGAAAUUAGUGUGGCUGGAGUGGUACGUACACUGUGUCAUAAUAUGAAUGGAGAAAAUUUUAUUUUUCAAGUGUUCUUCUACUUGUAUAAUGAAUCAGUGAUAUGUAGUGUACUACCCUAUAUUUCCAACACAUUGAAAAAUCUCUCGUUAAUUGCAGUAACAAAAUCUAUCUAUUUGGAUUUAAUCACAAUUGCCAUGCUACCAGAGCCAUGAAAUUUUGGUGUAAUAGUUGGGGGUUAUCUUAUUCAAAACUUAAUAGCGGCAGAGCCAGAGAACAAAUUAGAUAUAGACAAUUAAACCAUAGCAGGGAUUUGAAACUGAAUCAAGAGGAAGUUUCUAUCCUAGGAUGAUAGAGUAAAAAGACUUAACAAGAGUGAAGUCGAUAAGCAGGAAAGAAAUGGAGGUCUUUCUCCCAUGCACGUUUUGACCUCUUGUUUGCACUUUACAGGUUUUUUCUUCCAGCUUUUUUUUUCCUUUCCUUUUUUUAGUUCUAUUUUAUAAAAUCCACAUCAGCAUCCAUGUAAUUUAAUCAUUUUUUGAGAGCAUUUUUUGCUCACCAUCAUAACUAUAGCCUAUGCUUACCAUACACCUUUUACAUUAGACAAUUUUCAAAGGAGAUGUCAAAUUUUAAACACAAUUUAAAUUUGAAGGCUUAUGUGGCACAUUAAUCUUUUGGUAAAUUUUGUUCUCCACCCAAUAUGUCAGAUUUAAACUAUUAUAACAAAAAUUGUAAAAAACAUUUAUUACUCACUAAAAAUAGAUUUGAAACAGCUAUCAGCAACUCCCUCUGCUAUUAUUUCAUGCCAUGUCAUAUAUAAUUGAUAUUUCAGUUGAAAAACACUAAUACUGUCUUUUUUUACCGUUAUUACUAAUAUAGACUUUUUAACUUCUCCUUUAAAUUUCAGUUGGAAAUCAUUUAUCUUUUUUUACUACAUUCCAUUAAAGAUAAAUGUCCAUCACACACCCUAAUGUUAAAUGAUGAAUGUUAAAACCCUAGUGCUGCCUUUUUACACACCUUAAAGAUAAAUUUAACUCAACAACGCAAUCUUAAUAUUUGUAUCCCAGAUUCUCUACCGUCUCAUAUAUCUUCCCCCCUCCUCCCAUCUCUUUCCUCUCUCGUUUUUUCCCCUUCUCUGUCAUUGGAGCAAAUAUCACAAAUCAAAAAUCUCAAACUGGUGAAGUGUUAUUGAAUCCAGAAAUUUAUGUUCCAUUCAGGAGAUCCAAAUUACAAUAUUGAUUCCAAUUGCGAUUUGAGAUUGAAUCUCCGGUUUGGUUAAGUAACAGAGAAAGGGGAAAAACAUAAGGGGACAGAGCGAGAGGGUGAGGGUUUUUGCUUAUCAACAAAUUUGCAGAAAACAAUAAAAAAAUGUGAGAGACUCCGGGAAGACGAAACGAUGCCGUGCCAAAAAUUGUGCGAUUACUGCGUUCCAUACAUAACUAAUUAGCCAACAGACAAAAUACAAAUUAUAUAAUACAGACAAUCACAAACCCUUCUGUAAUUUAUAAAUUAUAAGUAAACAAGUCAAUUACUGAAAACAUGAAUAAAAUCAUCACAAAUAAACCCAUUUCUUCAAAUGCUUAAUAUCAUCAAAAGAAAAAAAGUAUUCGAGAAACCCAAUUGGGAACACCACAAAAAUGACAUCAGUAUCACCGUAAUUAAGGAAUGGAGGGUUCGGAGGUGGACUCGGCGUCCAUGGCCCGGACGAUUUGAAUUAAAAGAUGGAGGAAUGGAGGGUGGUGGCCUCGGGGCGUGGAUGUUUGUUGCCGUUGUCGCGGUUGUGGUGGUGGCCGUUGGAUCGAAAAGAGAAGAAGAGGAGGACGAGGUGUUUCGUUUGGAAAUUUUUAUUAUGUUUAAUUUAUUUAUUUUUAACUCUUUUCAAAAGUAUUUUAAUAUUAAAUUUAACCCUUAGUUGGUGGGACACAUGGUAAGUUAUAAGAGAGAGGUGAGCAUCCAACAAAGAUAGCGGUGGUGAGCAAAAAUACUCCUGAAAAAUAAUGAAAUGAGUAUCGUCUCUAUUAAAGAGAGAUCAAAUAGUGAAAUGAGUAUGACUAUAGUUAUCACAUUUUUAUCAUUUUUCUAAGGAAAAAUUAGUUUUCGGUCUCUAAUUUCUAAUGUUCAUUGACUAAAACCUUAUCAAAGUCCCUAGCAUUAAUAUAUUAAUGAAUUAUAUGUAAGUUACAUAGUUUUUAUAAAAAAAAAUAGUAAUUGAUUUGGAGUUUUAAUACUCACUCCCUUAUUCAACUCCUAAAUAAUUUUCAAUUCAAAAAUUUCCCAAAUAUAAAAAAUAAAAUUAGAAUAAGUUUGUACAAAAUUUUCAAAUUUUUAAUCUUAUAUAUAUCCAUUCUUAAAUAUACCAAUUUGUUAAAAAUGUACCCAGUUUUAUAUAAAAUUUCAUUCAAUCUUUUCUCUAAUCCAUUUUUUAAACUUAUAUUAUAUGGGUACAUUCUAUUUCAUUGAUUUGAGAAUGUAUCUAUGUCAAGUUUAAUAGAAGAAAUUUAAUAAUGUUAUUAUGCCUAAUAUUUUCUUUUUUUUCGUGCUUUUGAAAAAUGUACCCAUGCUUUGGUACAAUAAUUUUUUGGUUAGUUUUGAUGAACGUACCCAUGUGUACACACACACACACACACACAAAAUAUAUUGGAGAGUAUUCAAUCUUGAUACUAUUCACUUUAACCUAAAUUUUGGUUAGUUUCGUAAUAUAAAAAGUCAAUCUUGGUACUAUUCACUUUAACCUAAAUUUUGUCCUUAUCGUUAAAACUCAAAGUUUUCAAGCCUUUUUCAUUAGUUUUCCUUAGUGUAAAAAUGUGGUUUUUCGUUAAAGUGAACAGUACCGCAGACUUUUCGUUAAAACUCCUUAUUUUAUAAGGAAAACUAAUUAAAAGGGUUUGAAAACUUUGAGUUUUAAUGAUAAGGACAAAAUAAAGGGUAAAGUGAAUAGUACCAGGAUUGACUUUUUAGUGUAAAAAUGUGGUUUUUCGUUAAAGUGAACAGUACCAUGAGCUUUUCGUUAAAAUUCCCUAUUUUAUAUUGAUGACCACAUUACCGAUUGCGAUGUUGACCAUCUUUAUACAUGGGUCUCAUUUCCACAGGUGGUUUCGUAUUAUAUAUAGGCAAUCGACUUUGAUGGAGCAAAUUAUCUUCUACAACGAGUCACGACCCAGCAAUAGAAAUGAGUAAGCCUUCUCUAAUACUCCAGCUUACUAAGCUUGUUUUAUACCAUAUUCUACUUUGGCAACUUGGACGCUGGCCUCAAUCCAAAUUCCACUGUGGAGCCGACGUGGCCGGACUGCCAGUAGAUGAAGGUAUUCAUUACCAGUUUCACUCCAUCUGUUUUCAGCUAACUUUCUGAUUAUAUCGCCUUCAAACACAUGUUUAAUUAAUUAAUUUCAGCUAAGAGGCCUGAUCAUCGUAUUUAUUAAUUACUUACCGAAAUAUUGGCAGUGUCUGCUCUUCAAGCCAUUACGAGAGACUUAGAAUUGAAGCAACAACAAACCAUUACAGACAAAUCGUGCGAUGGAACAUUUUAUGGUUUUACAAUCAAUUGUGAUUGCAAUAACGCGACUAAUCUAUGCCGCAUCUCUAAAAUGUAUGUAUGAAACAAUAUUUCACAAAUACGCAUUUGGUCAAAUAAAUCAUCAAAAUCUUGUUUAAAUUAUAUAUAGAAUGGUAUUAACCCUUUUUUUUUUUUUUUGUGCACUCAUUUUGUGUGGCAGUGAAAUAAACAACCUUGAUUUAACUGGAACCAUUCAUGAAGCUGUGAGUUAUCUUAGCAAUCUAACGUACCUGUACGUAAUCUGACUCUUUCUCUGCCCACCAAUCUUUAAUGUAACUUCAGUUGUUUAUGUUACAUUGCAGACUCCAGUGACAACUUUGGGGUGUAAAAAGAAUAGAAAACUUCAUUUUAAUCCCUAAAUAAUAUUGCUUUUUCAAUAAUACCGUAUGGAAGAUUAAAAACUAAAAAUAGUCCUCCAUGUCAAAUUAUAGUAUUCCAUGUCACAUUUAAUCAUUUUUUAAUAAAUUUAUUGCAUUUUUAGUUUCCCUAUUUACCCUUAUUACUCUCUUAAAACCAAUUAGAGAAACAAAUAUAUAAUUAAUUUUUCAAGAAUGCUUAAUUAACUAGAUCCAUAAUUAACAUGUUUGUUAUAACAUAAAUCUCCAUGUGUUAUUCCGAUCAAAGAACCCAGAAAACUCAGAAACCAUGAUCAAACAAAAAAAGCCAUAAAACUUACAAACCAAAAAUCUCGUUGUAUUCGGAAGAAAGAAGAAAAAAGGGGCUUUUAGAUGCCAAAUUGACGGUGAAUCCAGAGAUAAAUGAAAAAAAAAUACAGAUUGAGAAAAUAGAAUGUGAAAUCACAACUUAAUUGACCGUACCAAAUUAAUCGGACAUACACUAUAUAGUACCUAACCGAUCAUACCGAAUAGAUAAGACCUAAUUGAUAGUACCUAAAUAAUUAAGGUGCAUUUAUAUAGGUACUAUGAUUUAGGUGCAUUCAUAUAGGUACCAUGAUUUAGGUGCAUUCAUAUAGGUACCAUGGUUUAGGUGCAUUCAUAUAAGUAUCAUGGUUUAGGUGCAUUUGACUUGGUACUAUGAUUUAUGUGCAUUCGACUAGGUUAUAUGAUUUAAGCACAUUAGGACAUGGUUUAAGUGCAUUCGAUUAUGUAAAAUAUAUGAUUUGACUAUUUAUAUUUCCUCUAUGCUUUGAAUGGUGAUAAUGAAUUAUUUGAAUUAGGUAUUUGUUAAUUCUUGUAACGUAUCACUAAUAUUUUUUUGAAUUAUGUUUAUCAUUUUAGAAAGUCAGACAAUAAUCAAUGCCAAAAAAUAUGGAGCUAAUUAAAAUCAAAUAUUUAAUAGGGGCAUUAUAGGAACCAAAAAAACACAUUAAAUAUUUCAAAACAAGAAAAUAUAAAUUUUAAUAUUUAUGUUGACAUGGAAAUUUAGUCAAAGGACUAUAAUGAAUAUAUAAUCUAACAUAAGGUUUUAAUUGAAUUUCAAUCUUUAUCAAGGAUUAAAAUGGAGAAACCCCUAAAAAGAACUAACCUUCACAAAAAUAUUCACUAAGUGUGUAAAGAAAUUAUAAGUUCAACCUAAUUAAAUUUUGUUUUUUUUUCUUUCUUUUUAUAUAUCAUAUCAAAAGCUCUCUAGCCAACAACAAACUUCAUGGCAGCAUUCCUGAUACAUGGGGGAAUUUGAUGGAUCUCGAAUACCUGUAAGUAAAUAUAUACUAGAUGGUUACACGCACACACUAUAAUUUGCAUGAUUAUGAAUAUAUGGAUAGUUUUACAUGAAAAUUCAUUGUUAAUCAAUCAACUAGAUGCUUUAGUGUGUACUUGUGAAAAUUAGAAUCCUAAAUUGGGGUUCUCUAUAUCAAGGGAUCUAUCCUCCAAUCAACUCAGUGGUCUAGUACCAGCAAGCUUAGGGAACCUGGCUUCUCUUCAAAACCUGUAAGGGCUUUAUGUCGCCAAUUUAAUUGUGGAGAGUCAUCUUGAUUAAUUUCCAUUAAUUUCUUUUGUUAAAAUUCUUAUCAAGUCAUUUUCACGCUCUAUAUAUAUAGAUAUCUGAAUAACAACUUGCUUAGCGGAGGUAUACCACGAAAUUUUGGUUCAUUGACAAAUCUUAUUCAAAUGUGAGUACAUAAAUUAUAUAUUUCUUUUAUUAAUCUCCUCCACCUCAUAUUUUAAUUUUGAUGGAUUAAUUCAUUUCAUGCAUGCUUUACUUUCACCGGCUUUUGCAGGACUAUGCAGUUUAAUAAGCUAUCAGGCUCAAUUCCUGAUGAUUUUGGAAAGCUUUCGAGUCUUUCAUAUAUGUUUGUACUUUGCUUACACCACAUUUAAUUAUACUUAUAGACUUGUGAUUUUAUUUGUAUGCAUGUUUAUAUAAUAAAUAUAUAUAUAUAUAUAUAUAUAUAUAAUUAAUCUUCUAAAACAUUAAUUCUAAGUCUUUUGUCAUUUUUUCCCAUAGGGAUCUGUCUGAGAAUCAGCUCUCUGGUCCUCUUCCAGAAAGCCUCGGAAAUUUGAAUUCACUCAGCUCCUUGUAAGUUUAAAUGAAAAAAAAAAAAAUCAAACUCAUCGCUUAAAAACUAAAUAAAAUAGAAAUAAUAAUCGAGUUAAUAUGCAAAAGUAAUUAACAUAGGAGUGUCUCUUUCAUUGUUGCAGCUACGUGUCGGCCAAUUAUUUGAGUGGGGAAUUUCCAAAAGGUUAUGACCAGCUCACAAGUCUGGAAUACUUGUAAGUGUUCACUCCUGUCAAUGAUUAAUUUGAGGUUUGCCACACAUUAAUUAAAUAAUUAAGAGAAUAUGAUGGUGACUGGUGAAUGCAUACAGUUCAAUAGCCGGGAAUUACAUUUCUGGUCCCUUACCAGUUGAAACCAUAGCCAAGUGGACUAAUAUCAAUUACCUGUAAGUAAUUUUUAGCUUUACACUUAGCAGGUAGCAAUAGUAUUCUCUCCCUCUUACUAUUAAGGUUUCUUAAAAAGACAAUUUUUUUUUACACGGCGUGCAGGGUGCUCGUGGGAAACAAUUUCGAAGGAAACUCGACGACUAAAUAUACUGAAAUAUUCAAUUUGCCAAACCUUCAGUAUCUGUAUAAGACAUCUUCCUCUUUCUUUCGCUUUGCUGGUUCUAUAAUAUAUAUAUAUAUAUAUAUAUAUAUAUAUAUAUAUAUAUAUAUAUAUAUAUAUAUAUAUAUAUAUAUAUAUAUAGUGUGUGUGUGUCUAUAUAUAUAUAUAUAGGGUAAUGCUAAGGAGGCUACAUUUAUAGACAAAAAUUGCAAAUUAAAUAAUAUGUUUCUAGUAUAAAUGAGCACAUUUAUCAAUGUUUACGUAAUAUCCAAUCAUGAGCUUCCAUGUCAUUUUAUUUACAAAAGUUUUGAUUACAAAUUUUGUUUAUCUAGCAUUAUCCAUAUAUAUUAUGAUUAGAGGUUGAAAAUGUAUAUAUAUUUAUUCCUCUGCAGGUUCAUAAGUGACCUGGCAAAUGACGGUUUCCAAUUACCACCAAAUAUCUCCAACAGUGCCAAUUUCAUUUCUCUGUGAGUGGUUAGUUGUAAUAAUUGCUUCUAGCCCAGUUUGUGCCGAAAGGCUUCAUUUUUCAUUCUUCACGUUGGUUUUCUACAGAACACUGAGGAACUGCUCAAUCACCGGCCCAAUCCCCAAAUACAUUAGUGAAAAUAUGACAUCUCUAAGAUACCUGUAAUUUCACUUCACUUUUGUAAUUCUGCUUUUGGAGUUGUCCUGUUAAUUUGGCUGGAAGAAAAUUUAGAAAACUAUAUUUUAGUCCUUAAAAAUGAUUACUUUUAGAUAAAUAUCGUAUGUAAGAUUAAAAACUAAUUUUAGUUAUAUGACUCGUGUCCAAAUCAGCAUUUAUAUUCCAUGUCAUUAUUAAUUUCUUUUAUGUAAUUUUACUAUGUUUUGUCUUCCUAUAUUACCCCUAAAUAUUGCUAUUAAAUGGUUCACAAUUGAAUGAAUUUUUUUUUAAUUCAAAAUGAGCAUCCGGCAUUUAAAGAUGCAACAUCAAAGGAAUUAGAGAUUAGGCUUCUUAGAAAAAAUGAUUUGGCUCUUGCAAUUGAAGCAAACCAUCCAUGUAUUGCUGAUUUCUUCACACACAUCUUCUAAUUACAAUUUUCCCCUUUUUCUCAUCAUUUGUAGUAGGUCUCUCUCUAGUUUCCUUCUGUUGGUUUUGAAUGUUAUAUGGCUUGUGUAUCUAUGUGGAUUCCAACGAUUUGCAACGAAGAGAAUGAGUUUAGUAACUUUUUUGUGGCAUUGUGCUUGUGAUAUCUCUUAUUUUAUUAGUUUUUGUUGUUAUUUUGUGUUGGUUGAUUUUAUUAUCAGGUUUUGAUCAUUUUGUCGGUGUAUGAAUUAUUAAGUUUGGAGUUGGGUUUGAUCUAUCGCAUCUAUACUCGAUUCAGUACGAUAAUGUAGAUGCAUUCGAUUAGGUACUAUAAUGUAGAUGCAUUCGAUUAGGUACUAUAAUGUAGAUGCAUUCGAUUAGGUACUAUGAUGGAGAUGCAUUCGGUUAGAUAUUAUGAUUUAGGUGCGUUCAACUAGGUACUAUGAUUUAGAUGCGUUCAACUAGGUACUAUGAUUUAGGUGCGUUCAACUAUGUACUAUGAUUAGGUGUUUUCAACUAGGUACUAUAAUUUAGAUGUGUUCAGUUAUUUACUAAUAUUUAGAUACAUACACUUUUUUGGUGUAUUAUAUGUGUGAUACCUUAACUUUUUUCAUCUUGUAAUUUAGGCAUGAUGAUAUGAAAAGUCUUUUCAGGCACCAUAAUCAUGGAAGAAAUCAAGCAUAAAUGAAUCAAAGUCAAAAUUAGUUCCUAAUAAUUUGGAACAUGCCAAGAAGGUCGAAUAAUUAAUUACAAGGGCACAAUGGAAAACAAAAAGAACCAUUAAAGAGUUUAAAAAUAACAAAAUAUGAGUCAUAAUAAUCAUGAUGACAUGGAAGACUAAGAUCAAAUAUCUAAUCCUACACCAGGUUUUAAUGAAAAAUUAAUCUAAUACAAGGAUUAAAAUUCAUUUACCCCAAGAAAAUUGAAUCAGUUUUAGGGCUUGUUUUAUAAUCAUAAACAUUUAUGCUAGAAAUGUUUUCAUUUAAAACGAUUCAAAUUUUUUUAUUAUUAAAAAUUUAAGUGAUUUCUUGCAAAACCACUUACAAGUGUUUCCUUAAAAGCAUAUGACGUGUACUGAUUUUUUCAAAACACACUUUUAGGACCCAAAAUCAUUUAUUACUUUUUUGUGACAGACAUGGUCGUAAUUGCAUUUAAUUAUUAGAAAGUACUUUUAGCUACUCUCCAACAAACCCUCAACCGCUUCAUUGGACAAUUAAUUAAUCAUCGUCUGAUAUAUCUUUCCAUGUUGUAUUUUUUAUUUCACAAUAUAUAGCCAAUUACAUGGAACCAGAAUUGAGCAUGUUCUUAAUAUCAUUGUAGAUCAAAACUCCUUUAACUGUUAAUCUAAUCCUCUGUGUUUUGUCUUGCAGAGACUUGAGCUUCAAUAAGUUAACCGGUGGCCUCCCUUAUUAUAUGAAAUCAGAUAUGAUUUACAUGUAAAGGAAUAACAUUCUUAACUAGAAGAAUUUAGAUUAACUACAUAUCUAAGUCUUGUUAAUUACAUGCGUUAAUAUAAUAUAUAUACCCUUAAUUAUGUUUAGGUCUUUUUCUGGAAAUAUGCUUAACGGGCCAAUCCCACGUUGGAUAUUUCGGGCCUUGCAAACUAGGAUGUACGUCUUCAUAUCCUGAACUAAAGUUGGAAGAACUUUCAUUUGUAACAGCUUUAAUUUUUUGCUCAUAUGUACAAAUUAAACGAGAUUGAUACAUGCUAUGUUAUUUUUUAGGGAUCUUUCGUUCAACAAUUUUUCAGCAGUAGACUAUGCAGUUCCAAGCAACCUACAUCUGUGAGGAUAUGUUCUUUCUUCUUUUUCUGUUGACGAAAUUGAAUGGUUCCACUUCCACUACUAAUUGCAUCGAGGCCUUUUGUUUAAACUUCACCACAACUAUUGUAGCACAUCGCCGAAGUUGGGGACAACAUCAAUUAUGAUUUUUUUGUUUCAUGACCUUAAUUUUUUUUUUUUUUUCCAGGAAUUUGUUUGCCUGCUGCCGCGACUCCUCAACCUCUUUACCAGAUAUGUAUGUUUUUUUCCCUUUUGUGUUAGUAAGAGACUCGAUCAUCAGAACCUUGUAUAACAAAUUGGUAACUACUUUUAGGAUGGAUCCGUUUGAAAUGAAGAACAAAUACUGUCCUCGAAACAAACCAAAGUGUAAGUUUAUUCUUCGGAAAUCGGCAUCCUGAAAACAAACUAAAUGCUGCAGGACAUAUUAUAUGUUAAUUGUUCUUGCAGACCAUUCCUUGUUUAUUAAUUGUGGUGGUGAAGAGACAACUGUUCUUGGGAAUAUAUAUGAUCAAGAUAAUGACACAUCCCCCUCUUACACAAGUCCAAAUAAAAACUGGGCUUACAGCCUUUCCGGAGACUGGCUUGUACAAACAGUAAUGGCAGUGAUUACAUCAAGAGCACGACACGUGGAGUUUCCAUUACUGAGGCACCCCUGUAUGAAAAAGCUCGUCUGUCCGCGGUAUCUCUCAAGUAUUAUGCUUUUUGUCUGCGCAAAGGCAAUUAUACUGUGACGCUUUAUUUCAAAGAAGUUGUAUACACUGAUGAUGCAAACUAUACUAGUCUAAGAAAACGUGUAUUUGAUAUAUAUAUUCAGGUAACAGUUCAUUUUUUUUUUUUUGGAAAACAACAGUUCUUUUUUUUGUCAUGGUAACAGUCACAUCAUUCUACUUUUAUUUAUUGUAUUAUCUUAUUUUAAGUAAAUUUUGUUGCAGGGUAACAGGACAGAAAAUUAUUUCGACAUUAUAGACAAGGCGGGCAAUGGAGAAAAACCGAUAACUGUAAAUCAUUCAGUCGAGGUUGCACAUGAUAGUGAUACGUUAGAGAUCCACUUGUACUGGCCUGGAAAGGGGUCUACUGGUUACCGACCUAGUUUUAAUGGACCUCUAAUAUCAGCUAUUUCUGUGAAUCCUGGUAAUAUUUUAUUUCGUGUAUUGAUUCUUUUUUAAUUUAUUUUGUUCAAAUGAACACUCAUGUAUUAUUACUCUCUUCCCGCUAAAUUCAGCGUUUGAAAUUAGUCUCGAUAAAUAUAAACGUCUACUCAUUGCAUUGAUUACGAUUGCAUCCUUGUCUUUUCAUUACAUGCCUAGUUUUAAUAGACAUCUAAUAUCAGCUAUUUUUGUGAAUUCUGAUAAUAUUUUACUCUGAAUCGUUUCCUUUUCAAUUUGUUUUGUUCAAAUUAACACUCAUGUAUUAUUAAUUUAUUACUCUCUUUCCACUAAUUUCAGAGUUUGAAAUUAAUCCCGACAAACUAAAAGGUCAACGUGUUGCAUUGAUUACGAUUGCUUCAAUUGUUGCUGCUCUGCUGCUUUUAUUGGCUUUUGCUUGGAGGAUGGGGUGGCUGACAAGCAAAGAGGUCCACAGUAAGUGUCUAUAAAAUGGGAUUUGGAUCCUCUCCUGAGCUUAAGGAGACGAUCCUCCUGACCAACAUAUAUGGGCCGUUGGAGCCGUUGGAUUUUCAUCCAACGGCUACAAAAAUGGAGUCUCUUUAAAGUUAUAAUAAUUAUAGCCGUUGGAUUUUCAUCCAACGAUCCAUAUAUAUUGGUCAGGAGGAUCCUCUCCUUAAGCUCAGGAGAGGAUCCAAAUCCUAUAAAAUGCAUGCUAAGCUACAAUUAUAUACUGCAUUGCAAUACAAGAAUAUGUCCUCUUUGAUACACUAAAACGAAAAGAAUUAAAGUUGUCUGAUUGAUAUAUGUUCUUGAUACAUUUUUUCUCUGGACAGAGAUCAAAAUAGGUGUAGAAAAAAUAGAUGACGAGCUUCAAGAUAAAUUUGUCACCAUCAAAGAAUUAAUAAAGGCUACUGAAAAUUUUAGCGACAAAAAAAAACUUGGACGUUAUGGGACAGUUUAUAAGGUAAACUUCUGUACUUGUAUACAUUCUAUAAUUUUUGUAAUUUUGUUUUAUUCUAAAAUUUUUGUGUGAAUGAAGGCAAAACUGCAAGGUCACAUUGUGGCCGUGAAGAAACUAGAUCCCGCUCAAUUUAAGAAAAAAAUUGAAGACCUGAACAAGGAAAUUGGCACCAUAAGGUCAUUACAACACCAAAAUAUCCUCCAACUGUUGGAUGGUUUUUUUGAUAAAGACCUCCAACUUCUUGUUUACGAGUAUAUGGAAAAGCAAUCCCUUGCCGAUAUCUUAUUUGGUAAUAUAUUUUCUACUUCUUGUUUACUUGUACUGUGAUGUUUUGAUGCGUAUAAUGGUUUAAAACUAUCAUGAAAGACGAAUACAACAUAUAACGUAUUGAAGUGUAUGCAACUGCAGGCUCGAAUACUUCUAGCACAUUCAAGCUUGAAUGGAAUACAAGGGUUAACAUUUGCUUGGGAAUAGCAAAGGGUUUGAAUUAUCUACAUGAGCAUCCGAGAGUACAGAUUCUUCAUAGGAAUAUAAAAUCCGCUAAUAUUCUUCUUAAUGAAAAUUUUGAGCCUAAGAUAUCUGACUUUGGAUUUGCAAGUCUUUAUACCAAAGAAGAUAAGGUUAAGGUCAUCACAAGAGAAGUUCCGAAGUAAGUAAACUAGUAACUCACCAGUUUUAUAAGGCAAAUUUAAGUCUAUGUAAAAUUAAAUGCUUAUGCUUAUUACAGAGGCUACAUGGCGCCAGAGUGUUACCUUGAAACAAAUGAUAUAACGUACAAAGCAGAUGUUUACAGCUUUGGGGUGGUCAUGCUUGAAAUUGUUAGUGGGAAGAGAAACAUAUUGAGCAAACCAAACGAGGAAACUCAGGUUCUUUUAGAUAGGGUAAGUAAGAGUGACAGGGUUGUGUUUUUGUGUUUUCUUCUCUAUAUUUGAUUAUGCAUUUUUAGGUGUGAUUACGCAUUCAAGCUUGAUGCUAACAACCCAUCCUGCAUAUGUGCAGGCUUAUCAAGCACUUGCCGAAGGAAAUUUGAAGAGCUUGGUUGAUAAAAGUUUGUCUAAAUAUGAUGAAAAAGAAGCCCUCGUCAUUAUGAAAUUAGCAGUGUAUUGCACCACUCUAGGUCCUAGUGUCAGACCUAAAAUGUCUGAAGUUGUGAGUGUUCUUGUUCGCGAAAAAACCCUUGACGAGGUUUUUCCACCCGCCAAGCUCACUGGCGAUGGCAAUGUUGCUGGUUCCACCUCUUUGGGGAAGACUUCAGCAGCAUCAACUUCGUCUAAUGAUCACGGGAAAGUAUUUCUAGAUUGAACAAGUUUCAUAUGAUUAGCAUUAGGCGUUCUGAUGCGACUCUAAGCUAAUGAGCUUUGGUUAUGACUAGUUAGAUCACUUAGUGUCAAUUUGUCAUUACUACCCAUUAGGCCCACUACUUAAGUAAUAUUAUUAGGCCAUCCAUACCUCAAACCCUAGCUAUCUUUAUAUGUAUUUAAACAUCUUUUAUGAUGUAAAGGGGAUAUGAAUGAAGAUAUGAAUUUCCUUUGAUUUCCUUUUCUAUUUCCUGUAUUACUUUUCUUGCAAUUUCCCUUUUAUGCCAUGUCUGAUCCUAUCAAUUGGUACCAGAGCCAGAGAUCCGCAAUGGAUCUAUGGUUUGGACCCGUCGAUCCCACACUUCCAGCGCCGUGGACAAGUGUGACGGAUGAUUCCAGUGGUAUGGUGUUUUAUUGGAAUCCAGAAACCAAUGUUUCUCAGUAUGAAUAUCCAAACCCGCCUCCACCACCUCCUCCUCCUCCCGAUCACUACCAGUUUCCAUUCAAGUAUACACCUACCUUUCCCUCAUCUGCUCUUACCUAUCAACCACCAGAUUACCCAGCCUCGUAUAUGCCUGAGCUUCCCGUUGCUCCUGUAUAUACCAGUCCCAUUUUCCUCCCGCACCCCGCACCACCUUCCGUUGUGUUUUCGGCCUCCAUCGAUGUCCCUCAAAUCCCUCAUUCCUAUACCACAAACCCUAAUUUUCAAGAUCCCCAAAUUUACUCUCCAUCGUCGUACGAACAAAAUUCGUGGGUUUUCGAUUCUGAGAACCGUCUACGAUUUAAUGACCCCCAUCAGGUAUCUCCUUACGAAAUUGACUUGGGUCCCGAUUUGAACGUGCAUACAGCUUCUACAGCAGGAAAUGUCUUCAGCAUGGUCAGAGGUGUUCACCACACAUCUCCAAAAAUGCCGCUUAAAUCGGUUCGAGCAAAGCAUAAACUUGCAGUGUGUUCUUAUUGAAUAUUAUUGAAUAUUCUUUAAACCCUAAUAGAUGUAAAGCUGUGUUUAGCUAGGGUUUAGUGAGCUGUGUUAUUCCCUCUUCUGUGUAAAGCUUGUUAAUAAGCUGUAAAGCAUGUGUUAGAGAAUGUGGAGGUCAUCAUACUCUCAUGCUUGCUUAGCUGACUUGCUUAGCUGCCAUUGUCCCCCUCUCCUCUCUCUUUCCCGAUUAUUCUUCUAUUUAUGCUUAAUCUUGUAAACUGUUUUGACAAUGAAAUAUACAUUAAGAUUGUCUAUAUGGUAUCAGAGCAGUGAUCCCUCAAGGACCUGCAUCUGUGUUCUUCCGAAAUCCUACCAAAUUCAAACCAGUUAAAGCCAUUAUGGCAACAUCAUCAGAGAAAGUUUCAAAAAACGAAACUAUGGAUACCAACCCAAUUCAACGUUUGAGCUCAGUGCUCCUAAACGAAUUCAACUAUCUGCCUUGGUCACGAGCUAUUUCUCUCGCUCUUGGAGGACGUGGAAAGCUCCAGUUCAUUCAAAAGGAUGAUAUCAUGCCCGAAACAACUUCACAAGAUUAUGCAGCAUGGGUGUCCCAAGAUCAACUUAUCAUGUCUUGGCUGUUGAAUUCAAUGGAACCAAAGAUGGCUGAGAUUUUCAGUUAUUCAGUAUCAUCUCACCACCUUUGGAUUUCUGUACGAGACAUGUAUGGAAAUCUAAACAAUGCUGCGCGAGUCUUCCAGCUGAAGAAAGAUCUUACAGAAUUACAACAGGGAAAUCUCUCUUUUGUUCAACAUCUUGGCAACUUGAAGGCCAAAUGGAAUGAAUUGGAUCUCUACAGACCUCAUACCACGGACACAACCAUUCUUUUAAAGCGUGCUGAAGAAGACAAAGUGUUCCAGUUGCUUGCCAGCAUCGGACCAGAAUAUGAGGAUCUUAAAAGUCAUCUCCUGAUGACACCUGAACUUCCCACCUUCCAGAUGGUCUGCAACGUUAUUCAACGCGAAGAAAUAAGGAAGAAGGUCAUGAAUGCAGUCGUUGUCGUUGGAGAAUCAGAUCUUAGGCCAUCAGAAGCAAGAGCCUUCACCUCUUUCAGACCAUACAAGGGAAAACGACCAGACUUAAAGUGUUCUCACUGUGUGAAAAUAGGUCGUCCAGGCAUUGGACACAUAAAAGAAAAGUGCUGGAUUCUUUCAUCCAGAACUUAAACCCAAGUUCAAUGAUGAUGGAAGAGCACCAAGAAAACCAAAUGAAGCCUGCCUACACUCAUCAAGGAAACCUUGUUUGCGACAAUGUCUCCAAAAAUGUGAUGAACUCUUCUUCUAGUCCCAUUACUCUCAUAAAUGAAUUUGCUAACUUCCUGCAACAGAAACAAGGGACAACAAAUCAUGAAAAUCCUGCAACCAUGCUCGGCAAGUUUGCUGGUUUCCUCGAACAAUCAAGCUCAGUGUCACAAAAUGAUGUGCCAGGUAUUGUUGCAACUAUUUCCACUGCAUUGGAUCUUAGUAGUAGCCGUGGUUUUUGGAUAGUCGACUCAGGAGCUUCUGAUCACAUGACUAACGAUGCAUCUUUACUAAAUGAUUUUCAAAACUUCUCCACUCCUUCUUUUAUCUCCGUAGCUAAUGGCACCAAAGUUAGUAUAGUAGGCAUAGGAAAACUCAAAAUCUUCUCAAGUAAAAAGGAAUCCCUUGUCAUGCAUGUCCCUUCCUUUCCUUUCAAGUUGCUGUUAGUAGGAAGUAUAACACAAUUGCUAAAUUGUCUUGCAAUUUUUUCCACUCACUGUGUGAUUUUCCAGGACCGAGUUUCGAAGGAAACGAUUGGUAAAGGUUUCUUCCUCAAUGGACUGUACUAUGUCAAUCUCUCUUCAAGUUUUCCAAAAGGUUUCUACGUAAACUCAAAACACAGUAAACAAGGAGCAGCUGUGGCACAUGAGAUUAGCUCAUCCUUCUUCCCAUGUUAUGUCUUUUAUUUUUUCCUAGUUUCUGUAAAGAGAUUUCAGAUUGUGAAGUUUGUCAAAAAUCUAAGUCCACCAGGUUACCCUUUCCCCAUUCUCUCUCUAGAGCUACCAAAGUGUUUGAAAUUGUCCAUUCCGACAUUUGGGGACCUGCAACCUUAAAGUCUUUUGAUGGCUACAGAUUCUUCAUCUCUUUCAUUGAUGAUUUCUCUAGAACUACCUUUGUGUAUUUACUUAAAUUCAAGCACGAAGCUUUCCAGUGUUUCAAAAAUUUUCAUAACUUAGUUCAAAAUCAUUUUAACUCUAAUAUUGGCAUCUUAAGGUCUGAUAAUGGCUCUGAGUAUACUUCCAAAAUCAUGACAACUUACUUAAGUGAGCAUGGAAUCUUGCAAACAAACUAGUUGUGUAGGAACACCACAACAAAAAAUGGCAUUUCAGAAAGGAAGAACCGAGAUUUGCUUGAGAAAACACGAUCACUAAUGUUACAAGCAAACCUUCCAAAGAAGUUCUGGUCCCAAGCUAUACAAACCGCUGCAUACAUCAUAAAUCGACUUCCUAGCAGAAUCUUGAAGUUUUAAAUCUCCUUGUCAAAUUCUCAAGGGGAGAGAUAUUGACAUAAGUCAUCUCCGUGUGUGUUUGGAUGUGUGUGCUAUGUGCAUAUUCAAACUAUUCACCGAGAUAAACUUGAUCCAAGGGCUAUCAAGUGUGCAUUCGUAGGCUACUCAACUUCCCAAAAGGGAUACAAAUGCUAUUAUUCUAAAACCAGAAAGGUGUUUGUAUCCAGGGAUGUACGGUUUGAUGAGACACACUUCUUCUUUCAGAAGCAUGAUGAUGAACCUCAGGGGGAGCUCUCAUAUGAAGUGUUUCCCACUCCUCUCGUCCUUGAUGAUCCAAGACUGUCAACACCGCACAAUGAAGCAAUUGAGAUAGAGCCAGCUCAUGAAAAUAUGGAGGCAAAUAAUGAAGAAGUCCUCCACGAAAGGAGAGAGCCCCUUGAACAACCUACUCCUCCACGAAGGAAUCCUUCUCGAAACAGACAACCUCCAGCCAGGCUUGAUGAUUUUGAAAUCUACAUGCCUAGAUAUCCUAUUGGACAAAUGGUUUACCAUAGCAAGACCUCUCCAUCUCAUGCAGCAUUUGUCACUAAGUUAUCUCAACACUCGGAGCCUCGAUCCUUCGAAGAGGCAAACCAAUCUCCUAUAUGGAGAUGUGCUAUGCUUGAGGAACUGAAGGCACUCGAAGAAACUAAAACUUGGAGCAUUGUUUCUCUGCCAAAAGAUCAACGUGUGGUUGGGGCAAGAUGGAUUUACAAGACAAAAUUUAACUCAGAUGGAACCAUCCAGCGGCACAAGGCAAGGUUAGUUGCAAGGGGCUUCACGCAAACCUACGGGGGUAGAUUACAAAGAAACCUUUGCCCCGGUGGCAAAGAUGAACACAGUUAGAGUUCUUCUUUCGGUGGCUAUCAAUUCACAAUGGUCUCUACAUCAAAUGGAUGUAAAAAAACGCUUUUCUUCAUGGAGAGUUGGAAGAAGAAGUGUACAUGCGCCUACCACCUGGUCAUGAACGAGAGAAGGAACAAGGAGUAGUAUGCAAGCUUCACAAGGCCAUUUACGGUCUCAAGCAAUCUCCAAGGGCUUGGUACUCAAAACUAAGCUCUGUCCUUAUGUCAUCCGGUUUUAAACGAAGCAAUGCAGAUUCUUCAAUGUUCACUAGGCUUGGCACACAUGGAAGAUUGGUGGUACUUGUUUAUGUUGAUGAUCUCAUUGUCACAGGAGAUAAUCCAGAAGAAAUCAAUGUUCUCAAAGCCACCUUACAUUCAACAUUCUCAAUCAAAGAUCUCGGCAGACUUAGAUACUUUCUCGGAAUCGAAAUGGAUCAAUCUCCAACGGGGUUGUUUCUAAAUCAACAAAAAGUACGUUCUCGAUCUUUUAGAAGAAGCCAAUAUGAUGCAUUGCAAACCUGCUAAAACACCUCUACCAACAAAAUUUCAAGCAUGAAACCUCAGGCAUCCAGCUUGAAAAUGUAUCGGAGUAUCAAAGGUUGGUAGGAAAACUUAUCUAUUUGACUAUAACUCGACCUGACAUUGCUUAUGCUGUUAGCUUUGUCAGCCAGUUCAUGCAUUCUCCCACAUCUCAUCAUCUGCAACUAGUUAAAAGGAUCCUUCGAUACUUAAAAAAGCUCAAUGUCUACCGGGAUUUUCAUGCAAAACAACGGACACUUCACCAUUGAAGGAUACACAGACUCUGAUUGGGCAGGCAACGUCCUUGAUCGCAAGUCCACAACUGGUUACUGCACUCUUGUAGGUGGUAACCUCGUCACGUGGAAGAGCAAAAAGCAAUCUGUUGUAGCUCGGUCCAGCGCAGAAGCUGAGUACCGUGCAAUGGCAUCUACUGCAUGCGAACUAAUUUGGCUAAAGAGUUUGCUACAUGAUCUUGACAUCAUCUCUUCCAAGCCAAUUCUCCUCCACUGUGACAAUCAAGCAGCGAUGCAUAUUGCUGCCAACCCCGUCUUUCAUGAACGAACAAAGCAUAUCGAGGUUGACUGUCAUUUCGUCCGCAACCAAGUCCAGUCCAAGCUGUUACAAACUGCAUUUGUUCGCUCCAGUGAUCAACUAGCCGAUGUGUUCACCAAGCCCCUUCCUUCUUCUCAACUUGAUCGUAUUCUCUUCAAGCUUGGAUCCAGAAAAUCUCUCGAUCCAGCUUGAGGGGGAGUAUUGAAUAUUAUUGAAUAUUCUUUAAACCCUAAUAGCUGUAAAGCUGUGUUUAGCUAGGGUUUAGUGAGCUGUGUUAUUCCCUCUUCUGUGUAAAGCUUGUUAAUAAGCUGUAAAGCAUGUGUUAGAGAAUGUGGAGGUCAUCAUACUCUCAUGCUUGCUUAGCUGCCAUUGUCCCCCUCUCCUCUCUCUUUCCCGAUUAUUCUUCUAUUUAUGCUUAAUCUUGUAAACUGUUUUGACAAUGAAAUAUACAUUAAGAUUGUCUAUAGUUCUCAUGUGAGGAUGAAAAGGAAGGCUUCGUCUGUGAGUUUUUGCCAACGACGACAACGGAAUCAGGUGCUUCCGUCGUUCUCUGCUGCUCCAUCAUUGUCGUUGGCACCUUUACCACAGGCGCAUGAACAAACUUUUCCAACGAACAGAGAGCAGCACCUGCUCAAUACCAACCAUAGCGCAGGUCCCGAGCGGCUUCUCAGUCUGAAGCCUAUCAGCUUCGGCGCACCAAAGCAUCUUGUUGAUUCGGAGGACGUGGAAGGGGUGAACCCUAACCCUCAGGUGGAACUUGGUCAUGUACUUGUUGUAGGUGAUUCGUGCUGCCACGAGAGCCUCGCUGGAACCGUUUUCCUUCUCCCAGGAGCCGAGGUGGAUGCAGAAGGGGAACUCUUCGAUGCCCUUCUUCAUGCCAACAUCGUAGAUUCGGAUCUUGGGGUCGGGCACACCGCGACUGAAGCGGGAUUUCGGGUAGGGUUUGUUCUUGAUAUUUGCUAUUCUGAUGUUACGGCAGAGCAAGGGCAAGGGUAUCAACAGUUUCAAUUUGAUGUUCUGAGUCUUGUUGGAAAUCAACCUUGGGUUCCCCAUGCAAUCCAGAUGUUUGAUGGAAUGCCAAAAAGAAGAAUUAAGGACCCAAUGCCUAAUUUUCUCACCUUGGACCUUAUGGAACAAUUUAAGUCUGGCUUGGCUCUUAAUGAGUAUACAAGCUGUGCUUUGAGAGCUUUAAGGGCAAUUCGAAUGUUGAGAUUUCUAUUUGAUGAGGGAGGGGAUCUACGAGAACUACAAAUUGUCGAGGCUGUGUUUAGGCAACUAUGUCAGUUGACAGAAACAAGUAUUAAAAUUGUUUCGGAUCAAUUGAGCAUUGUGGACAUUACACUUUUGUAUCCUGUAAGUCUAGAGCUCACUCUCUUGGCUUUAGAAUGGAGCAAGUUGCAUAUUACAAGACCACUAAUCUUGAUCCUUACAGUAGUGUUUCUGCCCUUUGAAGAUUUUUCUAUUAUUUGUAGACAUUUCCAAACAGUCUCGAGCAAGGAAAAUAUGGUGUACCACUUCAAGGUUAGUUAUACUGUCGAAGUAAGGUUGAUGCCUCUUAUGACUCACACUCAUUUCCUUCCAUAUGAGGAUAUUAUUCUUGCCUUGACAUCUGCAUAUUGGAGUUCAGAAGCUAUGCACUUACGUAAGUUCAUUGCUACCUCUUUUCAUAAGAGUGGGUUACUAAAUAAUGAUUUUGCAUUGAUUGUCUUGCACCAGCACCGUAAGCCGGUUGAGAAAUUCAUGGAAAUAUUUGAGAACGUGUGGAUAAGCUGGAUGACACUACUUAUUAGUAUGAAUCACAAAGGGGCGCUGAACAUGGCAUCUCUCAUUAAGUUAUAGAGACUUUUACCAUUCACAGGAGUUAAGUUUAAGUACAACAAUCCAGUGGCAGCCACCUACUUUAGUUCUGAAAAUCAAAGACAUGUUUGUCUUAUCUUUCGUAUUAAUUCCAUUGCUUUGAGAACUGCUUUUGAAAAGUAUUGGGAUAGUGAGGACUACGUAACAUGGUGCCACUUCAAUGUCACAUGUAACGUCGAUCUUAUGGCAGCUAUGUUUGUGACUCAUACGACUCAUGUUUUUUUAAUGGAGAGGUAUUUUUCUGGUCCUACUACUUCUAUGUCUCCUACUCAUGUUCAGCCUCCAGUGACCACUUUUGUUCAUGGUUUGCUUUUUCACCUUCAUAAGCAUGAAUUAGAUAAUGCCUCAGUGGGGAUGAUAACUCAAGUUGCUGCCACCCUUAGUUAUUGGUUGAAUGUUAAUGUUUUGUUUAUUGCCAAAUGGGUUGAGAAACAUAUAGUUUUCGUGUCAUUGUUCACAUGGAAUGAAGUGUUGAGCAUAACUUUUGUUGUCGCUGAUCUUUUUUGUCAUCAUGCCAAAGUGCAAGUUCCCUUGGAAAAUAUGAGAGCCAUACUAGAAUUUGGAAGAUGGUUUUCUCGGGUGUACAUGGAAAUUAUUACUAAUUGCUGGAAAUUGUAUUAUGUUCGACGUGAAUGUAACUAUAACACUCUUUUGAUUACUCUAGCUUUGGUGAACAUGAUCAAUAUUCUUUAUGGGGAAGGAAUACAACCAUUACUUUCAGGAGGUGGACAGGGGUCAAACAACAGAGUGGAAGAGAAAUGUUUAUCUGCUUCACAUAUUCACCUAUGCAGUCCAGAGUAAUGAACCUGCUGUCAUCUGGUUCCUCACGAGUGAUGGAGCAUCCGCAGCUUGGAUCAGACCUGUUUGCUUGGUCGUAGACCAGAGGGCAAAUUAUAGGAUGCUCAAUCUGGAAGUUUUUGCUAUUUGUAUCUAUGAACGUAGAGCCAUUUUUCAGCAAGCAUUUUCUUAUGUUGUGAGACUUUUUGCUCUUCUCAAACUCAAUCGGCAUUUUUCUUCAAGGUAUUUCUCUGAUCUCAUUCCUUCAAGAGCUAGUGUGGAUGUUCAGCUUACAGUGCAUAGAAUUCUUCAUGAUCGGGCAUUACAAAUUCGUGGGCAUGCUUCUAACCUUCUUUUUACUACUAAGGGGUAUCCACAUGUAGUUAUUUGCAUUAUUGUGGAUGAUGAUAAGGGAUCUCUGAACGUCAUUUUUCUUAAAGUUCCUGCACCAUUAAUUAUAUGGGAUAGUGAUGAUUCACACCAUGAAAAAUCUGGUAGGGGAGAAAUUCAAGAUUUAAGUUUUGUCCUGUAUGGUGGAGAAUGGAGACCAAUGCUUAGGGAAGUUCACUUAAUUGGGUGGUUGCUUGGCCACAUUAUUCCUUAUUUUCUUCGUUCAGCAAGAUUGUGUGUUCAAAUUGUUGGUAAUAGAGAUAUAGAUACUAGACACUUGAACUCAUGCCAACACCGGCUUGAAGACAUUGCUAUGUGGGAAACAUCUCUUGCUGUGAGUGAAGUGGGUGCUGUUGCACAGAAGAUCUCCCCUUUCAAGCCCAUAACCAGUAUUUUUGUUGGAACUAUUGAUGCCUUUGGACUGUUUAAGGGAUAUGAUCUUCGACAAUUUUUCAAAACUGUUCUGCCAGGACAAAACAAGCUAAAUGGCUUCCUGAUUGGUGAUGCAACAACGCCGAUUGUUCUCUUGCUCAAUGCUACCAAGAUUAGUGUGCUCCAACUCUUUUCUUCCCUCUCACAGUAUUUGGCAAAACUGCAUGAUUUCAUGUUGGCAGGAUAUGAGUUAAUGAUCUUUGGUUUUUGGGAGUACACACUGAAGCUAAUACUGAAUAUGAUUAUGGUACACCAUUGGACAAAUUGGCGGGCCUCUUUCCCUGACUGCUGCUGCAUGCGUCCUUCUCAGUUUGAGAGGCUUGAGGACAAGCCUCAUCUUAAGGGGGUGGGAUUGAUGCGACUCUAAGCUAAUGAGCUUCGGUUAUGACUAGUUAGAUCACUUAGUGUCAAUUUGUCAUUACUACCCAUUAGGCCCUCUACUUAAGUAAUAUUAUUAGGCCCAUCCAUACCUCAAACCCUAGCUAUCUUUGGAUGUAUUUAAACCUCUUUUAUGAUGUAAAGGGGAUAUGAAUGAAGAUAUGAAUUUCCUUUGAUUUCCUUUUCUAUUUCCUGUAUUACUUUUCUUGCAAUUUCCCUUUUAUGCCAUGUCUGAUCCUAUCACGUUCUUGAAUUGCUGCCGUUACUGGUGUGGUUUAAAUCUUUUUUGUGGUUUCUUUCGCAUCCUUGUGAACCCUUUCUUCCAGCAAAAUGUUAUAUCACAACUUUGAGGUUUUGGUUUUGGUUUGAAAAUUUUCCCUUUUUGUAGUCAUUGUAUAUCAUGUUAAUUGUGAGAAUUUUUUUUAUUGUGUUCGAAAUAUGAAGUGGUCAGGUAGUCGACAGCCGGCACUCCAUGAUCACGUCGAAUCCUUAUGAAAAUGAAUCCAGAACAAAAUCGCGCUAAAGCUAGGGCGUCACCCGUAAGUGGCGCGCUGUGUGGCCCGAGCACAGUGAUAAGUGAGCAAGGGUCGCUGUAUCUCCAUCGGCACCCGGAUGCAGUGUUAAAUGAGCAAGGGGGCCAUCGAAACUUCUUUUCGAACGACUCCACUCAAAGUUGUUUGGGAGCAUAUGCUCCUAUCAACUUUACCCGGGACACACAAAAGAAGUACUUUGAUCCUAUUAGACGGGGGAGGGUGAAGAAGCUAGGACAGAAGGGUAGAGUUCAAGAGAGCAAAAUGCGUUUAGGAACGUGGAAUAUAGGAACCUUAACGGGAAAAUCUAUGGAAGUAGUGGAAGUUAUGGUGAGGAGAAGGAUAAAUAUUAUGUGCCUACAAGAAACUAAGUGGGUUGGUAGUAAGGCAAAGGAUCUAGAAAACUCAGGGUUUUAAACUUUGGUAUUCGGGCACAAAUAGAACGAGAAACGGUGUUGGCAUCAUCGUGGACAAGACCUUGGUACAAGAUGUUGUAGAUGUCAAGAGGGUAGGAGAUAGAAUCAUGGCAAUCAAGAUUGUAAUAGGACAAGAACUUAUCAAUGUGAUUAGUGCGUACGCACCUCAAGUAGGGUUGGAUACGAGUUCGAAGGAGAAAUUUUGGGAAGGAUCUUGGAGACUUGGUGCAAGGAAUUGCUCAGACGGAGAAGUUAUUUAUAGGAGGAGAUUUAAAUGGACACGUGGGCAGGGAGACAGGCAACUAUGGAGGUUUUCAUGGUGGCCAUGGUUUUGGGGAGAGAAACGAGGAUGGGGAAGCUAUCUUGGAAUUUUGCAAUGGCAUAUGAUCUCUUCUUAGCCAACACCUUCUUUAAGAAGAGAGAAGAACAUGUGAUCACCUACAAGAGUGGGUCGUCAAAAACACAAAUAGAUUUUCUUCUAAUGAGGAAAGGGGAUCGUAUAACUUGUAAGGAUUGCAAAGUUAUACCAGGAGAGAGCGUGGCUAAUCAACAUCGCUUGUUGGUGAUGGAUGUACAUAUCAAAAGAGUAAGACAAAAGAACAAGACUUGGAAGUGCCCAAGAACUAGAUGGUGGAAUCUAAAAGAAGAAAAACAAGCCAUUUUCAAAGAGAAGGUAAUCACCCAAUGUGUGUGGGAUAGAGAGGGGGAAGCUAGCCAAAUGUGGGAUUCCAUGGCUAGUUGUAUCCGAAAAGUAGCAAAAGAGGUAUUAGGAGAGUCCAAGGGCUUUGCCCCACACCAAAAGGAAUCUUGGUGGUGGAAUGAGGAGGUACAAACAAAGGUGAAGGCUAAGAAGGAAUGUUGUAAAGCCUUAUACAAGGAGAGGACCGAUGAAAAUGGUGAAAGGUAUAGAAAAGCGAAGCAAGAGGCGAAGAAAGCUGUCAGAGAGAAGCUAAGUUAGCGGCUUACGACGAUAUGUAUAAACGACUAGAUACCAAAGAAGGAGAGUUGGAUAUCUAUAAACUAGCUAGAGCAAGGGAAAAGAAGACAAGGGACCUAAACCAAGUGAGGUGCAUCAAGGAUGAGGAUGGAAAGGUUCUUGCUACAGAGAACGCGGUUAAAGACAGAUGGAGAGGUUAUUUUCAUAAUCUUUUCAAUGAAGGACAUGAAAGGAGUGCUUCUUUAGGGGAGUUGAGUAACUCAGAAGAGUGUAGAAACUACUCCUUUUAUCGUCGAAUCCGGAAGGAAGAAGUGGUUGUAGCUUUGAAGAAGAUGAAGCAUAGAAAAGCAAUAGGCCCAGACGAUAUACCAAUCGAAGUGUGGAAAGUUUUGGGAGAGACAGGUAUAACAUGGCUCACUGACCUUUUCAAUAGGAUUUUGAAAACGAAGAAGAUGCCAAAUGAGUGGCGAACGAGCACUUUGGUGCCUAUCUACAAGAAUAAGGGCGACGUACAAAAUUGCAUGAACUAUAGGGGUAUUAAGCUAAUGAGUCAUACAAUGAAGCUCUGGGAGAGAGUCAUUGAGCAUAGAUUGAGGCAAGAGACACGGGUUUCGGACAACCAAUUCGGGUUCAUGCCAGGGCGCUCAACCAUGGAGGCAAUCUAUCUCUUACGAAGAUUGAUGGAAAGAUAUAGAGAUGGGAAAAAGGAUUUACACAUGGUCUUUAUAGAUUUGGAAAAAGCGUAUGAUAGGGUCCCAAGAGACAUUCUUUGGAGGAUUUUAGAGAAGAAAGGAGUACGAGUAGCAUAUAUAUCCAAGCUAUAAAGGAUAUGUAUGAAGGAGCAAAGACUGCCGUAAGAACUCAUGAAGGACAAACCGAAAGCUUUCCCAUAACUGUAGGAUUACAUCAAGGCUCAUCCUUAAGUCCUUACCUUUUUGCGUUGGUAAUGGAUGAGUUAACAGGACAUAUUCAAGAUGAUAUUCCUUGGUGUAUGCUUUUCGCAGACGAUAUAGUGUUGAUAGAUGAAACUCAGGAAGGGGUAAAUGCAAAGCUUAACCUUUGGAGAGAAGUGUUGGAAUCUAAAGGUCUUCGCCUAAGCCGAUCAAAGACAGAAUAUAUGGAGUGCAAGUUCAGUGCAAAUGGAGGCCAAAACGAGUUAGGGGUGAGGAUCGGAGAUCAAGAAAUACCAAAGAGCGACCGUUUUCGUUACCUAGGAUCUAUCUUGCAAAAGAACGGAGAAUUAGAUGGAGAUCUCAACCAUAGAAUACAAGCUGGAUGGAUGAAGUGGAAGAGUGCAUCCGGCGUGUUGUGUGACCGCCGUAUGCCACUGAAGCUCAAGGGAAAAUUUUAUAGGACGGCAAUAAGGCCGGCGAUGCUGUAUGGCACAGAAUGUUGGGCGGUGAAACAUCAACACGUACACAAAAUGGGUGUAGCGGAGAUGAGGAUGCUUCGUUGGAUGUGUGGGCACACGAGAAAGGAUAAGAUUAGGAAUGAGGAUAUCCGGGGUAAAGUAGGAGUAGCCGAAAUUGAAGGAAAGAUGAGAGAAAAUCGGUUACGGUGGUUUGGACAUGUGCAAAGAAGGCCUACUGACGCUCCGAUUAGAAGAUGCGACUAUGGGACAGAGGUUCAGGGCCGAAGGGGUAGAGGAAGACCUAGGAAAACUUUGGAAGAGACUCUAAGAAAAGACUUAGAGUACUUGGAUCUAACGAAGGACAUGACACAGGAUCGAGCACAAUGGCGUUCUAAGAUUCAUAUAGCCGAUCCCACUCAGUGACUUGGAUUUUCCAAGUCUCCAACCGAGAAGUUUUCCUCACUCGGGAAAUUAAGGGAACACUACCCCAACCUACAUGCUCCACUCAGAAAGCUUCAACAUACAAGCUUCAACAAAAGAAAAUUCAAAGAACUUAGCGAAGAAGGCUUUGGUGUAUUUAACACAAUACGUUGAAAUGAAGGAAAGCUUAUUUAUUGAUAUCCCCGAUAAGCUACAAAUAUGUACAUAUACAUGAGUCAAAAUAAACACACAAGAGGGAGCCUUCACAAAGGUUGCUUAGGAGAAGUCUCAGCAGUCGGUAGAGCCCCAGAAAGAGAAGGCACCGGAGGGGGAUCAUUUGGAGCCUCAGUACUGGACAGAACCCUAGAAGGAGGAGGCAUCAGAGGUUGAUCAUUUGGAGCUUCAUUACGCGGUACAGCCCCAGAAGACGAAGGCAAUAAAUGCCUUUGGAACAAACCCACAAAUCUCUGAUGAUCAAGUAAAACCUGACCAUCAGUUUCCUUCAUCUGGUCAAGCUUCCUCUUCAUGUUUGUAGCAUAGUCAUGUGCGAGCCGGUGCAACUGUUUAUUCUCAUGCUUGAGCCCUCUAAUCUCCUGUUUGAGACUCAUCACUUCAGCCGCCAAUGAUUCAACUUGGCGGGUUCGAGCAAAUAGGCGUUGGGCCAUAUUAGACACAGAACCUGCACACUGAACACUGAGAGCCAGCGAAUCCUUAACAGCUAACUCAUCAGACCGUUUGGAAAGUAGUCUGUUAUCUUUGGGAGUGAGAAGGUUCCUGGCCACCACCGCAGCGGUCAUAUCAUUCUUCAUCACGGAAUCCCCAACGGUAAGAGGACCAGUAGGGGAGACGAAGGAUGGGCGCCAUAUGUUUGUCUGGAGAAGGCGGGGCUGCCUCUUCAACAAGGUUCAAGUCAAAACGACGGUCGGAGGGGCCAGACAUUUUCAAAGGUGUUGAAGAGAGAAGAGGUCGGACAAAUCAAGAUCUUAGAAGUGCAAGAAUGAAGCUUCUACUGGUGGAGAUUCAAGUGUGCUUUGGAACUUAAUGCCAGCCCCUAUAAAAAUCUGCACUCGACGGAGCUUCAGAAAUCAAAGAGGCGCCUGCUCAGAAAUCGAAGAGGCGUUUGCUUUCUCAAAAGCUGGGCUGCUUAGAGAUCACGAGGGUUGAUCUCAGAAAUCGAAGAGCCGUUUGCUUUCUCAAAAGUUGGGCUGCUCAAAGACCACGAAGGCCGAUCUCAGAAAUCGAAGAGGCGCUCGCUUUCUCAAAAGCUGGGCUCCCUAGAGACCACGAGGGCCGAUCUCAGAAAUCGAAGAGGCACCUACUUUUCCAGCCUUGUCAGCACCUGUCACACGCACACACUCAGCUUUGCGGAAAUUAUGGGCAUUCUGUCAAAGACUUCUGGGGAAGUAGAAAACACAUGAAUCUUACUGUUCAAUCACCCACUUCCCACACGCAACAAUAGCUCAUGGGUACCACAGAUAACUUUGCCAAAGUUCUCUGCCAAAGUUGAGCACGUGAAGCUUGCAGCUCCCACUACAUCGCUCUGACCAAGAAGGGUAAAAGAAUAGCAAAGAAACAGCACUAACAAAGUUUAGACCCAUAAAUUUUGAAGGUCUAGCUACCAUAUUAUUACCCACAAGGGUAAAGGAACAGUACCACUGCUGGAUAAUUGGAAAGUCCCAUGUGUGUCAACCUCUGUGCUUCGUGGCAAGGUAGACUAGCAAACAUGCCCAACCUUUACUCACAUUCGAGAAAAACACUCCCAAUAAGAUUGCUUGCUCCAAAAUCGAAGAGGCACCGUCCUCCGAAUCUCGAGAGCCAGACUCCCAACAUGACUACUUUCUUAAAAAUCGAAGAGAGGGUAAAGGAACAGUACCAUUGCUGGAUAAUUGGAAAGUCCCUGUGUGUCAACCUCUGUGCUUCGUGGCAAGGUAGACUAGCAAACAUGCCCAACCUUUACUCACAUUCGAGAAAACACUCCCAACAAGAUUGCUUGCUCCAAAAUCGAAGAGGCACCGCCCCCUCCGAAUCUCGAGAGCCACUCUCCCAACAUGAUUACUUUCUCAAAAAUCGAAGAGACACUGCUCCCCGAAUCUCGAGAGCCAGACCCCCAGCAUGAUUGCUUUCUCAAAAAUCGGUGAGGCAUCGUUCUCCGAAUCAAUCGAAGAGGCGCUCGCUUUCUCAAAAGCUGGGCUGCUCAGAGACCACGAGGGCCGAUCUCAGAAAUCGAAGAGGCACCUACUUUUCUAGCCUUGUCAGCACCUGUCACACACGCACACUCAGCUUUGCAGAAAUUAUGGGCAUUCUGUCGAAGACUUCUGGUGAAGUAGAAAGCACAUGAAUCUUACUGUUCAAUCACCCACUUCCCACACGCAACAAUAACUCAUGGGUACCACAGAUAACUUUGCCAAAGUUCUUCUCUGCCAAAGUUGAGCACGUGAAGCUUGCAGCUCCCACUACAUCGCUCUGACCAAGAAAGGUAAAAGAAUAGCAAAGAAACAGCACUAACAAAGUUUAGACACAUAAAUUUUGAAGGUCUAGCUACCAUAUUAUUAUUACCCACAAGGGUAAAGGAACAGUACCACUGCUGGAUAAUUGGAAAGUCCCUGUGUGUCAACCUCUGUGCUUCGUGGCAAGGUAGACUAGCAAACAUGCCCAACCUUUACUCACAUUCGAGAAAACACUCCCAACAAGAUUGCUUGCUCCAAAAUCGAAGAGGCACCGUCCUCCGAAUCUCGAGAGCCAGACUCCCAACAUGACUACUUUCUCAAAAUCGAAGAGAGGGUAAAGGAACAGUACCAUUGCUGGAUAAUUGGAAAGUCCCUGUGUGUCAACCUUUGUGCUUCGUGGCAAGGUAGACUAGCAAACAUGUCCCAACCUUUACUCACAUUCGAGACAACACUCCCAACAAGAUUGCUUGCUCCAAAAUCGAAGAGGCACCGCCCUCCGAAUCUCGAGAGCCAGACUCCCAACAUGAUUACUUCCUCAAAAAUCGAAGAGACACUGCUCUCCGAAUCUCGAGAGUCAGACCCCCAGCAUGAUUGCUUUCUCAAAAAUCGAAGAGGCAUCGUUCUCCGAAUCUCGAGAGCCAGAUACCACAGACCACUUUUUCAAAGUGCUCUGACAGAGUUAAAAACAUGUGAAACUGGCAGCUCCCACUACCGUGCUAUGACCAAGCAGGGUAAAGGAAUAGCAUUACUACUUGUUGUUAGGGAGACUCCUAUAUAUGUCGACCUCCAUCCCCAACGACAGGCAGACCUGCAAAAAUGCUCAACCCUUCAUCAUAUCUGAGAGGGCACUCCCAACGAAGCCUUUCGAAAUAUUCAGCUUUCUUUCCCCCCGAUAAUACCUCUGCAAACAAGCUAUACUAGAGCAAGAAUAUCUCAUAUCAUCAGGGUUAAAAGCAAGAGUAUCCCAUAUCAUGCUUUUUCCCUGUCUUUUCUUUUGGCCUUGUUUUUACCUGCAAGACAAGGAGAAAGAGAGCAAUCAGUCAGCACUUGGAAUCAAGCUUCCAGCCAGGAACUGACUGCCUGGAACCCCUUACCUGAUUACUUACCUGGCAUUGCUCUCGAGUACUCAUCUUCAACAUCUUAUGUUUCCAGGGAAGAUUCCGCAUCUGCUUGAGGAACAGAUAGGGCAAGUGCGAAGGAUACAAGGAAGCAUGUGGAGACAAGCGUAACAGCACACGUGCCGAUACAUCCAUUACUCUGUCAAAAGCAAAAGUAUCCCAUAUCAGCAGGGUGGAACGUACUCUAGAUUUGAUGGACUUGUUUUGACCCUCAAAUUCUUCAGUCGGCCUUAUACUCUGGAGGAAACCAGAAAACCCUCCAGCUCAGUUCAAGAAUAAGCCUGUGGAAAGUUACUUCUUCAAAAGCAAAAGUAUCUCAUAUCAUCUCUUCUCAUUUUUCUUCUCUUUAUCCUUCAUGCUGCUGCAAGAUGGGGAGAAGGUGAACAAUCAGUCGGAGCUCUGAUUGCUUACCUUGUCUGUCACCUCUUUCAGCAGACCCCCUAGCUCGGCGACUUGGGGGACUCCUACUACAUGGUUUGUAUCGCGCUUGACCAAGCCUGAAACUACAAGUAAGCUUCAAGUGAAAUUGAUACAUUACCUUGUGCAUCUCCACCAGUUAAAGAUACCACCCCUGGAUGGAGGAAGAGUACUUCCAGAGAAGAUGCCCACAUCUACCUAUGAGACAGAUAAGGCAAGUCAAGACGACACCACACUCCGAUACUUAGAAGUUUCGUGAUUACGAGAUCAUUCUCCCACAAUAUUUCCUAAUGUCAUUUGUACUAAAUCAUUCACUUGUACUCACUAAAGGAGAGCUUGAACCUAUGUACUUGUGUAAACCCUUCACAAUUAAUGAGAACUCUUCUAUUCCGUGGACGUAGCCAAUCUGGGUGAACCACGUACAUCUUGUGUUUGCUUUCCUAUCUCUAUCCAUUUAUAUACUUAUCCACACUAAUGACCGGAGCAAUCUAGCGAAGAUCACAAAAAGCGACCGUUUUCGCUACCUAGGAUCUAUCUUGCAAGAGAACGGAGAAUUAGAUGGAGAUCUCAACCAUAGAAUACGAGCUGGAUGGAAAGAGUGCAUCCGGCGUGUUGUGUGACCGUCGUAGGCCACUGAAGCUCAAGGGAAAAUUUUAUAGGACGGCAAUAAGGCCAGCGAUGUUGUAUGGCACAGAAUGUUGGGUGGUGAAGCAUCAACACGUACACAAAAUGGGUGUAGCGGAGAUGAGGAUGCUUCGUGGGAUGUGUGGGCACACGAGAAAGGAUAAAAGAUUGGGAAUGAGGAUAUCCGAGGUACAGUAGGAGUAGCCGAAAUUGUAGGAAAGAUGAGAGAAAAUCGGCUCUGGUGAUUUGGACAUGUGCAAAGAAGGCCGACUGACGCUCCGGUUCGAAGAUGUGACUACGGGACAGAGGUUUAGGGCCGAAGGGGUAGAGGAAGACCUAGGAAAACUUUGGAAGAGACUCUAAGAAAAGACUUAGAGUACUUGGAUCUAACGGAUGACAUGACACAAAACCGAGCGCAAUGGCGUUCUAGGAUUCAUAUAGCCGACCCCACUUAGUGGGAAAAGGCUUUGUUGUUGUUGUUGUUGUUGUUGUUCGAAAUAUGAAGUGGUACAUUAUGUGCCAUUAUACAAAGGAUAAUGCUAUGAAGACCAAAAUUUUAAACCAAAUUUGCAAACCAAAUGAUGUGUAACAAAUAGAAAAUAAGCAUAUUAAUCAACACUUAAAUAAUCAUUCAAUCAUCAAAUACCACAUUAUUUGGUUUACAAAUUUGGCUUCUCUAGCAUUACUUUUAUAUAAAUAGAAGAAAAUUUUAUUGUUCAACUAUCCUCCAAUUAUAAAGUAACAUGUAAUGUAAUACUUCGUAUUUCCAGCACAAUAAAAAAUCUAUCAUUAAUUAUCUAACUUGUCACGCUUUUGCAGAAACUAUUAAAGAUCUAACUUGUUACACAUUAGGCGACCAGUUUUCUGAUCCAUCUUAUUUUGUUUUGCUUUUUCACCAUAUUUGAUGGGUCACAUUUGAAACAGCAGUUGUUUCACUUUAUUGGGUAGAGCCCUAAAAUUUCCUUUUUAAGUGGAGCCUUUGGACGAUCCGUUCCUAAAGGAAAUUGGACCCUCGGCUUUGAUCUUAUGGACCGAUGAAGAGGUGAUGAACUAGGUUAAUGUGACUUCAAUUGUUCAGCUCUUCAGUAUGAUUAAUAUUAUUUUUCGUUAUUCUUUCUUAUUAAUUGUAUGUUUUAGAGGACUAGUGCAUAAUAAAAAUUAAACACUCUUCUGGCCCUUUUGACUCGGAUUCAAGGCUGCCCACCCGCUUUCCCCUUUUUGCCCUCAGAACACACCUUUUUUUUUUUUUUUGAAGUCCCUCAAAAACACACUAAACUGUUGACAAUAUUUUUUUUUUGGAUAAGGAUUGUCUGCCCUCCCUUUUUCCAUAUCUUUCCAUCCCCUCUUGUUUAUGGUCACGGUUAAGCCACGUUAACAUUUUAUAUUACUAUUUAUUUUCGUCUUAUUAUCUUUAUUAAAAAAUAAUAUAAAAUGUUAACGUGACUUAACUGUGACCACACAAAACAAGAAUGCAUGAAAGUGUAUGGAAAAAGGGAGGGCAGACAAUCCUUGUCCUUUGUUUUUUUAGAGCAAUUCCACCCUAAGGACUUUGCGCCAUCACCCAGCGCAUUUAUCCACUCAAAUGAACAGUAACAAACUCCAAUGAACAGUAAUAGGCCAAGGCAUCUCCACCCCUAAAAAAAUGCACUAGCACCCAGCGCAUUUAUUUGGUGUGUUUUUUUUUUUAAGUUUAUUUCGGAUAAGAUUUUUAACCAAUUUCGGAUAAAAUUUCAAAUAAACUUAAAAAAAAAUUACACACUAAAAUAAAAUUACAUACUCAUCAAAUAAACUUAAAAAAAAAACACACUAAAAUAAAAUUACAUAAACUCAUCAAAUAAACUAUAAAAAAAAAAAACACACUAAAAUGAAAUUACAUAAACUCAUCAAAUACUCUUUAUUCUUCAACCACAAGCUUUUUGGUAUUUUUUUUCACACAAAAAGUAUAUGAAAGCUUUGGUAAAAAGUGUAGAAAAUAUUGAAAUGUGGUGUAAGGUGGAAGAUGAGGGUUAGGUAUUUAUAGAAACAAAAAAUUUAAUUUUCUGUAUUUUUAAUAAUUUUUCUGUAUUUUUUAAUAAAUUUUAAUUUAGUUAAUUAACGUGGACCGUUGAUCUAUGAUCGAACGGUCCAUUUUAAAAGUCAAAUUUAAAAUUUUUUUACCGUUGGAAAUCCAACGGCUAUGAUCAUGCCGCGUCAUCCCGGAGCACAAGUGGGCUGACAGCCCUCUGAAACCUUGUCGGGCACUCGCCCCACGCCGCCGUGAAGCACGCGCCAGGCCAACAGCCCGGCUUCUUGCUCAGUCUCUUUUGGGCUGGUCCAUUGCCCAGCUCGAGCUGGGUACUAGUCAACUUGAGGGGGUGGAGUCAUUUGACAGGGUCCUGGGCAAAGUCCACUCCGGUGGACUUGCUCUUAACGUUUUGGUUGCUUGAUUUGACUUAUGUAGUGACCGAGGUACAAUGUUGUUUGACUUAUUCAUAAGUUUGGUAACGUGAGGAAAAGGAGAGAGAUGGAAAAAAAAAUUGAAAUGUAUUGCAGCCUCAUGGUUGAAAAUUUUAAGUCAAGACCAAAAUGCAAUCGUUUUCUUAUACUGUGUUUCUGUUUCAAAUCGAAACCAUUUCAAGAUUACAAACUAAAUCGUCCAGUCUGAUUCAAUUUGGUUCGUAUUUUGAUUUUAGUUUUCAAUUUUUAGUGCCCACCCCUAAUUGUAUUCUCGCAAUUCGGAAAAUGGGUUAUCCUUCGAUAUUAAAUCCUUAAAUAAUGGAUUUAUAAGAGUUUCCCAUCAGCUAGACAAUCACAAUUUAAUUUUUGGUCAUUUUGACAAGUGGCCCUCUACCGCAUUUGUGAAUAGGAGUAUUGUCUUUGCACUACGACGUGAGUUCGAAUCCCCUCGACUCUCUAAUUUAACACUUAAUCUAACAAAUCUAUCGUUUGACAAAAAAAAAAAUUUGAUCAUUUUAGUAAAUUGCCAAAAAAAUUUGACAUGAUGCAAAUUAAAAUUCCAAACCAUGACCAUACCCACAUAACAAGCAUUUGUAUUUUAUCCAUCAGGUUGGUCAUCCAUAACCAUAACUAUGUAUAGUUUUUGUUGAUAUAAAAGUGAGAUGAAAUAAAUAAAUAAUUUGAGGCAGAGAUAGUGAAUUUCAAUUUAGGAAUGAAUGGACUUUGAAUGAGUUUAUAAAAAGUCUGAUUACCUAUGUUGUCAAUUUAUUUUAAAGUAAAAACUUGAUUGCCAACAUGCUUUCAAAGAGUAGAAUUCUUCCCCUCUUCUUUUUUCUCCUUCUCCUAUUUGAAUUGUCACGUUUAAGUUUUGUCAACAUUUUAUAUUAACUUUUUUUAUAGAGAGAAAAAUAAAAUAAAAAGUGUUAGAGGAGAAAAGAGAAGGCGAGAAAAAUUGUAGGGGAGAGAAUCUCACUACUCUCCGUCUUCACAUGCAUGAUCGAUGAUCCAUCCUUGUUUGUCCUUUGACCAUGUCUGUCCCUUGAGUUUAUCUAAGUUUCUUUUUUAUUGGUCGCCUGGGUUUGAAGAUUUAUGUAAAAUAACUAUUUUGUCCAUAUUUUGUUUGGGGUAGUUGUUCACUAUACUUUUCUAUAAAAGUGAGGGCAUUGCAGGAUACUGAAAACUUCACCAAUUUUUGCCUUCUCAUUUUAUGAAUAAGGAUAACUGUAGUUUACUUAAGGAUAACACCAUACCCUAAAUAUAUCAAGAAAGCAAUUGCGAAGGAAAUCCCCGAAUGACCCAAUAAUGGUCAGUAAUAUCCAGAAUCCACAAGUGAAUAUCUAACCUUCCAUGUACGAAUCUCAUAAAAGCUGAAUUUGAUAUUAAAUUAGACUUUUCAUUAUGUAGUUUAGCCGAACUCCGUCCUUAGUGUAAAAAUAUUGAUGUACUUCAAAAAAAAAAAAAAAAAUUCUAACCUUCCAUGUACGCCAAUCCCUUUACUUUCCUGCCCCUUAUGCACGUCCAACCGCCACCUAUAUAUCUUGCCAUCCCCCAAUGCAGGUCAUCAGUCAUCGCUUGUCAUUUGUGGAGUGGAGCCGGUUAAAGAAACUUCAACAAAUUGAAGAAAUCAACGGUCACGAUGCGCCCUCACUGCCUCCUCAUCCUCGCCCUCGUCCUCCUUCCUCCGGUGGCCGCUGCCGCGGACCGACGGGGUCUUAUAACCGGCGGUUGGCAGCCCAUAAAGAACAUGAGCGACCCCCAUGUGAAAGAGAUCGCAGAGUUCGCGGUGUCGGAGUACACCAAGCAAGCCCAAGGCCAGAACAAGUUGGUGUUUGAGAGCGUCGUCCGGGGCGACAGUCAGGUGGUGGCGGGCAUCAACUACCGGCUUGUCAUUUCCGCAAAAAACGAGUCGGUGGUUGACCCCGCUGUUGACGAUUAUGAGGGUAUUGUGUGGGAGAAGGCUUGGGAGCAUUUCAGGCAAUUGAUCUCAUUUCAUCAAUUGUAAAAAACAAACUAAUUAUAUGGAGAUUAUGAUAAUUUCGUAUUUUAAUCGUUGUCUUUAAUAUGCUCUACUGUACUCUGGAUUGCUUGAAGCUAUCAUCACCUUCCAUUAUAAUAAAGAAAUUGAAUGAAUAAUUGAUGUUUAAUUCUUAAUUUUCUUGAUCUCUAAUGGGUUCAGUUAUUAUUUUUAAUCGAGUAGGGCCAAAUUGCUUACUGAAUGUAUGUGAGAAUCACAAACCAAAUGUAGGAAAUCGCUAUUUUUAACAAAUAAAAUAGGGAAAACAAUUUUUGGAAUUGAUCUACUUACCUAGAUUUAGAAAUGAUUUAUUAAAAAAAAAAAUUAAGCUCCCUAAUAACGUUACCAAAAAAUAAAAAACAAACUCAUUCUUAAACAAGUGAAAAACUUGAAUAAAAUCAUAGUUAACCAUCAUAAGCAUCAAUAUAAGGCUUAAUUCACCAUCCAUUAAAAGUAUAACUACCAUCACAUAAGAGUCAGAGUCUAGCCAGUCACAUUUCUCAACUCUUUUGAGGUCCACAAGACAACUCUUAAAAAACAUUGCGUUGGUUGGUGGAGCUAGCUAGACUAUCACCUCUCCCAACUCCCCUCAAAGACAUACAAAACGUGAAUAAAACAAUACUUGUUCUUAUCCGUUGCAAUUGAAAAUACUCACAAAUAACUUUAACAAUUAAAGAGUAGAAAAAAUAAGUAAACUUUUGAUUUCAUUGAGUUACAAGUUUCUUCCCAAAACUUUGUAUGCUCAAUUACAUUAGACGAUUUACUUAAGAGACUUAAAACAAAAUCGUUAGCCAUCAUAACAUGCAUGCUUAUUAUAGCACAAAAUGACAUUAGCAACCUAAAAGUGGAGAAUAGCUACAAUACUUACACACGGUAAGUACAAUCAUUUAUUAACAGUCUGAGAUAAUCGUUAAAUAUCACUAAAACAUAUUUGACCUUUAAAUGAGUGAUUGGAUUUCAACAAGUUAUGAGUACCUUGUCAUGAAGAAUAUUGUGAAACGUUCUUUAAGGAUAUUACUGAACUUUGAUAAAGUUCACAUUCUCGUCUAGGAGUCGUAUGUGAGAAUCACAAACCAAAUAAUGUAGCAAGCAAAUAUUGGAAGAAAUCACAUCACAAAAUUAAGAGGAACUUAAUGCGAAGGAGUGUAGGUUCAAAGCAUAUGGUGAGUUCAACAAAUAUAAUUAAAAUCUAUUUAAUUUGUACUGAAAAUAUAAAGAGCCUUCAUCAUACAUGCAUCUGCGUCACAUGUAUAAUCCAGCCAUGCUCCAGUGAAGGUCAUCACUUGUCAUUUGUGGAGUGUGCAGUAAAAAAUCAUCACCAAAAUAAAGAAAACGACGGUCAUGAUGCGCCCUCAAUACCUCCUCCCUCGUCCUCCUUCCUUUAGUGGUCACUGCCUCGGACCGAUGGAGCCUUCUGGUCAGCCAUCGGGAGCCGUACACAUCAGCGACCCCAUUGGAAAGAGAUCGGGAACUUUGAAGUGACGGACUAUAACAAGCAAUUGGAAACCAAAGGCCAGAACAAGUUGGUGUUUGUGAACGUUGAAGGGGGCGAGUUCGUAGUGGCGGACGGCAUCAAAUAUCUGCUUGUCAUUUCUGCCAGGAAUGGUGGCUGACCCUGCCGCCACCUCUGCCGUCGGUUACUAUCACGCCUUUGUGUCGGAGAAGCCUUGGGAGCAUUUCAAGCAAUUGCUCUUUUUUUGCAUCAAUUGGCAGAAUUUAACUCAUUUUCAGGACAAUGAUCAUUUCAUAUUUUAAUGCGUUGUUUUAUGCACUAGUGAACUCUGGAUUGCUUGAAGUUUAUCAUCUUUCACAAUAUAUAUAAAUAGACAUGUGUGUGUGCGCGCCUAAUGAAAGAUUUUAGUAUAUUAACUAUGAUAAUUCUUCAAGAUUGAGGAAGAUUAAUGUAGAAAUAUUAAUAUAUAUAUAUAUAUAUAUAUAUAUAUAUAGCGAUAACCUAAUGAGUACUUGGCCCAUAUUAAAAACUUAAGGACUGGAGUUGUUAUAUAAUGACGAAUUUGAAUUAAGUUAUUAUGUGGCUAAGAUGAAACAUAAAAGAUAUAUAUUACGGCUGAACCGGAACGUGAUGCAUGUGCAUGCGUACCUGAAGAUAUGGGUUCGGGAUUUAGGUCGCAAAGCAUCAACGAGUUGAGUUGGAGCUUGGAGUGGAAGAGAAGGAAUGACAUGUGAAUGCCGUUGCCAAGCUGCAUAACACUUUAAAGUAAGCCAUGCUAUGUUCUUCAUCAACCUCAGCAAGUCAACUUCCAAAUUAAACGUAUUGUUGGCUUGGAGUUCGACACAACCAUAUCCCACCAAAGUACAUCGUCCAUCGUCGCUCUCACACCCAACUUCACAUUCCUAAGCAUCAUAGCGUAGAUACAGGAUAUUGGUAGCUAGAAAACCUUACUAAUUUGGCUAGGUAAGGAUAAGCGUCCUAACACCGAAGAUUUACUAUCAUUAUUUCAUACGCUAACUCUGUUUUAUAUAUGAAUUCUAAAUUGUUUAUUGAUUACAUAAAGGAAAAGAAAUAUCUUAUUAUGACGAUAGUAUCAAUACAUCAUCAUCAUUUGUCAUAAUUAGGUGCAAGAUAAAACAAUUAAGUGUUUGAUACAUAUUUGUUUUUACUAUGCCUAUUGGAUUUCACCUUAUCUUCCCAAAUUCAAAAUUUGCAACUUUGCGUUUGAAAUUUGAUUUUAGCUUCACUUUUGUCAUUUUCCAUUAAAUCCGUUAAGAAAUAUGUUAAUACUCUAACGAGCAUGAUUGAGGCCUACUUAAUUGCUGAUGUGCCCAUUCAUAAAUGAGAAUAUUUUUGUUCACCACCUUAAAGUGAUGGUGAUACUAACUAUCUUAUCCAUCACAGUUGCAUGCGUUUAAAUUUAGAGAUUUUUGUAGUGAAUAGGCAUAAACUUCAAAAUUUAAAUUCAUUCAAUGAUAAUAAAUAGGUUGGUGAGGAUUACCACAACUUGAGGGUGAUGACCAAAAUGCACCCUUGAUAAAUUAUACAUGCUCCCAGCUAAAGAAAUUUUCAGUGUACCAGAAAUAUGGCCCGAUACACCAAAUGUUAUAUUAAAAGUGAUUGAAUACUUGAAGAAAAAAAUUUAACUACUUGUAUUAUGUGUUCCGUACCUGCAUAAAAAUUUCUCCCAACUGAACGUCCCUGCUUCUCCCAACCAAGGAAGAAAAUAUCGGUAAUAUCGGAAAUAUCGGUAGUCCGAAAACACGGAAAUAUCGAUGGAAAUAUCGAGAUAAUAUCGAUAUCGAUAAAAAUUACAUGGAAACCACGGAAAUUGUAAGAAAAACUUGGAAAUUUUUAAUGAAACUUUGCAGGAUGUUUAUUUAGUCAAUUAUCUAUUAGUUUAUCACAAAAAAUUGGAAGUAAAUGCAUUGCAUGAUGGAUUUAACUGAUUUAAGUUGAUUAUAUAGCGAGCUGGCAAAUUUUUCACUCUUUAAGGUUCAAAUUUUUCACUCUUUUCCUGAAAUUAUAUAUUUUCACUUUUUCCCUGAAAUUGAGUCCUUUAUCCUAAUCUAAUCUGGACCCCCAGAUUAAUUUAUAUUUUCACUCUUUCCCUGAAAUUAUAUAAAUUGUGCAAUUGAGUCCUUUAUCCUAAUCUAAUCUGGACCCUCCAUCUUGAUUCUCACUCUCUGUCACGCUGCCACGUGGCAGACCAUUAACCCUCACCCUAUCUCUCUUUCUCUUUUCCCGAGUCCCUCUCGGACCCCUCACUCUCUCUCAGUUCUCAACUCUAUCUCUCUCUCGAACUCUCGUUCUCUCACCCCAUUUUCUCCGGCGCGGACUCUGGCUUCGGCUGGAGUCGGUCGCCCUUUCCCCCUUCCUCCUCCUGUUUUUCUCUUGUUUUUCCCUUCUCGGUAUGUUCCUCUGUCUUUUCUUCUUUCUCUUCUUCUUCUGUUUUUCUUUUUGCUUUCUCCUCUGUUUUUUCUUUUCCCCUUGCUUCCUUUCCCGAUCCGGUCAUGUCCUCCUACCCACCCCCAACGGCGAUCAUCCUCCUUCAUCUUUCAGAUUCGGCAUGCAGCUGCUUUCAAACCGCGUUUUGCUGCGGUAUUUCGAGAGGGUGCGUUGAGAUUCGGUGUUCUCACCGGCUCGGGUGCUUCGCACCACCACCCUUUCAAUGUCUCUCAUCGUCGUCGGUUUCGGGAUUCGGAGUUCUGGGUAUGUUUCUUAAUGGGUGGAGAUCCCGAGUAGCCGUCGAUCCGUAGUUCCCCUUCAAGGUUCUGAUGGAGGAGGUCUUUUACAGUCGGCCGGAGCUGUAGAAGCUCCGGCAUUCUUCUCCGAUUAGCACAGUGCCAAAAUAUCGAUAUUAUCGAAAAUAUCGCGAUAUUUUGACGAAAAUCAUUUGGAUAGUUAAAAAAAUAUUGGACCCCAAAAAAAAUGAUAAUAUCGGCAUCGUCGAUAUUAUCGAUUUUUUCUUCCUUGCUCCCAACUGAACGCCUCUCCACCAAUCUAUUUAUUCUAGAUUUCAGAUAGCAACUACCAACCUUCUGAAAACAAAAUAACUAUAAAAAAAAAAUGAAAGUAGUUUUUCUUUAUGGGAACUUUAACAAAAAGCUCUCAGUAUUGUUCAUUUUAACGAAAAAUCAUAUUUUUACACUAAAAAGUCAAUUCUGGUACUACUCACUUUACCCUUUAUUUUAUCCUUAUCGUUAAAAAUCAAAGUUUUCAAGCCAUUUUCAUUAGUUUUUUUUUUUAAUUUGAAACCAACGAUAUUAUUUAUGGAAGAUUGAGUUAAGUUUCACAAUGAAGUAAAAACAAUUCAUUCAAUAAAAUAAUUUUAAUAUUGAUAUUUAUUAAAAAAAAAUAACUAUUGUAUAAAUUUUAACUAUGUAUUUCCAGUAAUAAAAAGGAUUUAUGGAUUCAUCGGGCGUGGAGGUAAGGCUAAAUUGGGUUGUGGAGUAAAUUAGGAAAAGGGCAAAACACAAUUAGGAACCGCCAGAAGUAACCUACGAGUCCACGACAGACAAACAACAAUUGGAAUCUGUACGUCCAACCAAGGUGGGGAGCAGCGGACAGCCUCCUCCAGCCUUCUUCUGCCGGCGCUGAGGGUCUCUCCUCAGCCACCGCCGCAACCGCAACCGCCGCAGCAGCAUCAGGAUAAACGACCCCAUCGCAGCCAAAGCGCCAACAGCAACAAGAUGAAGGGAUUAUUCAAGUCCAAGCCCCGAACCCCCGCCGACAUCGUUCGUCAGACCCGGGAUUUACUUGUCUAUGCCCAGCGCGCUCCCGAUCCUCGCGAAAGCAAACGCGAGAAAAAAGGUAUCUAUUUUCCAUCUAUUCAAGCAAUCGAUCGAAUUCAAUACGAUCUGAUUGAAAUUUUGAUCCGGUUCUCCCUUGUUUCUAUAUUCUAUUCUGUGAAAACUUGGGAAUUUGGGAUUGUUCAUGUUUUUUUUUUAUGACCAAAGUUGAUUUGGGAUUGGUUGAUGUCAAAGUUUAUAUUUUCAAACUUCUCCCACUUGAUGAUCCAAAUCCGACCCAAAGCUCACAAAUCAAAUUCCCUUCUUCACUGAAAUCCAUUCUAACAUCCAAGAACUUGUCCAUCCUCCUAGGGCCUCUUUUGAGCACCGUUAUUAGCCUCUGUGUCAACUUAGAUGGCACCGUCGCUAGCCGGAAUAUGUUGGCAGUGCUUGCCUGGGUCUUUGCUAGGUGGCUCACGGAGGCCGUGCCGAUGCCAGUUACCUCAAUGUCCCCUCUCUUCCUCUUCCCGCUCUUCGGAAUUGCCUCUGCAGAUGAUGUUGCCCACUCUUACAUGAACGAUGUUAUUGCCCUUGGUUCUUGGAAGCUUUAUUUUGGCUCUCGCCGUUGAGCAUUACAACAUACACAAAAG